rnacentral:lncRNA from 1 species
UAUUACAAGGUAUAUAUGGAGAAAAGUGUCGCAGUAAUAGACGCAUUGUACAUGUACCAGGGCUCACAUAUGCAAACUAAUAUGAAGGGGAUUCAUACCUCUCGUGUAGUUGCCAAAGGCAACAUUAGACGGCUCAACGGAUGUUCAUCACUCAUCUUAAGGGCCUGAAAAAAAAUCAACUCCAAAUCAGAAUAAGCUUUUUGCAUACGGACAUCAAUGUUGACUAAAUCAUAACUGUGAAAAAAAUAGCUGAUCAUUCUUUUAUUCUCUCAAGUGGCACCCGGCACUUAAUUCUACUGAAAAAUAUGCCGUUCAAAUUAAGUGAAGCAAGUUCAUACAAUAAUUAGAAGGUUCAGUCCAGUUCUCUGUUUCAAAUUGUUUUUCUUGUGAUGCGGCAAAGAAAUUCUCCUACAGUUGCAAAAAUCAUUAUUCAUAGUUUAAUAGUAAUAAUGUUCAGGCAGGCACAAAUUUAGGAAAAAUACCACAUGAAUCUGAAUUGAACCGUACAUGAUUCACAAUCGCAUCUAAGUACAAAACCAACAGUGGUCCUCCAUCUAAGCAAUCCACGAGUACACUUGAUCUCAAGAUUACUAACUAAAACCAAGUCUCACAACAGUAAGAGAAGAAGACCAUGACCACCGGUAUCAAGUGCUUAAGAAUCGUAUUAGGUGUUUUACAAUUACAGAUAGUCGAAGAGCAGUGAAGUGGAAGCAAAGAGGCAACCAAAGCUUGAUAUUCAGCUCAUCUCCAGCAACAGCGGCAGCAAGGUGGCGUCAGUUACGGUCACGGUCAGGUCAAGUUUUGAUGAACUUCAGGCUCUACCGCGCCGUGGCGUAGCUUCGAGGGGAUACAUACCUCUCGUGUAGCCACUACAGGACUCGGCGGGCGUUCUUGUUCCUCCGGCGAACUCGGCGCUUGUUCCUCCGGCGAACUCGGCGCUUCUUCCUCCGGCGAACUUGGCGGCGACAUUGGAUGUUUGUUCAAAAAUUGCAAUUUGGACAGGAUGAUGGAGAUUAUGGUCGAAGGGCAAAACCUGAUGGAGAUUCCGGCCGAGGACCCUUGCUUCUUAUAGCAGCCAAUCAAAUCCGGGUCGGGCACUACAUCAAUUUGUGUUGGAGAAGGACACGGCCGGCCUACUCCGACGCCUCGGUUGCCCCCUUUCCUCCACUUCCCCGUCUCCUUUCUGUCGACCCCCUCCUCCUUCCCUCGUGCGCCGCAGGAGGAGGGGAGCGCCGCGCCCCAUCUCAGCCGCCUCCUGCCCGAGCAGAGAGCUCGCACUGCGCCCCACCGAAGGCCGGCCUUGACCCGGUGCGCCCAAACCAAUCCACGAAGCAGGCAGCCACCGAGGAGCCCGAGCUCAGCUCGCACUGCGCCCCACCGAAGGCCGGCCUUAACCCGGUGCGCCCAAACCAAUCCACGCAGCAGGCAGCCACCAAGGAGCCCGAGCUCCUCCCAUGGACCCCAGCUGCAGCUCGCUAUGAGCGCCACCCCUCCCCCUCCUCUGUUUUUCCUCUAACGGAGCUGCUAUUUUUUUUGGAUCAUAAUCCAAUGAAGCCUGGGAGAAGCCCAUCACCAUAUCGGCCCAGUAUGGCUGGCGUACGAAGUAGGAGGGACAAUGUAGCACAAAGUAGCGAUUCGAGUCGUUUUCUAUACCGAUGGCAACAUUAGUACCACCUCGUUUAUAUCGUUUUUAUUACGAUUUUGUCCAUACAAAUUGUAAAAGCGCAUUAUAACAUGAGAAAAAAGCGUAUUGUGACGGUGAACCCGACAAAGUCGAUCCGUGCUUUAUUAUUAGAGAUAGAUUAGAGAGAGAUGAAGCACGGAUUGACUCCGUGGGUUCACCGUCACAAUCCGCUUCCGCUCAGUCGAUAUACGCUUUUACGAUUCGUAUAGACAAAAUCGUAAUAUAAACGAGGUGGUACUAAUAGCAUGUUCGUCCGUCCGUCCGACCCGGUUCGUUUUCCGUACGUUGUUGGUCGUAGGUUGCUCAGAUGGACCUCUGCCUUGGCCCGCGUCGCUAAGAUUUCUCUAAUGGGCCACCAGCCACGUUUUGUAGUGUCCACGACUGGGAUUCCCACUGGCCGGCACGCACGACACAGGAGGCGUCGGCGGCCUCAGCGCCCAGCGCUGGGGAUGGCAGAGCAGGCGCCUAGCGCAGGGGAUGGCAGAGCAGGGCGAGGCCCCGGCCAGCAGCGGCCCCAGCGGAAGGGGCUCGACUCCCGUCGGGCAGAGGCAGGUGCGACGGCGCUAGGCGGCGGUGACUGGGCGUUCGAUGCGGCGGCUAGGCGCGGUAGCAGGCAGAGGUAUGGCGCCGGCAACAGCUAGCAAAGCAGCCGCAACCAGCAGUAGGAGGUAGUGGUACCGAGCGGCAGCAGCACCUAGCGGCAGAAGUACUAAGCAGCAGCGGCGGAAGCGCAACAAGACGAAGCAAUAGCAGCUAGCACAGCACGCACCAGCAGGGGUAAGGCCAUGCGCGCCAAGCAGCUAGCAGCAGCGCUAUCAGGGAGCGGCGGCAGCGGAUGCUAGGAGGUUGCAGCGCAAGCGGGGGCGCCGCAGUGGGCGCGGGGAGUGGCGUGCGGUGGUGGGCGCAGCAGCAACGAGCCGCAUAGGGCAGCAGCGGGUGCGGCGCUGGACAACCAACAGAGUAUGUACGCUUCUGCUACAAAAUCUAGUUUCGCUAUCUAAUAGUCCCGCCACGGUCCUUUUCUCUAAGUUUCACCCGUUUAUAUACGUUUACAAGUUACCUAGCAGCAAGCAGGGGCGGAGCCAGGAUUUGAGCAUGAGGGGGGCGAGAAGAAGCCAAAACCAACCAAUCAUAUAUAACAUUGUAGAAGUCUAUUGUACAUAUCAAUGGAAUCAAAUUGCAAGUACAUGUAGUUCACAAUUUGGAAUAAGAUAACACUUUUGUUAGUUUAUUUAAGUAUAACUCUAGACCGCAAAACCUAUUACCUAUAUAUCAAACAAGUCAACAAUACCAUUCUCGAAACCUAACAAACCAAAAAAGAAAAAAAUCUGAUUGUCAUCUUGAUGUAUAGUUGUUAUACAAGUUUAUGAUUUGUAGUAACCAAUGUAACAAUAACAUUACCUCGUAAUUUGUGUAGUCUUAUUAUAUGUUGGAUAUAACUUGAGAUUUUGGUUUAACUCUGACCACAUGAAGCAUAAGACUAUGGUAUAGGACUUGAUACUCACCAACAAGCGACAACUGCUUCAUUGGGACGAGCUUGUGUCAACGGUUGACGCUAGCUAUAGACUCAACGAACCGCCAAAUCUUCCUUGACACAGCUGAUGGCAAUGCUCCAAUGCCCUAGCGCAUGCAGGCGGCGGCGAUCUAUCCCAGAAACGAAAUCAAAAGAAAUACUAACAUUCAGAAUAACGUUCUCAUUCACAAAAUAGAAUUACUAAUAGCUAAUAUCCACUAUUGGUACUAGUACCUGCUUGUAUCGAAAGGGUGGCCUCCCGGCGCCUAGCUGUAGAUGGCGUCGUGGCGAGCGACGGCGGCGGCGGCAAGCGCCCUAGCAGCCAGAUGCACGUACAGGGGAUCAAUAAAUUGAUCUGAUCGAUGGCACCUGGGCUCGGCAAAACAGUUACUACGUACAUGGGGUAUGGGGAAAGGCCGUGAUGGCACAUGGGCUACUGGGCUUAGUUUGUUGCGUACUAAUUCCAGGAUUGAUCAAGCUGGGCUAUCAUUAAUCAAGUGAUUACUCGGCCAUUAGCAUCUCUAAUUAGGCCUGGACUCCAAUACACCAGUACGUAUNNNNNNNNNNNNNNNNNNNNNNNNNNNNNNNNNNNNNNNNNNNNNNNNNNNNNNNNNNNNNNNNNNNNNNNNNNNNNNNNNNNNNNNNNNNNNNNNNNNNNNNNNNNNNNNNNNNNNNNNNNNNNNNNNNNNNNNNNNNNNNNNNNNNNNNNNNNNNNNNNNNNNNNNNNNNNNNNNNNNNNNNNNNNNNNNNNNNNNNNNNNNNNNNNNNNNNNNNNNNNNNNNNNNNNNNNNNNNNNNNNNNNNNNNNNNNNNNNNNNNNNNNNNCCCAAAAAACAAAGAGAAUGAAGGAACAAAUCGAGAAAAGGUAAGGGAGGACGGAGAUGUAACAUAUGCCUUGAUUGUGGCUUAAAUUUCAGAUGGAGUAAGAAAAAGGAGGAGGAACAUACAUGCAAUGGAUGCGCGGACUGAUUGUGGGCUCUAAAUAUAUGUUGGAUGCAUGCAUGACUGCUGAUUGGCUGGUGACAUGGUGGGUUCAUUCUCAUUAAAUUGGGAAGGCUGGAACAAGAACUCUGCGUUGCAUGCGAAGAUUCGACACGCAUUGUGGUAGAAGAUGUCAUUUUUCUUCUUCGUUCUUUUCAUUCAACUCUUUCAAUUCUUCCGGAGGCAUUGUGUUGUUCCUCUCGUCAAGUAUCGUUCCAUCUUGUCGAGUUCAUAUUCUAUUCCAUUCCAUGUUCAACCGGGAGGCUAACCCAAUUCCUUCGUUAUUAUUUAUUUUCUAUCUUGUUCUAACCGGAGUGGUUUCAGAGUCGAUCUUGUCCUUGAGCUUUUGAUUCUCGUCAUAUUCGUCGUUUCUCUUUUCUACCCGAGUGCUCGCGACUUUGUUAAUCUUCUCUCUUGCGUUCUUAUUUCACAUCAUCCUCUUUUCUUCCGUCUCGCUCCUAAGAUCUCGGGACGAGAUCUUCUGUUAGUGAAGGAGAGUUGUGAUGCCCCGAGUUCGAUGCGCCAGGUGUCUUCCAGUUAUUCGCCAUCGUUGCCAUGUCAUCAUGUGCAUUUCCUCUGCAUGUUUUUCAAAACAUGCAUCCGGUCUUUUUUCCCGUUGUCCGUUUCGAAAUCCGACACUCUUACAUGGACCCGCCGCACCUUCCAGAUCUUGUUUCGUGAGCGGGAGAAAAAACGUUCUCAGAAUGGGCCGAGAGUUGACGAGUGGUCUUGGUACAUCACCAGUAGACUGACUGUCAAAUUUCUUUCCAUUUGGAGGUCGUUUGAUGCCCCAAUGGUUAACCGCGUUAACCGCCGGACCCAUAUCUCUUUGCAGCCCAGCACCCCUCCUCAACUGCCCACUAACCCAUCUAAACCCCUUCCAUGCUCUUCGCAGUUGGAUCACGAUCGUGUGGGCAAAAACCGCCCUCAAUAGGCCUCUCCUAGCUCCCUCUACCUAUAAAUAAGCACCCUCCCUCCACAAUUUGCAGGCAAACCCUAGCCCUCUUAUUCCACCGUGCCGGACACGUCCGACCCCGCCGCCGGACGCGUCCACCACCGCCCCCGCACCAAUCCCCGCGNNNNNNNNNNNNNNNNNNNNNNNNNNNNNNNNNNNNNNNNNNNNNNNNNNNNNNNNNNNNNNNNNNNNNNNNNNNNNNNNNNNNNNNNNNNNNNNNNNNNNNNNNNNNNNNNNNNNNNNNNNNNNNNNNNNNNNNNNNNNNNNNNNNNNNNNNNNNNNNNNNNNNNNNNNNNNNNNNNNNNNNNNNNNNNNNNNNNNNNNNNNNNNNNNNNNNNNNNNNNNNNNNNNNNNNNNNNNNNNNNNNNNNNNNNNNNNNNNNNNNNNNNNNNNNNNNNNNNNNNNNNNNNNNNNNNNNNNNNNNNNNNNNNNNNNNNNNNNNNNNNNNNNNNNNNNNNNNNNNNNNNNNNNNNNNNNNNNNNNNNNNNNNNNNNNNNNNNNNNNNNNNNNNNNNNNNNNNNNNNNNNNNNNNNNNCAGCGCCGCCUCGCCGCCGCCUGUGCCAGCCGCCGCCGCCCCCCUUAGCCCGCGCUCCUCGCCGGACGCCGCACCUUGCCCGUCGCCGGUCUCGCCGUCCUCCUCCUCACCUCGCUGGAGCUCGCCGGACGUCGCGCCCAUCCCGAACCCCUCCGUCCCGCUGCACGACCUCGUCCCAUUUUCGCGAGGGUAAAAUUCCACAAGUCCCUAGAUUGUGUUAGCAUGUGUGCAUCUUUAUCAUAUCAUAACUUUGUGCAUGUUGCUCCGAUUUGAGUGUAUGACAUGUCAAAAUAUUCACCUCUUGAUGCUCUUCAUGAUGGUUGCAUUUGUAUUCAUAUUACUGUUCAUCUUGAUGCCUUAAUCCUGGUUGCAAAAGUGUUAAGUGAUAUUAACUAUUGUAAACUGCUGUAACUUGCCUAUUUGUCUUUUUCAUAGCAUUUUGUGUGAUUAUCUUUUGAGCAUAGUGUCAACAUGUUCUAGGAGCAUGUGCAUGCCAUAUUUAUAGUGGUGCAAUCCAUGUAUUUUUCUGUAUCCUGUGGUGACUAGCACAAGCAUGCAAAGUAGGGUACUUGCUGUUGCUGAUUUCAGUGACUUGAUGAUUUCUGCUAAGUCUGAAUCUGCUCCAUUAUGUUGCCAUGUUAACUUGAUGCUACAAGUGAAUCCAUGCAUAAUAUGGUGAUGUUCAUUAGGGAUGUUUUGUAGAUCUUAUUAUGAUCUAUCAAUCCAUGCCCUUUUUUGCAAUUAUGGUCUGCUGUAGCUUAUCAUUACCAUGCCCUAAAAUUGCUAAAUAAUGUUUUCGUCAGCCUGUUAUCAGUAAGUUCAGUUUUGCCAUGUGAAUGGCUAGUGUUCUAUGCAUCCUAUGACCACGUUCUUGCCACGGGUAGCUGCAAAAAUAUGCCUUCUUGCUGUUGUUUGUAUUCACAUGCCAUGAUAUGCUUUAUGUUGACUUCACCUUCGGAGUAAGUCUGUGAAUCUGUUAUCAUUUGCAUUCUUAUCAUGAUGUUUUGAGCAUGUUCUAGUGGUUUCUAGAAGUAGCUCAGUGACCAUGUUUUGUAACGCACUACCUGUAGAUGCUUUCCUUGCCCUUUUAUACCAUGAAAUAUUCCUGUAGCAUAUCCUUUUUUUUGUCUCAAAGUAUGCAUCAUGAAUCUGUUUCCAGCCUACUUAGUAAUCUUGUCUCAAAGUCUGAGAAUCUGUUAUGAUUUGCUUACUUGUCUUCAUGAAUGUCAUUGAUCUAGAGGUUAUAUGGAGAUAUUUAGUAAUCAUGUUUUGCCAUGUUUAACCUUUAAUUUAAUUCCAUGCAUUGGUUUGCUAUGAUCGUGCAAUGUAGUAUCAUUGUUUCAUCCCUCCAACAUGUCAACAUGUUCUUUCUGCUCACAUGUAUGCCCUGUUUUUCACUAAGUCUUAAUCUGUGUUAUAAAGUUGCUUUUUACAUUGAUCACAUUGGUUUAACCCUGAUGCCUAUGAGACUUAACAUUGGUGAUAUUUUAAGCAUGUAAUUUGUACUUUGAGUGCAUAUCAAGUUUGUAUUCAUAUGUUUCCUGUAGCAUAUUGUUUCUUUGAUUGCAAAGUGCUUAGUUGCUGACUUGGGCAAAUUCUGUUGGAAACUUGUAUUGAGUGUAUGUGUUGAACCGUGGCUCCGUUUGGAGCAUGCUCUACAUGAAACUUGCUUGGCUUUGCAUGUACUUUCAACAUGCCAUGUUGCAUCCAUGGUUUGGAGUGCUUGUGAUUGUGUUUUGCUUGCUUUUCCAUCAAUACCAUGUUUAACUUGUUUUGCUCAUAUCUUCUAGGCCGUAGCUUCGAAUUAAAUGAACUUUGUAUGUAACUUGACAAGAAAGACGCAUAGAUCAUCAUGGUGCACUUUAACUUGCUGUUUAACAACUUCAAUAUAAUGUGUUAUUCAGAUCUGGACCAAUUUCGAAUUUUGCAUAUGGGGACUUACCGGAAUUAUUGUAUGUUGAUUCCGGCCUCAUUUAAACUUGCUUUGAUGUGUUGUUCUUGUAUGCCUCAUUUGUUGCCAUGAGUACCAUCAUGUAGCCUUGUCAUGCAUCAUACUUGGAUGAGCAUCAUGUCAUGUUUAUGUGUUCUGUGUUUACCAUGUUGUUUGCUUCUUUCCGGUUGUGCUCCUUCUCGAUAGUUCCUGUUUCAUUGCGAUCGUGAGCAUUCGUUCGACUACGCCUGUUCGUCUUCUUCAUGGACUCCUUCUUGUUCCUAACGGGAUUUCAGGUAAGAUGACCGUCACCUUGGAUCUCACUACUAUCAUUGCUAUGCUAGUUGUCUCGAUGCUCGAUGCUAUCGCUAUGCCGCGCUACCUACCACUUGUUUAUCAAGCCUCCCAAAUUGCCAUGAUAGCCUCUAACCUUUUUUCCACCAUCCUAGCAAAUCUUUGUUUGGCUAUGUUACCGCUUUGCUCAGCCCCUCUUAUAGUGUUGCUAGUUGCAGGUGCAGUUGCAGGUUGUUCCAUGUUGGGACAUGGAUAUCUUGGGAUAUCACAAUAUCUCUUAUUUAACUAAUGCAUCUAUAUACUUGGUAAAGGGUGGAAGGCUCGGCCUUUUUCCUGGUGUUUUGUUCCACUCUUGCCGCCCUAGUUUCCGUCAUACCGGUGUUAUGUUCCUUGAUUUUCUGUCCCUAACACGAUGAGGGUUUAUGGGCCCCUCUUGACAGUUCACUUUGAAUAAAACUCUUCCAGCAAGGCCCAACAUUGGUUUUACCAUUUGCCUAAUAACAACUAAAACUUGCAUAGGGACCGGCUAGCACCCGAGGAUUCUUAAUCAAACCCCCGGGCCAAGGCUCCCCAUGAGUGUUGCUCCAAAACAGAGUCGUGUGCGGCUUCCCCCGGGGCAACUCGGGUCUCAGUUGUUGUAUGCUGUGCUCAUCCGAUCGUGGCCUUGCUGGUUUUGUUUUACCAUUGUCGAAAUGUCUUGUGCACACUACUAGGGAAAACCCUAGUAGUAGCGCUUGUUUUAUAGCUAGCAGUAGCGCUUGUACGAGCGCUACCAUUAAGGCGCUACAGCUAACUAGUAGCAGUAGCGCUAGGAAGGGAGCGCUCCUGCUAUACCUAGUUAGCAGUAGUGCUUUCUUUGGGUCAGCGCUACUCCUAGUAGUAAGUAGCAGUAGUGUUUCUUCUGAAAAGCGCUGCUGCUGACUUUUCCUGUAUUUUUAAAAAUACAACUUAUUUUCGUUGUGGUUUUAUAUACAGUACUUUCAUCAAUUGAUUUUAUGACCAUGAUUACUUAUUAUCUAUAAAAGUGGGUGAAAUGAACGUGGAGUAGAUUCAAGUGGAGGCAACAUGUGGUGCAUGUCGAGAGUACUACUCUAAUCCAAACUUGAUCUAGUUUGGAUUAGUAGUACUUUUGAUGUGCAUCACGUGUUGCCUCCACUUAAAUCUAAUCCAUGUUCAUUUCACCUACUGAUAUAUAUAAUAACUCAUCAUGCUCAUAUAACAACUUAACAUCAUGCAUCAUCGAUCAUAAUAAUGAAUAACUCAUCAUUGGUAUCAUAAUAACAAGUCAUACUCAUCAUCAUCAAUCACACAAGUUCUACUCGAUACCACAUCAUCAUCAUAGUCAUCUAACCAAUCAUACUUAGUUGUUCUUAGCACAUGAUCAUGAGUAUUAUUAACUAGGACCUACUACCUUCUCUUAGGUAGAAUAGCAUAAAACAAGAUAGGCCCUGACUCUUCAUUAUGGAGAAUGGAGAUUAUCCUGUCUCCAAUUCUUGCCUUUCGCACAAUGUUGCUUCCAAGUACGUCCUUACGACUGUCCAUACAUUUUUCCAUUCUUUGAUUUUCAUGUCUUCACUGGUUUUAGAAAUGCGAUAUGGACAUGUGUGAUUCGUAGGAUGACCUUGUUGUAUGUUCAAAACAUCAAGGCGGCCAUUCUGAUACAUCAGAUGAGGUACACAAUCCUUCGGGGUUUUCUGUUGAAAAACAUAGUAAUAACUUCGUAGUUAGCAAUGUAGUUAAGUUUUAAAAGAAUUUAUGCAAAAGAUGUACGGAUGUCGUAAUAGUAAAAAAUCUUACCAUGGCAUCUCCAUGGAUGUUAUCGUAGUUCAACACGUGCACUAGUGGCACGUAUUGACCAUAAUGUGGAGGAGUUUUAUAAUAGUUAUUGUAAUUCUCAAGAUCAGUACAAAAUGCGACGAGAUGAUUUUUCUCCUGAUUAGUUAACUCAGAGCCAUCGGUGUAGUAGGUUCCGUCUACCAUCUUCCGCACAUUGUUUGAAGAAUGAAAAUAAGCUGUCAAUGGAAAUAAGCUGUAAACUUUUUUUGAAAUAAACAAUAUAAAUUAGUUAAUAACUAUGUUUGAGAAACUCAUAUAGCGGUAGAAUUGGAAGCGUAUGAACAAGGACCCAAAUUUCCAUAUUGUCUUGGUCGAUGUCAGGAUCACCAAGAUCCAUGGUGACAAGCAUACCUCAUAAAAAACCAUACAUCUUGCAAAGUGGUUCCCAAUUUGUGCAACCAAAAUGGGUUACGCUCUCAGAAUUGUAAAGAUUUACUUGGAAAUCCAUACCAUGAUGGGUCGUUAGGUGAAUUUUCUUUGUUUCGAAAUUUUCAUGGUCUUCAAAAUCCAUCCUCUCCAAGACAUAGCGUCUUGCAUGGCAUGGGAUAAGCUACUCGAAUUGUAAAAGAUGAAAAUUACUCGUUGAAAUAGUUGAAGUCAUCCUUAAUUAUGAAAAAAACACUUGUCGUCGUUGCGUACCGUUUCAACAUCGAAGGUCUCCUGGAGCUUAAUGCUGAAGCGCUGACCUUCGUCCAGGUGAGGCCUGUCGCAUUGACACCGGUUGUCGUUGCACCAGUCGCACUCCCCCGGGAGACUUUCGUCGUCUGAUAACGACAUUUCCUAGGUUCAUAAUUCAAAGAUUAAACUUGUACAAUUCAAUAUAUGUACUACAAAAACUAAACUAGAUCAUUAUUAUUCAUCACGGGUUGACUAUCGGUCUGCCGAGUCUUUUUCUUGAAAACUCUGCUCGCGUGGUGUAUACAUUCGACCGUUGGUGAUGAUCGCUCCUCCUUUCGUCCCCGAGUGCAUUGCACCAAAAUGUCUAGCACACGGGAAUGAAGGAGAAGCGACCCCCACGACAACAGUUGGGAUUUUUCGUCCUCUCAUAUGUGGUGGAGACUCUCACUCACUGAUUCCUCUCUAACAUUUGCGACCGUCGGUGAUGGUCGUUACUCCUCCUUCCCCUAGUGCAUAACAAAGGUCUAGCACCCGGAGAAGAAGGAGAAACGGCCCCCACGACAACAGUCGGGCUUCUUCGUCCUCUCUCAUAUAUGGUGGAUACACUCCCUCACUAAAUUUUCCACCUUCGGUGAUGGAGCCUCGACAGACUUAAAGUCAACCUGAAAUGUCGUUUAAUUAUUUUUCUAGAAAAUCCAGGCCACUCGAUAUUUCCUACAUAUUCUAGCACAGGUCAUGCCAGAAUUCACGGAAAAAUCCGGCAUGACCUUUGCUAAAAAAGGACAUAUCGAGCGCCUGAAAUUUGCCGGAACGGAAAUUAAUCAAAACUCUGGCAAAACAUAGGCCACUAUAGGAGGUGUAACCUACAAACAUGGCCGGCCACUUGGGCAAGCACAUAUCGUAUUUGAGCAACACAAGAUAUACAUGCUUAUAUCUACAUCAUGAGCAUUCAAACUUGAUGGAGUAGUUUUCCAAUUUGAGCAUUCAAUAAGCAAAACCAAAUCAUAAAAUAAUUUAGUAUUCAAAUUAGCAUUCAUUCAAUAAGCAAAACUAAAUCAUCUCUUUCGUCCGUACAUCAUCGAAUAUUAUCACUAAUAGAUCUCGAAUAGUAUCAUACAUAUAACAUCACUAAUACAGCUAAAACCCUAGCGAACAACGGGUAUCGGCGCGGGCGGUGGACACUCAAAGAGAAGGAGCCCUCACAGGAUCAUAGCUCCAGUGAGAUCCCUGAAGAACCUCCCAGGUAUUGGAGAACCUGCCCUCCAACGCAACCAUGUAGCGACGGACGUGCUCGUCCUCCUCGCUGACACGGUGACGUACCACCUCCGCGAGGUCCUCAAGCUUCUGCACCAUCACUGGCCCACGCGAUCGCUACAAAAGAAGGUUCGGGUCAACGACGUGCUGGCUCCUUACCAAGCUGCGCCCCCCCCGAAGGUAGCACCUCCCAAUACCAGCCCGGCGGAGCCCAGUCCCGGACAUGGCUCCACACCAAGCCCAGGCCUCCUCCGCCGAGUCGACGACGAGGAUGCGGGAUAGGCAUCAUCGACGCCGAUGCGGGAAUAAUUGCUUUAACUAAAAAAAUAACAACCAAAUGUGACACCUAAAACACCUAAAUUCUAUUAACUACACCUAAUUAAAAACCUACAUUUUGAACAUGAUUCGAUCAUAACUAGGGUUCAUACUACAUUAUUCUAAGAUUAAACACCUAAAAUACCUAAAUUAUAUUAACAACAUGGGGUGGCUGGUCUCACCUCGAUCGAGGUCGGAGGAGCUCGGUGACGAGGACGACGUCGGGGAUGAUCCAGGGGCUCCUUGAUUUCUGCAAAAAAAAAAUAUAAACAAAAACAUUAUUAUCGUCAUCUUAGGACUUAGUGAAACUCCAUAAGCUACAUUAAAUUAUUCUAUUCAAAUUUACUUAUUCAAAUUUUCUAAAAAAUUUCUAUUCUAUUGAAAAGACCUACAUCUACUUUUUUUCAAUUUCAUAUUUUAUUCUAUUCAAAUUUACUUAUUCAAAAUUCCUAAAAAUUUCCUAUUCUAUUCAAAAGACCUACAUUUACUUAUUUUCUUCAAUUUCAUAUUUUAUUCUCUUCAAAUUUUCUAAAAAAUUCCUAUUCUAUUCAAAAGACCUACAUUUACUUAUUUUUUCAAUUUCAUAUUUUAUUCUAUUCAAAUUUACUUAUUCAAAAUUUCUAAAAAUUUCCUAUUCUAUUAAAAAGACCUACAUUUACUUAUUCUUUUCGAAUUACUUAUUCAAAUUUUCUAAAAAUAAAAUAUACUAAAAACCUACAUUUACUAAAAAGAAAAACCUACAUUUAACAAAAANNNNNNNNNNNNNNNNNNNNNNNNNNNNNNNNNNNNNNNNNNNNNNNNNNNNNNNNNNNNNNNNNNNNNNNNNNNNNNNNNNNNNNNNNNNNNNNNNNNNNNNNNNNNNNNNNNNNNNNNNNNNNNNNNNNNNNNNNNNNNNNNNNNNNNNNNNNNNNNNNNNNNNNNNNNNNNNNNNNNNNNNNNNNNNNNNNNNNNNNNNNNNNNNNNNNNNNNNNNNNNNNNNNNNNNNNNNNNNNNNNNNNNNNNNNNNNNNNNNNNNNNNNNNNNNNNNNNNNNNNNNNNNNNNNNNNNNNNNNNNNNNNNNNNNNNNNNNNNNNNNNNNNNNNNNNNNNNNNNNNNNNNNNNNNNNNNNNNNNNNNNNNNNNNNNNNNNNNNNNNNNNNNNNNNNNNNNNNNNNNNNNNNNNNNNNNNNNNNNNNNNNNNNNNNNNNNNNNNNNNNNNNNGGCCGCCGGCGGAGAGGGAGGAGAGAGGAGGGCCAUGGGAGGAGGGAGAGAGGAGGAGGAGGGAGGGAGGGGAGGGCGGCGAGAGGAGGAGGGAGGGAGGGAGGCAGAUACCUUGGGGGAGUCGGCGGCGACGGCAGGCGACGUGCGGCGAGUGAGUGUGUCAGGGAGAGUGAGGGACGCGCGCGAGGUGUAUAAGAUGAGCGUAGUAGUAGCGCUCUUUAGAAACAACCGCUACUGCUAUUUAGCAGUAGCGCUCGACAGAGGACAGUGCUAUUGCUAUGUACAAUAGCAGUAGCACUUUUUAAUUAAGAGCGCUACUAGUAUACCUACACUGCCAUGCAAACCGUUGGCAACUAUAGUAGUAGCGUUUUUUAUAAAAAACACUACUGCUAGAUGGAUAUUAGCAGCGCUCUUCGGUGACAAGCGCUACCGUUCUUUAGCAACAGCGCUUUCUUAUAAAAAGCGCUACUACUAAGCCCCUGUGUAUAAGCAUUUCCCUAGUAGUGGCACUGGGAUCCCGAGUCUGAUCGGAUGUCCUACGAUGGAGGAUUGUCUCCACGGAUCAUGAGCUUCUCAUGGGCUAAGUUGGGACACCCCCACAGGGUUUAAACUUUCGAGAGCCAUGCUCGCGGUUAUGUGGCUGACGGGAAUCUUUAAUAUCCGUUUGUAGAGAACUUGACACCAGACUUGAAAUAAAAUACACCAACCGUGUGCGUAACCGUGACUGUCUCUUUUUGAGUGAGUUCGAGAAGAGAACACGGUGGGGUUAUGUUCGUAAGUAGUUCAGGAUCACUUAUUGAUCUUUACUAGUUUGCGACCGUUUGUGUAGUAUCUCAUCUUACUCUUGUACUCCUAAGUUAGCCACCCUACAAUGCUUAGUCGCUUGCUGCAACCUAACCACUUAUCCAUUCCAUACCCAUUAAGCUUUGCUAGUCUUGAUACCCAUGGUAAUGGGAUUGCUGAAUCCUCGUGGCUCACAGAUUACUACAACAACAGUUGCAGGUACAGGUAAUGCGAUGAUCGUGACGUGAGAGCGAUGUUUACUUGCUUUGGAGUUCUUCUUCUGCUUCUCCUUUGUUUAGGGGAUAGGUUCCUAGUUGGCGGCCCGGGCUAGCAGGGUGGAUGUCGUUUGAGUUUCUGUUUCUGCUUCAUCCGUAGCCGGAUGUUGUUCUCAAGUAUGAUGUUUGAUGUAUUCUUGUGGCAUUUGUAUGCCCUAUGUAUGUAUCCCCAACUAUUAUGUAAUGGUACGAUGUAAUGAUAUCAACCUUUCAAAAGCGUUUCGACUAGCAGGGUGGGACCUUCGAGUUCCUCUCGGAUAGGAUCACAUAUUGGGCAGUUAAAAUUCACAAAUGGGUCCUGCCAGCUUUAAGGAGCCCACUUAAAAAGAACGAAUUCGUAGUUAGAAAUCGGCACAGUUAUGUGACGCCCCCGAUUCAAUCGUACACUAAUCAUGCACGCAAAUGUGUACGAUCAAGAUCAGGGACUCACGGGAAGAUAUCACAACACAACUCUACAACAUAAAUAAGUCAUACAAGCAUCAUAAUACAAGCCAGGGGCCUCGAGGGCUCGAAUACAAGUGCUCCAUCAUAGACGAGUCAGCGGAAGCAACACUAUCUGAGUACAGACAUAAGUUAAACAAGUUUGCCAUAAGAAGGCUAGCACAAAAGUAGCAACGAUCGAAAAGGCAAGGCCUCCUGCCUGGGACCUCCUAACUACUCCUCGAAGCCGAACUCCAUGUAGAAUCAUCCUCGGGAUCUCUAGCUCCUAGACUCCAGCAUCUGGUUGCGACAACCAGGUAGAAUGGAAAGGGGGGAAAGAGGGAGAAAAGCAACCAUGAGUACUCAUCCAAAGUACUCGCAAGCAAGGAGCUACACUACAUAUGCAUGGGUAUAUGUGUAAAGGGCCAUAUCGGUGGACUGAACUGCAGAAUGCCAGAAUAAUAGGGGGAUAGCUAAUCCUGUCGAAGACUACGCUUCUGGCAGCGUCCAUCUUGCAGCAUGUAGAAGAGAGUAGAUUGAAGUCCUCCAAGUAGCAUCGUAUAGCAUAAUCCUACCCGGCGAUCCCCUCCUCGUCGCCCUAUUAGAGAGCGAUCACCGGGUUGUAUUUGGCACUUGGAAGGGUGUGUUUUAUUAAGUAUCCGGUUCUAGUUGUCAUAAGGUCACGGUACAACUCCGGGUCGUCCUUUUACCGAGGGACACGGCUAUUCGAAUAGAUAAACUUCCCUCCAGGGGUGCACCACUUAACCCAACACGCUCGAUCCCAUGUGGCCGGACACACUUUUCUGGGUCAUGCCCGGCCGCGGAAGAUCAACACGUCGCAGCCCCACCUAGGCUCAACACAGAGGUCAGCACGCCGGUCUAAAUCCUAUGCGCGCAGGGGUCUGGGCCCAUCGCCCAUUGCACACCAGCACGUUGCGUACGCGGCCGGAAGCAGACCUAGCCUACCAGGCGUUCCAGUCCAAUCCGGCGCGCGCCGCUCCGUCGCUGACGUCAAGAAGAGCUUCGGCUGAUACCACGACAUCGAGUGCCCAUAACUGUUCCCGCGUAGUUGGUUAGUGCGUAUAGACCAAAUGGCCAAACUCAGAUCAAAUACCAAGAUCUCGUUAAGCGUGUUAAGUAUCCGCAAACGCCGACCAGGGCCAGGCCCACCUCUCUCCUAGGUGGUCUCAACCUGCCCUGUCGCUCCGCCACAAAGUAACAGUCGGGGGCCGUCAGGAACCCAGACCCACCUCUACCGGGAUGGAGCCACCUGUCCUUUGAGCCCCCUCAUCAGAAUCACUUGCGGGGGCUCGACGAGCCGACCCGACUUUAGUCACCACAUGUGUCAUGUAUAUAAAGUAUAUAGUAUAUACCCAUGAUCAGCUCCCGAAGUGAUCACGACCCAGUAGUAUAGCAUGGCAGACGGACAAGAGUGUAGGGCCACUAAUGGAACACUAGCAUCCUAUACUAAGCAGUAGGAUAGCAGGUAAGGGUAACAACUGUAGCAACAAUGACAGGCUAUGCAUCAGGAUAGGAUUAAUGGAAAGCAGUAACAUGCCACACUACUCUAAUGCAAGCAGUAUAGAGAAGAAUAGGCGAUAUCUGGUGAUCAAGGGGGGGGGGGGCUUGCCUGGUUGUUCUGCAAGGAGGGGUCGUCAACAACGUAGUCAGACGAGGCACCAGCAGCGACGUCGGUCUCAUAGUCUACUGGAGAGAAGAGGGGGAAGAAACAGUAAAUACGGAGCAAACAAAGCAUCACAAAACAUAAUGAGGUAAUACGCGGUGCUAGGUAUGCCCUAACGCGGUAUUAGGUGAUACCGGCGAAGGGGGGAGACAUCCGGGAAAGUAUUCCCGGUGUUUCGCCUUUUCACGCAGAUGAACCGGAGGGGGAAAGUUGCGUGUUCGCUAUGCUAGGGAUGUGUGGCGGACAAACGGGCUGCGUAUCCGGAUUCGUCUCGUCGUUCUGAGCAACUUUCAUGUACAAAGUAUUUUCAUCCGAGUUAUGGAUUAUUUUAUAUGAUUUUUAUAAGUUUAAAUGAUUUUCUAAAUUUCCAGGAUUUAUUUUAAUUCAAAAAUAAAAGAGAAACUGCUAAAUGUACCCAGCCCUGUGUACACAGCAGUUUACACAGGGGCUGGCAUGUGGGCCAGGGGGACCCAGUUGACCAGUCAAUGUUUGACUGGUCAAAAGGGGGUGGGGCCCCCGUUUCAUUGACAGAUUAGGCUAAACAGGGUUUAAUUAAGUUAACUAGUGAUUAUGUUAUACUAAUUAUGAUUAAUUAAGUUAAUUAAUUAAUAUUUUUAUUAUUGUUAUUAUAUUUUUUUAAUUCUUUUUUUAUUAAAAACGUUCUGGGCAGUGGGCCCCGUUUGGCAGUGGCCCAGAGGCCUAUGCGGGUUUGGUCCAGCGGGUGCGGGCGCUACGGGUGCGUGGGCGCUGCGGGCGCCCGCUAACGGGCGGAGGCCACGACCCAGCGCAGCAGGGCGCCGGCGGCCACUGCGCUGGUNNNNNNNNNNNNNNNNNNNNNNNNNNNNNNNNNNNNNNNNNNNNNNNNNNNNNNNNNNNNNNNNNNNNNNNNNNNNNNNNNNNNNNNNNNNNNNNNNNNNNNNNNNNNNNNNNNNNNNNNNNNNNNNNNNNNNNNNNNNNNNNNNNNNNNNNNNNNNNNNNNNNNNNNNNNNNNNNNNNNNNNNNNNNNNNNNNNNNNNNNNNNNNNNNNNNNNNNNNNNNNNNNNNNNNNNNNNNNNNNNNNNNNNNNNNNNNNNNNNNNNNNNNNNNNNNNNNNNNNNNNNNNNNNNNNNNNNNNNNNNNNNNNNNNNNNNNNNNNNNNNNNNNNNNNNNNNNNNNNNNNNNNNNNNNNNNNNNNNNNNNNNNNNNNNNNNNNNNNNNNNNNNNNNNNNNNNNNNNNNNNNNNNNNNNNNNNNNNNNNNNNNNNNNNNNNNNNNNNNNNNNNNNNNNNNNNNNNNNNNNNNNNNNNNNNNNNNNNNNNNNNNNNNNNNNNNNNNNNNNNNNNNNNNNNNNNNNNNNNNNNNNNNNNNNNNNNNNNNNNNNNNNNNNNNNNNNNNNNNNNNNNNNNNNNNNNNNNNNNNNNNNNNNNNNNNNNNNNNNNNNNNNNNNNNNNNNNNNNNNNNNNNNNNNNNNNNNNNNNNNNNNNNNNNNNNNNNNNNNNNNNNNNNNNNNNNNNNNNNNNNNNNNNNNNNNNNNNNNNNNNNNNNNNNNNNNNNNNNNNNNNNNNNNNNNNNNNNNNNNNNNNNNNNNNNNNNNNNNNNNNNNNNNNNNNNNNNNNNNNNNNNNNNNNNNNNNNNNNNNNNNNNNNNNNNNNNNNNNNNCGACGAGGUGAAGGCAGCGGCAUCACGGCGAGGCGGCACCGGGCGGCGUCGGCGGCCUCCUCCUCUCGACCCCGAUCCAAUCGGGAGAGAGAGGGGGGAAGAUAUUUCGGGGGGGUGUGGGGGUGUCGGUGGGUGAGUGGGGGAGUAGGGGAGGUUAUGGGGUGCGGGGUGGGCCGGCCAGGUGGGUUGGCCUGGUGGCCCAGUGGCCAGCUGGGCCGAGGCCCAGCGGGGUAGGGGGGGUCUUUUCCUUUAUUUCUUUUUUUUGUUUCCUUUUCUUCUUUUUAUUUUUAUUUUUCUGUUCUGUUUUAUUUUAGAUAGACAUUGUUUUUAGCUUAGAAAAAAAUGAUAACAACUCCUAAAUUGAUGUUUGAGAACCACCCACUGCCAUAAAUGUUUUACCCCGAAAUAACUUAGUUUAGAAUUUUAUUAAUCGAAAAAGGUAUUCACUUAAUUGUUUUGCUGCAAUUCUGAUCACGUUAGAGUAAUUAAUUAUUUUAUAAAAAUGUUGUUUCUCCACCCAUACUAUCGAUGAUUUAAUUGUCACAAUAAGAACAUUUUAGUUUUGAGAAUUGAAAACUUUUAUUGUUUGACUUUAAUUCAAAUUUGAAUUUGGAUCGGUUCUGAACUAACACGAGAUUAGCAAUAGUAAUCGUGGUGACGUGGCAUGAUACCAGAGGGUUACUGUAGCUUGAUUACCCGGGCGUCACAAUUCUCCUCCACUACAAGAAAUCUCGUCCCGAGAUUUAAGAGGGGAGGUAAGGGGGAAGGGAUUUGGUUACGAAAUUCUAACGAGUCUUCUCGGUCUUAGUUUCUCUUCUCGAAGAGGUCGAUCCAUUACAUUGACGUCUUCAUUUCUCUGCUUCAGGUCAUCUUAAUGAAGUCGGCAUCCUUUCUUCGGGAACUCCAUCGUACUUACGAAAGAAUAAAGGAUGGGCAUUCCAGGAGAACAGACCUCUACAAAGUCGACUAUCUGGUCGAUAACAUCGAGGAAGGUGGCGGAAGUAACUCUCGAACUGGAACUUUAAGAAAAUAUCGAGAGCAAGGUAAGCAGGUACCAUGAGAAGUUUCAAGCGGGUAGGCAAUCAUUCGAUGCCUGAAACAAAGUGUAAAAGGGGUCCAGAGCAAUGGGAAUAAGUCUUGUGUCUGAUACCAGAAUUGAUGAUCCCACGGGAGGUGGCUCAUGAAUUAUAUAAGAGGCCACGGGCGAGGAACAUCCUUGGGAACAGGGGGUGUAUAGGAGAGUCAGGUUUCGAUCAUGUGGAACUGUGGGUUAUGGGCCCACCAUGUGGAUUAAAAGUAGGAGGAACGGUGACAUCUUGCACGGUCACGAUAGCAAGACAUGUCAGAGGGUAGCCUGUCGAUUAUGUCGUCAACAACGUCGGUACCAAGGGCAAGGGACGAAGAGAACCAUUUUCCUGCUCGUUGAAAUGAGGCGGACCAGUAGGAAAAGUUCUCGUCUAUCGGCGACCGAAAUGUCAUCAACAAAAGUAACGGGGCCUUACUGACUGGGUUGUACGCCGAGGUGUUUGCACAAGCAGGGAAUUAAUAGUGCUUAGAUCAUAAAGAUCACCAGAAACGUUAAACCAACCAAUGGAAAGGAAAAUAUGAUUAUCAGAUUAAACAGAACAAUGGAAAGGAAAAUGUGUUUAAACACAUAUUUCAGGGGUAUAUCCUUCCCAAGGACAAUGGUUAGAAGAGAACCAUUUAGGUUAGGGAAGAGGAAGUUCAUGACAUUACCCAAACAACGGUGUUUGAAUAAUUGAUAACGAAAAUUUAGCAUUGUGCUUCAAAUGUUUUUAUUGAAGAUCGGAGUACCACAGACAUGCUUCGAGAUAGCAUUGACAUGGUCAUUAGGUAAGGUCAGGCAAUGGAUACACAAAGGAUCCAUCAGGAACAACUUAUAAAGUAAGUCUUACCAUUUCCUCAUGGAAGAAUAGCUGACCUUGCUAAAAAGGAAAACUUAUAACAAUAGGUCCUCCGGCCAGGUGUGUUAGGCAUGACAUCACCUUACCGGGUCAUAAAUAGACCAAUGUUAUAACUCUUGGAAAUAUGUUCCAACCAUCAUAUCUGACCGAGAUUCAGAUCUGAUUGGUGUCAGGAUAACUCAGACUCAGGAUGCCUGAGAAGAAAGGUGCAACACAAAUUGUCGAAACGACAUCGAAGAUUCUCGGGAGAUGAACUAUGGAAGCGAGUUCCGAACAAGGGUUCAUCAUUAAAUCAAGGAGAGGUGAGGAGGUGACUGAUUGACUCAGCGACAAUCCAUUGACAUUUCCAAAAAGGAUGGAUUUCCACAACUAUGUGAACAAGGAGAUAACAUUAGCCAGAUCAAAUGACUUAAUGAUGUAUGCUGGAGGAAAACAUACACAAUUAAACAUGGUUUGAAAGGUGCAUUUGAAAUAAGGGUUGGGUUGCACGCCCAACGUCGGAAUGGCGAUUGAGCAACCAACACACUAAAUUGGAAUAAUUGUCCAUUAACUCUGAAGCAAUAGGGCUGCCAGUGAUAAUAAAUUCGCACAACAGAGUUCACUCAACACGGGGACCAAGAAGGGAAUGGUGAUGGCGAGAAGCAUCACUAUACCAAGAAUACUUAAGAGGUGGAGCAAUCCUCACAACAUUCUUGAUAUAGAAGACAGUAAUACUACAAGGUAGAACAUAACCUAAGCUAGAUAGCAAGGAUAUCAAGGUACAACACAAAACAUGAACAAGUUUGUGUUGGGAGAAGGUAAGAAUGUUGUCGAUGAUUACACAAAUCCUCGAGGAGCAAGGAUGGUAUUUCCCAUCAAGAAUUCGAUAGAUAUCUUGGAAGACCUCAGAAUGUUGAUGAUGAUCACGACACAUUUGUCGAGAGGUUCCACGAAGAAGCAAUCGAACAGCGACUGCAUCAAGCAAAGGGACGGUUGUAGCGAAAGAUAUUGGAUCCACGGAUACAACACCAACUCGGGAUCAAGCUUGUAGUUUGAGGUGGAACGAUAAGAUGAGGAAAUCGACGUAAGCUUAGCUCAUCAUCGGAAGUUGUGCUCCGGGAUUAAGGACCAGGUAGCACAGUUAAAAUCAGCACGAUAAUGAUAUAGCCGACUAGGCUAGGAAUGUCUUGAAGGAUUAUUAAACUCAUAAGCAACAAAAAUUACAUAGAGUUAUUGAAUCGGAGUGCGGAAUUGAUUCACUUAUCGGUGUCCUUGAGGGGUUCUAACAACUCAGAACCCGUUGGAAAAAUGGAAUCGGCAAGAAUAUUAGUUGAUGAAGAACUCAUAAGAAGUUAAGUAGUUCCUUGGCAUUCUCGAUAUACCAGGGGAGUAAUACUCGACGACAGACCAAAGUAGAGGUUGGACGAGGGUAUUGCUCUGCAAAGGACAAGUGCUUAAACUUGCACGAGAAAUGGUAUUUAAAGGAGAACAUGGUCAGAACCACGAUUGAAAAAGGCCAGAUCCCAGAUAUAAGAUGAACUUAUACCCAGGGCAUAAUUAAUUUAAGAGAAGCUCUAAUGAUAAGAUCUACAUCGUGUCCAUGGGCAUGAACACAAAGUUCAAGGUCGACUCCCACUUCUCCAAUGCAUAACCUUCCAUUCACUUCUCGCAUUCGAUGAAGUUGUAUGGUAGAAAAUUAUCUGGUAAAAUACCAGAAGGGUAUGGCUUGUGAAAACCUUCGGGUUCAUACGGUUUUAGGGAAGGUAUAGGUUCAAUCCAUCGGGGCAUCUUAGAAACAUAUACCUCAAACUUCAAGAGUAAAAUCACCAGCUCAAAAGUAGAGUAUGGUUAUCAAGCAGAGGAUACAAAUUACCAAAGGCAUUAUAUAUCCAUGGAAAUGAUCACAAGGUUAUUGAAUAUGAAGGACACUGUCAGAUAAUAACCCAACAAGGGGUCUUGUGGUCUACAACGGAGCUGAUGCGAGUAUCGGUACUCUAUCAGAGGAAGAAGGAACGAAAGGGCAUCGGACUAUAAAAACAACUGAGUAAUUCAAAGCUCAAAUGCAAAGGAAUUAUCAUUUCCAAAUCAAGGGAUCAGAAGCAAUGCUCUGAUUAGGGAUGGAUAAGUUGAAUAGCCUUAGGGGUACAAUCGACGACAAUUUGAUGAGUUGAGAACCAGCUCCUGUUCAAAAUGACAUCUGAGCCGGAAGGGUGAAUUCUAGGAUUCGACUGAGGAAUGCGAGCAUCCUCAACAUAUUGAAUCAACGGACUUAAAAUGAUAAAGACAAGGGAUGCCAAUAAGAUUACGAGACUUAUGGGAUUAACCAUAAUGCAAGCAAGCAAGAAUUUCAAGAGCAACAGGCUGCUCAGGAUUUUCGAAAGAUCGAAUGGUAUUUUGAACACUUUUGUGAAAUACUUGAAUCAACUGAGGGUGAGUGGAUACUCGGUAAGUGCGAGAAUUAUCCGUAGGGGUAUUCAGGUGACAAAGAAUAGCAAGGCAGUAAGCUCAAAGGAUUCUGGGAACAACAGAGAGAAUUUCGGGGUAUCUUGUAAUAACAAGAUCAACUGGGAAACAUUGUAUGAAUGGCGAGUAUACGUGGUUAUCCAUAGGAGUUUAUUGAUGAAAGGGAAUUGCAAAAGCGAUGAACACAAGUUCUCGAGUUAUCAGCGGAGAGUAUCUUCAGGGUCUUCACGUGCAGCAGACGAUCAUCAGUAAUAAGGGGCUCUCCGGGUGAAAGUGAUAACGAGAUCCUAAUGUUAGAUUUAGCAAAAUUCACUUAACCCGAAUAGAAGAGAGAUCAGAGUCCCAGGGUAUAGACAAGGAGUAAAAGAUCCUAAUACCACCCAAUGGCGACGUGGGCCCGUAAGCCACACAGCCAUGUUAGUAAAACAGUUUUCAUUGGCUAGACUCAACUUCGGCCAAGGAGUGUGGAAGGGCGAUUCCUACAGGCAGUAGGCUCUGAUACCAACUUGUGACGCCCCCGAUUCAAUCAUACACUAAUCAUGCACGCAAAUGUGUAUGAUCAAGAUCAGGGACUCACGGGAAGAUAUCACAACACAACUCUACAACAUAAAUAAGUCAUACAAGCAUCAUAAUACAAGCCAGGGGCCUCGAGGGCUCGAAUACAAGUGCUCGAUCAUAGAUGAGUCAGCGGAAGCAACAAUAUCUGAGUACAGACAUAAGUUAAACAAGUUUGCCUUAAGAAGGCUAGCACAAAAGUAGCAAUGAUCGAAAAGGCAAGGCCUCCUGCCUGGGACCUCCUAACUACUCCUCGAAGCCGAACUCCAUGUAGAAUCAUCCUCGGGAUCUCUAGCUCCUAGACUCCAGCAUCUGGUUGCGACAACCAGGUAGAAUGGAAAGGGGGAAAAGAGGGAGAAAAGCAACCGUGAGUACUCAUCCAAAGUACUCGCAAGCAAGGAGCUACACUACAUAUGCAUGGGUAUAUGUGUAAAGGGCCAUAUCAUUGGACUGAACUGCAGAAUGCCAGAAUAAGAGGGGGAUAGCUAAUUCUGUGGAAGACUACGCUUCUGGCAGCCUCCAUCUUGCAGCAUGUAGAAGAGAGUAGAUUGAAGUCCUCCAAGUAGCAUCGUAUAGCAUAAUCCUACCCGGCGAUCCCCUCCUCGUCGCCCUGUUAGAGAGCGAUCACCGGGUUGUAUCUGGCACUUGGAAGGGUGUGUUUUAUUAAGUAUCCGGUUCUAGUUGUCAUAAGGUCAAGGUACAACUCCGGGUCGUCCUUUUACUGAGGGACACGGCUAUUCGAAUAGAUAAACUUCCCUGUAGGGGUGCACCACAUAACCCAACACGCUCGAUCCCAUUUGGCCGGACACACUUUUCUGGGUCAUGCCCGGCCGCGGAAGAUCAACAUGUCGCAGCCCCACCUAGGCUCAACAGAGAGGUCAGCACGCCGGUCUAAAUCCUAUGCGCGCAGGGGUGUGGGCCCAUCGCCCAUUGCACACCUGCACGUUGCGUACGCGGCCGGAAGCAGACCUAGCCUAGCAGGCGUUCCAGUCCAAUCUGGCGCGCGCCGCUUCGUCGCUAACAUCAAGAAGAGCUUCAGCUGAUACCACGAUGUCGAGUGCCCAUAACUGUUCCCGCGUAGUUGGUUAGUGCGUAUAGACCAAAUGGCCAGACUCAGAUCAAAUACCAAGAUCUCAUUAAGCGUGUUAAGUAUCCGCGAACGCCGACCAGGGCCAGGCCCACCUCUCUCCUAGGCGGUCUCAACCUGCCCUGUCGCUCCGCCACAAAAAAAACAAAUUCAGUGCUUCAAAAUGCGUUUGAAAGUAGCUUUUUCAGAGUACUGUUUUUGUUUUUUUUGCCACGCCUUCUAGGAAUGUGAUUUUAUGACGAAUUUUUGCAGGCACUUAGAACUUUUGUCAAUGUUUCUCUUUUUGAUUUUUUUUCGAUUUUACUGUUCACCCGAGCUCAUUUGAGCUCGGGUGCAGAUUAGCCGCGUCCGCCUUAGGGAUAUCAUUACUAAACUUGAUGACAAUAGGAGUAUGAUCAUAUGAUACUGUGGGUAAUGGUAGAGCCAUAGUACUUGGAAAUGAUAUGGUCUAGUUGGAGGAGGUAAAUAUCUAGUCUAGUUAUUCCAAUAAUAUAUUGUCCUGCAUGUUGCUCCAAGUGUAGCUUGUGGAUUUGUGAGGGAUCUCCAUAAGAUCAAGUGAUUGAAUAGCAUUGUUGAAUAUUAAGAUAUUAUUAACAUAUUAUUGAUAUACGAUACUACAUCAAAUCUCCACUAAUUAACAUUGUAAUUAUCACCUAACAAAGGAAAUUGCUACACCAAAUUGCUCCCAUCCAACGCUUAAAGGUACUUCUAAAUAUUUGUACAUGCACAUAAUGACUUGAAAUUUCUAUAAAAAAAAAUUUCAUAGUGUGUAGUUCUAAAGCUUAUAAUUUUUUUGUUAAUUCAAACGCUAGUGUUCUAAGUACUCCUUAUCUAAACAAACUUAAUCAUAUGAACCAAGCAAAAACUAGUUUGAAUUUUGAGUACCUUGAAAAGGUUAGAGCUCGGAUUCCAAUUUAGAUAAACCUUAACAGCAAGUUAAUUACUAUACUACUUGUUUUCACUUUUCCUCUAUUUCUCUCUUUCACCACCGACAGGUAGGACCCGCAUAGGUAGAGAGAAAGUGAGCUGGACUGUUUGACCAAACAACUAGAUGGAAUAUGAAGCUAUGCGAUAUGGCAGCGACCGUAUAAUUACUGCAACAGAUUUGCUAUUUCACAUCUAGACGUGAAAUAGUUAUCACACAUCUAACUUUCUAACCACAUGAUUUAUACAUCAAGAUUCGUAUUUUUUGUCUUUUUUGUCAUUUAGUGUUUUUCCUGUACGUGCGUCGCUUGCACAAGUGGCAGGUCGUAGCGUUUAGGCCAGAAGCUUGUGAAUACAGGUUUUUUCACAGCAUCGUGUGUUUGCCUCCGUGUAGGCUGCGGCCAGAAGCGAUUUUUUUAUUUUCUCUUUUGACUUUAUCCUUUUUCUUCUUUUGUUCAUUUAUUUGUUUCAGUCCAUAAACUUUUAAAAUUCACGUUUUUAUUUUCUUUUUCUUUUUUCUUUAAAAUUCAUGAUUUUUCCCCAUAUUUGUUAGUUGAUUGUCUACUACCAAACAGGGGUUGUCUUUUUUACUUCCCGGUUGCAAGUCCACUCUUAGCUUGUAACGGUGGCCUGGCUUUUUUUUGUCCCAGUUACAAUCUCACCCUCUGAGUCUUGACAUUUUUUUGUCUCGGUUGCAUGUCCAUCCUUGACUCGCAAUUGGGCUAAUUUUUUUGUCUCAGUUGCAAUCCCACCCUCGACACAACUAGGUCUUGACAUUUUUUUGUCUCAGUCGCAUGUCCACCCUCGACUCGCAAUUGGGGCCCAAUUUUUUUUGUCACGGUUGCAAUCCCAUCCUCGACUCGCAACUGGGUCUUGACAUUUUUUGUCUCAGUUACAAGUCCACCCUCGACUCGUAACUGGGGCCCAAACUCUUUUUGUCCUAAUUGCAAGUCCACCCUCGACUCGCAACUGAGCAUCGACAGUUUUUGUCUCAGUUGCAAGUUCAUCCUCGACUCGCAACUAGGGCCCAAACUGUUUUUGUCCCAGUUGCAAGUCCACCCUUAACUCGCAAUUGAGGCCUAACAUUUUUGUCCCGGUUGCAACUUGACCCUCGAGUCGCAACUGGAACCCGAUCUUUUUUUUUCCUAAUUGAGAGUCCACCUUCGACUUAUAACCGGGGCCCGACUUUUUUUUCCUAAUUGCAAGUCCACCUUUCAACUAAUAACCGGGCCCUACUUUCUUUUGACCCAAUUGCAAGUCCAAAUGAACUCGCAACUGGGUUCGACUCUUUUUUUUAUCUCAGUUGCAAAUCCAUAAUCGACUCGCAACAGGGUUAAACUUUUAUUUGUCUUAGUUGCAAGUCCACUAUUGACAUGCAACUCGACCCUUGAUCUUUUUUUGCCGCAGUUGCACAUCAAACAACAGCUCGUAACUAGGGUCCCACCCUUUUUGUUCGUCCUAGUUGCAAGUCCAUCAUUGACAUGCAACUAGUUUGUUCAUCCUUUUUUUGCCCCAAUGUACUUUCUUAAAAUUCGCGAACAUUUUUCAAAUUGGUGUUUUUAAUUCAUGGACAUUUUGGAGAAGCUAAAAAUUUAACAAAUCAUGAACAUCUUUUCUAAUCUUUUUUUUAAUACAUGAACAUUUAUAAGUUGUCAAAGAAUUUUCAAAUUUAUGAACAUUUUUUAUCAUGAAUAAUUUUUAAAUUCACAAUUACUUUUUGAUUCAUAUUUCUUUUAAAUUGUUUUUUAAAUUCUCAAACAUUUCUAAUUUUUUUAAAAAAAAUUCAAAAAAAUCACAUUCGUAAAUGGGGUAGCUUAGCUAAAGGGCAUUCACCUAGAGGCAAGCUAUAUGAUACUCGAGAAAAGACCUAGAGGAUGCAUGCCAGGCUGGAGCGUGCAUGAUGCAUGCGUGCACCACGUUGCUUGGAAACUUGUGUUAAUCAAGUUUAGCCCAGAAUAUGAACCCCGCUUAGCUUGGGUGUCUAGCGAUGGUACUGGUCAGCCAGCCAGUGUGUGUUAUCGAUACCCAGCGAGGCAGCAAGAGGAAUAAAUGGAUUAUUUCUUCCCUAUCGUAAAACUUUUUUUAUAGUACUAGUAUAGAAAAAGCCCAGCCCAACCAAGAAACAACAACAAACAACGAUGACAAAUAAAAAGACAUGAAAAAAUAAAGACCACGAUGCCGGAAAUUGAAACCAGAUUUAGAAACACAUGACAUCAUGUUAGAUGUGAGAUAAUAUCUCACAUCUAGAUGUGACAUAGUCAAACCCUUACUGCAACGUGUAUAUAGUGAAUGUAUUGACCGUAUUCGUUAGUACAGUGACCAAAGUAAGUGUACACGACAAGUUCAAUGACCAGCGGUCCAUUUUUACUCAUUUAAUAAAGAUGCUCUCUGUCUAAUCUCGCUAAUGAUAGCUCCAUAGUUACCUCUACUAUUCCUUCCUAUGUCAUUGAUAACCUGUUUAGAGUCCAAUGCAAUAACCACAUUGUGGAUCAUCAAAUCCUCGACCAAAGAAAGGCCCUCCCGACACGCGAUGCCUCAAGCGUAGCCAGAUCCGUCAUUCCAUUUACCACCAACGAUGAGCUUCCCAUAUAAUUUCUUGAAAUAUCACGGCAGACUGCUGCUGCAGCCCCUCUUUCCAGUGACCGCGCCAAGGCAGCAUCUACAUGUAUCUUGGUGAAGCCUCGAGGAGGAGCUUUCGGUUUUGCCGUUGCUGCAGUGCGUGCGGCUGGGGCCCUGUUGAGACUUACUGGAAGAACCUCAAGGUCAGCAAUGAAACGACAUAUGAAUUGAUGUGUCCCUGAUGAGCUUUGAUAUACUACCUCAUGUAUGGCCUUUCUUCUUGCCCAUCAAAUUGCCGACAAUGUCAUUGCAAGCCUUGUGAAAGCAGGAUGAGAUAACAGAUCAAUCAUAUUGAAAAUCCACUGCUUCGCAUCUGCCUAGAUUGUCUCACAUAAAUGUUCGGCUAAAUCUCCAUCAACUAGGGCCCAAGCAUAUCUCACCAUUGUGCAUUCUAGUAGAGAGUGGCGCCACGAGUCUUGUGCUCCACAUAACCCACAUGAACUUGUUGUGGACAUCUUCCUAUGUGCUCGAACGUCUUCGGUUGGUGAAGAUUGUUUUGCUAGACGCCACAAGAACAUCCGGAUUUUACUUGGAACCGUUGUUCUCCACAAGAGCUUCCAUGGAUUUGCAUCGCGGUCCAUGCUUGAUGAUCAUGCCGUCCCAUCCAGCCAUGCAUCUCUUCUUUCGUGUCCACUAACAUAUUAAAGCUGACCAAACAAAACAUCUUCCACUCUUAUCAAAAUUCCAUGCGGAGGUAACCCGGGUAUCAACUGUGCACAAAGGCAUAUGUAAAAUCGCCGGUAUAUCAAUUGGAAGGCAAACCUCCUGUAGUCAUGGCAGGUAUAUGAAGUGGAAGGCUACGAUCAGGUGGUGCACGACGUGGACCUCCAGAAGCUCCUGGUGAGAUUCGGUGAGGACAGGGUGGAUCUCGUCGACGCUGAUGGGCCCACCCACUACGGCGCAUUCGAUGUGACUUUCAUGGCUUGCCUGCCCAAUAUGGUCGUCAUGGCCACAUCUGACGAGGCCGAGUUGUUGAACAUGGUCGCCACUGCCGCGGCCAUUAAUGGUUGCCCCUCAUGCUUCUCCUAUCCGAGAGGCAAUGGCAUCGGCGUCCCAUUGACGCAAAAGAACAAAGGCACUGCCAUCGAGGUACAUUAAUUUUUCUGAUCAAGCUCAUAAUAAGAUCCAAAUUAGUCGACGCACCUUUAGUACAACGUACACUAAAGCUGCGCCAAUUAAUUUGUAUCGGAGGAUUUAGAUCGGCAAAGGCGGGACUAUGAUCGAGGGUGAGAGUGUAGCCCUGCUGGGUUAUGGGUCCACGGUGCAGUGCUGCAUGGCGGUGUUAGCCAUGGUGGAGCAGCAUGGCCAGGGCCUCAGGGUCACCGUCCUGGAUGCCAUGUUUCGGCAACCCGUUGGAACACGCUCUCUUAUCAGGAGCGUCGCCAAGUACCACAAGGUGAUCAUCACCGUCAAGGAAGGGUUCAUCGGCGGGUUCGGCUGUCACGUGCCUCAGUCCCUCUUAAUACAAACCAAACCAGACAAGCUCAAGAUGUGUAGAAAUGUCAUCCUAGCACGAAGUUCACCAUGGAAUAGAUAUAAAAUCAUGCAUGUUAUAGAAUAACACAAUAAAGAUCACUGGCGGUCAAGUAGCUAGUGAGGCAAAAUCUAGAGUUACAACAAAAAAGAGGUGGGAUUUCACAAAGGUCUAACCAAGAUGUGGCAUCCGAUGUUAGUCAAUCACUGGAUAUAGUCCUCCAUACACAAACAUACCCAAGGCACCUCGCUCGUCAGCAACGUGCCUACGGAUCCUCCCAAAUCCCCCCUCUCCCCAAUCCUUUCCCCACGAGUUCUUGAAGCGCCAAUACUUAACGCCAUCAGGAUCCGUACCAUAACCGACAAUCAGGACAGCAUGCCAUGUAGUUGCGCUACCAUCAGGUAGAGCUUCGCACUCCAUGAUGCCUCCUUUGUAGUUUAAGAGAUCAGGCGUACCCUGUAGACAGACAACCACGGGCCGCUUUGCUACUGCUUCCUCGAGAGCAUCCUCGGUCGAGUCGACGCACCAAAAGCCUAAUAUACGUGUUGCUGCUGCUACCGUCUUGUCCCUCUGGCAACCCGAAGCACUUCUCUUGGCCAUGUAUGGGUAUGAUGAUUCGCUAGAGAGUCCAUUAUCCCGUAUGUACUUGAAGGAAUGUUGAGAGUAGCCACCGUUGCAACCGUUGUUCUCCGUGUUGCAGUCGAUAAGCUCUUGAACCGAUAGGGAGAUCGAUUGCAAGGUCUGCAGAUAGUGUCCUGCUUCGACUGAUGCUGUCGUAGCCAUGGCCCAACAACAGCCUGCAACAAAUGUGCAAGUUAAGGUUGUGGUGUAUGCUAGCUAUGUCAACAAUUGUGAUGCGUAAUUACUCUUAAUUAAGCGACCCCUGCCCGCGUAGCUGGAAAUAGCCUACUACAUCUGUAAAGUAAUAUAAGACCUUUUAGAUCACUACGGAAGGAGUAAGAUCUACUAAUUGAGCGAAUUCAAACACAUGCAUGUCAACAGCGAAGAAGACCCUUACCACAACCGCCUUGUUUCCUCACAACUGGAGAGACGGCGCCAGCUUGGACCCAGUCGAUCUCUGAUGGGCGGGUAGACUUCUCAGAAUGCUCUCCAGUCUUGUUCAUAUGCCAAACUCCAAGACCAAGAGCAAUGUGUACGGUGCACCAUGCAGGGAUCGCUAUGACAUGCAUCUUGUGGUCCCUGGAAAAACGAUGCAACAGCAUACUUAAUUAUACAAACCUCGCUCAUGAGCAAUCUGAGUACAACCCCGUCAUGUACAUGAUUUGAUUAAUAGAGGGCCAUGAUGCACGUUUACAUAGAGGCAACCAUGCAUAUAUUCUAGGGUUUCCUCGCUGAGGAAACAUGAUGCAUGUCUAUGAUGAUGAAACUAUAAGAGUCAUAUGCCGCGGGUUUGACAGAUUUACUACUACGUACCUCACAAAGAGCCCAAAGCGGCGGACACUCCGAGACUGCAAUUUGGUCACCAAUGGUUGAAAGACCGAAUUAAGCGAUGGGCGUAGGUGUAGCAGCCUAGCUCCGGACGGCCUCAACAGUGAGCCUGCCGCCGCCGCGGCGGCCUGGCAACGGCGGCGCAACAGGAUUCUGCCCACGGCGCCGAAUGCCGGACGAAACAUGCCAGCCUGCACCAGCUCGCUAUCUCCAUCCCCCGCUCGACAAUGGAUCCGAUGAAUAUAGCGGAGGAGGAGGAGGACGAGUGUUGGGCAAGAAAACGAGAUUUAUGAGCUUUUUUUUUUAUGAGCUGCUGCUCCGAGACGAGAAAGACCAGCCAAACCGCCUCACGAGCUCAUGUAUGGACCGGCCCACUGGCACGACCCAUUAGCCCUUUCUUUUUUAUUUAUUUUCAUUUUCAUGUUUUUUGGUGGGUAUUUUCUAGAGAAAAUUAAUCAAGUAACAGAAUUUUUUUAUACAACGUGAAAACUGAAAAACAAAUGUUAACAUACCUCAAUAUAAUUGUUCAAUUAUAUGGAAUGAAGAUUAAUAUCAUAUUUGGAAAAGGUUCCUGUAGAUAUAAGAAAACAUUCAUGUAUUGGAAAAUAUUUGUAUAUAUUCCUAAAAAACAAAUCAUAGGCUUAAACAAGGCUCUUUCACGCACGUUUGGAUAUAUGUUCAUAUAGUUUCUGACACAUGUUCAUAUUUUUCCCAAAAAAGGAAAAGGAAAAUGAGAAAGGAAAAGAAAGUGAAAAAGUUAAAAACGGGAAAUAAUAGACAAGGACAAAAAAAGUGAAAAAAAAGCUAGGGGAAAGUAAAAGGAAGAUGGAAAAAGAAAAUGAACGGGAGAGAAAAAAGUAGCCAAAAAAAGGGAAGGUGCUUCAUCUCGUUUUAGCCGCGACCUAUGGGCUGAAUGCAUACAUCCUCAAGGAGGGCCCUUUUUGUUAAGAAAGGCCAUCAUGGCUAGUUUUAUUAAACUCAAAUAAUGUUUACAACAUCAAGGAUGGCCUUAGUGCCCCUCCUCCGUGUGGAAGGUCUUUUAAAAUUUAGCUCAUCAAACGGCCCCUUAUCCUUCAACUCCUUAUAUUCUUGUAGCAAAAAAAGCGGUUCCUAGCCGAACUCUUAAAUUUAGCUCUUAAAAAUAUUCACACGAACAUCAACAGCCCAAUUUGAUUAAAACUACAUUGCAUAGGGACAGCACCAAUAUGUUCAAACUACAGUGCAUAAACAUGAACUUAAUCUCGUUGAUUCGAACGAAACAAUAAAAAAACUAGUCGACUUAAACCUAAUCAGAGUCUACUUCGGUGUCAUCGUUGGAACCCCUUUCUUGUACAGCUCGAGCUGCCUGUGCUUCUCGGCGAAGAGCUUCGAAUACAUCCGGUGGAGCUCAGCCAUAUACUGCUCAUUGGCGCUCCCUACCUCUAACCGCUCGAGAGCCUCCUGGUUCUCUCGCAACUUGUGGAGGGAGACCAAUAGGGGGUCAAUCUCGACGCCGGCCGGGACAUUGCGGUUGUCAAUGGGGAAGUUGAAGUUGAGUUUAGUAGCGCUGUCAUGGAGUGCCACCACAUUGAAGUCAUACACCCUCGCUGCUAGCUUGACUAGAACGAGCCCAGCCAGUACCAGACUCCGGUGUCCGUGACCUUUAUUUCCGACACCCAUGUCCCCCACGGUUGCUGCGGCACGUUCUGGUACUUCUUGUUCGGCUGUGGUGCCGGCAGGUCGGCCGUGAAGGAGCAGGAGGAAAGAGCGCCACCAUGGCGGCCUUAGGUGGGUUGUAUGCAGGGCGGUCCGGCCACGAUUUCUCUCGCAAACUGGAGAUAAAAGUGGGGGAGGUUUGCCGGAGUUCAGACCGAUCCGAAGCCCGUUUCUAACCUUCCUGGCCCACAAAAAAUAUCUCACCCCUCCCGCGCGUUUUCGGUCAGCGCCGACAUUGAAGUGGCGCGCCGGCUGAUAGAGUGCCGCCCGCGCCGCUUCCCACUGCAGGCGACUGCCGAGCGUUCAAACAAUACGACGGCCGCCCGUCCGUCAGUCUGCCGCCCGCAUUGAUGGCACGUGGUUGCCGAGGCAUCUCCUCCGACGCCACCCGUUCGUCCGUCUGCCGCUCACCGGUGCUAUAUAAACCGCUGCCCCAGUGCUCCUGCCAUUGCAAAGUCAUCCCUCUCCACAACACUCCACGCCAUGUAUCCCUCCGUUGCCAAAGCUCUCUGGGGCGAGCUUACGUCGGAGCAGAAGAAGGCCAUGGAAGCCAUUGUUGCGGACUGGCAGGCCAGCAGGCAGCCAAAAGACUUGCAAAUGCAAGACGCCUCCUCCGACGAGCCAGCACCACCCCCCUCUUCCUCUGCGGCACCCUCCUCCGCUCCACCCUCGCCGGUGCAUUACAACCUCACCAUCGACGAGGCAUGUGCCCAUUAUAUGGGCUUGGUGUGGGAGGAGCGGGAGGAGCAAUUCCAGGAAGCGCAGGCCGACGCCAACUACAACCACGACUUGCUCCAGGAGCAUCUGCAUGCGGAGGAGCACGUCACCGCCGGUAGGCAGUUGCGUCGGAAACAGACCUGGCAGAGCAAGAGGCGCUGCUCGAGUCCUAUUGGUCCUCCUGGGAGAUCCGCCUCGCCCACUGGCGGUACCGGCAGCGUGUGACAGAGGUGGCGGCCACCGGCAAGGAGUGCGACGACGCGGGCGAGGCGUUGUUCGGCACCGACGAAGAGGACAUCGCCGAGAUCGUGCCCCAGUGCCACGAUAACGAAGAAGCCGGAACAUCCGCGGGCACCGCCGGAUGCGAGGAAGAGUAGUGCACGGUAGGCCGCCACCGCUCCUCCCCUCCCGUUGACGCCAAGCUUGGUGGGCUCAACAUCUUCGGCCGAUUAGUCGCUUGGCGGCGACAUGGAGGCGGGCAGCUUCAGUUCCCGGGCCUCCAGAGGCGGAGGUCACGGAGGCGGAGCUGGAAAAGGCGCAGCUUCUAUUCUCUUGGUUCAUGAUCGGACACGGGCCAAGGACGCCGGCGAUCAUUUAGAUUAGGUAUUAAUUAUACUCCAGACACCGCCUCGGACAGCUUUGAUGUAUUUAUAAUGAAAUCCGUCAUGUUUAUAUGAAAUCUGAUAUGUUUAUAUGAAAUCAGACCGUGUUUAUAUGAAAUCCGGACUUGUUUGAACGAAUUUCGUCCAGUUGGUUGGAGUUGUUGUCAAAAUGUAUGCCGUUAGCGUUGGAUGGCUGCCUUCCGCAUCCGUGACCACGGACUAGUACCUCUGUUCAUGGACGGAUGCGGGAGGUUUUUUGCGGGUUGUCAUUAGAGAUGCCCUAAAGACUGCAUAUAAGGGAUCGGCUAGGUCCAGUUUAGCCGCUUGAUAAAAUGAUUUUUUUUAUACUCAUCUAACUUCUACUCGGACUGAAUUUCAAGAGAGAAAAAAAAAGAACUUCUACUCGGACUAGUACUCCGCGUACACAACUAGCAUGGACACGAGGAAACCAAAUUAACACGGCUACCUUUGACACAUGUGGUUACACCCAAACUGACUCCUACACGAACAGAACCUACUUAUGUUACGUAGAUUUACCUAACAAGCUGUAGUAUAAUAACUAGUAGAUCAAUAUACGUAGUAGAAGAAAACGCCAUGUCGGCGCUGGGUGAAGACGCGACCCUGGACGAUGAUGUGGUAACGGAGAUCCUCCUCAGGCUACCGUGUACCUCUGUGCUCCGCUCCCGGGCCGUCUGCAAGGCGUGGCACCGCAUCACCACCGACCCCUCGUUCCUCGCAGCCCACGCCGAGCGGCGCCCAGCCGAGCUGCUCGUCGUGUCACGAGAACCUGAAUCUGAAUGGGCUUACCAAGAUCGUGUCGACACAAUCCCGCUCUCUCUCCGAGCCGACGACGGCCCGGCGGGGUGCCAGCGUGAGCUCUAUUAUCCCGAGCAUUGUGAUGUUCACUUGCUGGUGGGUUGCUGCGAUGGGCUCCUGCUGUUCCUGCUGGACAGAUUCCCUCCAGGCCAGUGCUGCUCCUAUUUCUUCGUGUGCAACCCGGUGACCAGGCAGGGGACAUGGCUAGACCUGAUGCCGCCGGCUUGCCACGGCAACCUGCGGGUGCUCUGCGGCUUCUACCGCCACGGCCCGUCCGUCGAGCACCGGUUUCUCGUCCUGGCCAAUGAACCACGAAGCCCGAAUAGCCUGAUGACCAACAUGGACCUCUUCACUGGCUCCGCCGCGCACUAUGUUUUCAAUUUUGCAGCCGCCACCGUGUCCUCAGAGGCUCCUCGCCGGCUGGGACCGGUGCCCGGAAACGUAGUCGUCAACCCCUACGGCUCCGAGAACCAGGUCCCCAGCCACCUCUACCAUCGGGGGAAGCUUCACUGGACGACGCAUCCUCAGGCCACGAGCAUGGGCAAGAUCUUGGCGUUCGACACACUGUCCGAGGAAUUCCGGCUAAUAUCGUGCCCGGAGUGGCCAAGGGGCCAAUACUCCUACCUGAACGACCUCUGCCUCAUGGAGUUGCACGGCAGGCUAGCCAUAACAACCACUCUACUCUGUGGCGAGUUCAUGGAGGUCUGGGUGCUCGAGAACUACGACGACGACCGGAGCUGGUCACACCGUUUCCGGAUCCAACUGCCGCCGCCGUUCUGUGUACGUUGGACGAUGGGCACCGGUAUCCCUAACGUCAUUCUGGUGGGAGGCUACAUGGAAAAAUUAGCUGCGGUAUACCAUCUUACCGACAAGUGGAGCGUAGAGAAGAUAGGGUUUAUCAACAGCAACACAUCGGCUCGUCACUUUCUCUUCAAGGAGAGCCUUGCGCCACACCCCUUUUUUGAUCCAUAUUAAUUUUGUCAUGGAAAAAAGUCACGCAUGAUUCUCAUCAAUCACUAUACUCAUUCCACAUGCAUAUAUGUACUUUACCUUCAGAGUUAUACCCAAGAAACAUCCAUGUACUUUUGCCUUCAAUUUCCUAUCAUUCCCGUAUACAAAAUCAGGAAAACUAAUGAUACAUAUCAAUGAGGUAGCUCUGGUAUCUCCUUGUAGUAGUACAUUUGAAUCCUUUCGUCUUGAUUUGCAAUAAUACUCCUAUCUACUACAUCUUUUUGCAAAUCUACCUUUUUUCUCUCUUUUUGAAACACAAUUUUUUCCAGAUAAAAAUACAGAAAUUUCGAAACACAAAUCUACAUACAUUAUUAACCAUGUGACGGUCCUAGUAUUUCUAAAGUAAGAUAGUAAUGUUUUUAUUCUACCAAAAUAUUUCUCACCACUAGCGUGAACAUUCAUAAUAUAUUUCUGUCUUACUGAAUAAUAUAAAUGUGUAUGAAAAUGCUACGGGCCAACUUAUCAAUCCCCUCAAGUGUUCUAUCUUAUUUGGUCCUGCAUGCUCCAAUGAGGCACAAGAGGUGGUACGGUCUGUUCUGGAAGUAAAGAAAGAUGAGUUUGAACCAAAGUACCUCGGGCUACCAACACCUGAUGGGCGCAUGCAUCGCGGUACAUUUCAGAAUUUGCAAGUACGGCUUAUGAAACGGAUCUGCAUUUGGGGUGAUAGUCACAUGGCUCAAGCAGGAAAGGAGACUUUGAUAAAAGCUGUGGCACAUGCCAUUCCUGCUUAUAUUAUGGGCGUGUUUAAAUUACCUUUGUCAGUAUGCGAUGAUCUAACACGGAUGGUUAGAAAUUACUGGUGGGGUUCGGAGAAAGGCAAGAGGAAAGCUCACUGGAUGGCAUGGGAGAAAAUUAUUCAGCCAAAGGCUAGGGGGGGAUUGGGUUUUCGUGAUUACAGAAUCUUUAAUCAAGCUUUACUAGCCCGGCAGGCGUGGCGGCUUCUCGUCAAUCCGGACAGCCUAUGUGCGAGAGUCUUAAAAGCUAAGUAUUAUCCUAACGGUCGUUUGGAAGACACCGUGUUUGCAGGGAACGCCUCAUCGUCAUGGCAAGCGAUCACGUACGGGCUUGAGCUGUUGAAGAAGGGUCUUGUGUGGCGGGUCGGCAAUGGCCAGAAUGUCAGAAUCUUGCGAGAUCCCUGGCUUCCUCGACCACCAUCAUACAGACCCGUCACCGUGCAAGGAAGAUGCAGAUUGCGACGUGUAGCUGACCUGCUCAGCGCGCAUGGAACCUGGGAUGUGGAUCUUCUCCGCCAAUACUUCGUGUCACCGGACGUUGAGGAAAUUCUUCGCAUCAGGCCAGCACCAAGCCUUGAUGAUGUGCUACCAUGGGCACCGGAUCCCAAAGGCGUCUUCUCUGUACGGAGCGCAUAUAAGAUCGCCCUCGACGACAAAUCCCGCACAUCUACGUGCGCCAUGAGCAGGGCACCGGACGGCAAUCGCGCCGUCUGGACGGCAUUGUGGGGGUGCCCUGCUCCCCCAAAGGUACGGGUUUUCGGCUGGCGUUUGGCGACUGAUUCCUUGGCCACUAUGCAAUAUAAAUUUAAGAGGCACAUUGAAAGAUCUGACAUAUGUACCAUUUGUGGUGUUGAACCGGAGGACAACUUCCAUGUUGUCUGCAGAUGCCCGAUGGCGCCAGCAUUGUGGGAGGCCAUGCGCGAGUCAUGGCCACUGCCAGACCUGAACAGCCUCAACAACUCGGGCCCUGACUGGCUGCUGCAGCUACUUGACAAGAGCACGGAGAUAGAACGCCUCGUCAUCCUGAUGACCUUUUGGCGGGCAUGGCACUGUUGAAAUGAGGUCUCUCACCAUAAGCCGGCACCACCUGUGGAGAGCUCUCGGAGAUUCCUUGAUAUAUAGCUACAUCUCAUCACUCUUGUGCAUCAAACAAAAUCCAUAUGGGGACAUAGCUAAAGGCAAGAUGGUGGUCGACGUUGGUGCAGGUGUGCGCCGUGUGAGAGAUACCCAGCAGCAGCCGCCGCCGGUGCCGUCGCCAUCUGCAGAUAAAUGGCAAGCCCCCCCGGCGGGCUGGGCAAAGUUAAACGUUGACGGUUCUUUCAUACCGGGAGAAGACACAAGUGCGGCGGGCAUGGUACUGCGAGACGAAGCGGGUGCUAUUAUUUUUUCAGCUUGCCGUUACCUUCGCUGCUGCUGUUCGGCACUGGAAGCUGAACUGGCGGCUUGCAUGGAAGGAGUAUCUUUGGCAUUGGAGUGGACGGACAAACCCCUCAUCAUCGAAUCUGACAGUCUACAGGCCGUAGAAUUUCUCCAGGAGCAAGGCAUUAAUCGGUCUCAGGUGGCGUCCCUAGUUGGGGAGACGAAGAGGCGUUUGCAUGGACAGCGGGAACACCGCUUUGCUCAUGUUCACCGCCCCAGCAAUGAAGCUGCUAAUUUUAUGGCUCAGUUUGGCCGUACCUCUUUACGUACUGCUGUUUGGCUGAGAGCAGGCCCAGAUAGUUUUAGUAACCUUUGUCACAACGAGUGUAAUGCCACAAUUUAAUUAAUACAUACUCGUUUGACCCGCAAAAAAAAAGAAUAAUAUAAAGUUGAAAAAACAAGGAACCACGAAUUCUUUCUGCCAUGCCCGGUCGCUCACGUGUUGCUCCCGUGGGCUGCUCAGGAGCAAACCCUAGCCGCAGCGAGCAUGAUUCUCAUAAAUAGCUAUACUCAGUCCACAUGCAUAUAUAUAUAUAUAUAUAUACCUUUGCACCCGUGGGUUGUUUAACACACUUUGCCUUCAGAAUUAUACCCAAGCAACAUCCAUGUACUUUGCCUUGAAUUUCCUAUCAUUCCUGGAUGCGUACAUGAAAUGAUGAAUAUUAAUAGUAGCACUUACUACUCACUUCAACGUUAGUACAAAGUUAAGGCAUUUAUUUUGAAACAGAGGGAUUACAUAUCAAUGAGGUAGCUCUGGUAUGUCCUUAUAGUCCAUUGGAAUCCUUUCACUUAAUUUGUAAUACUCCUACCUACAUCUGCUUGCAAAUGUAUUUUUUUCUUUCUCUUUUCGAAACAAAAAUUUACAUUAUUGUUAACUAUGUGCCGGUCCUAGUAUUUCUAAUGUAAGGUAGUAUUGUUUUUAUUUUACAAAAAAAAUCAUAAUAUGUUUCUGUGUUACCAAAUAAUAUAAAGUUAAACAAUCUCAUUUAUAAAAAUAUCUUGAGAUCACAUACCGAGAUAUGGUUUUAGUGUAUGAAAAUACAAUGUGUAUCAACAUUUAAAUGCUAUUGAUCGACAAAAAACGAUUUCGGUGGAGAUACAGAGGCCAUGUAGAUAACUGGUAAGCACGUCAUCACCACCAAAAUUUAUCUGUAUUUAUUGACAUAAUAUGUAGCAAUCUUUCACUCAGCUAAAGAAUAAAGUUACAUGGUAUAAUUCAAGUAUUCCAGGUCAUAAUUGUAGAACCACAGCUAAACCGGCAUUCCCAUUAAUUUGGUAGCCUUCAGUAACAUCCUACUAGAUUCUUUUUCUAUACUAGCAAAAUAUUAAGUUCAUGCAUACGAGAUCCUUGUCCAGGGACUGAAAGAAAGGCAGUCACAAUAAGAUGAUGAAUGCGGUUACUGAUGUGAGGUGGAUGUAGCUCCAAGCACUUUUCUUUCUUUUGCUGAAUUGAAUCGAAUUGAAUCACUCUCGCCUCCAAGGUCGCACACUCGCACGCGUGUGCGGCUCCAGAGGAACCCCAACCCUACAACCGGAAGGCCCUAGAUCUCCCCCCCUGCCGCUCCCAGCGGUGGCACCCGGCCGUUGAAGGCGGCGGACACCGACGGGCCAUCUUCCUGUCGAGGCGGGCCAUCACUAGGGCUUCGGUGGUGGUGGUGUGGCCGGUGACGCGAGAGCUUUGUGAUGUUGCCCACACGGCGAGGAGCGCGGAGGAGCAGCAGAUCCGACGAGAUAGGCAGCAGGGAGGCAGGGAGUGUGCCAAGGUGAGCGGGUGGCAUCAGCGCAUGUCCACGGCCACGGAGGCGGCGGCGCAGAGGAGGCCUAGCCAGGAAGGAGAUCCUGGCAGGCAGCGGGCGGCCGGUCACCUCCGCGUUCAUGGGUGGGCGGUGGUGCUCUUCCAGUGGAGUUGGCACUAGAGUAGUGUCCUGGGCUGGUGCGUAGGUCGGAAAUUUUUUGUUUUCUGUUGCGUUCCCCUACAGUGGCAUCAUGAGCCGUGCUAUGGGUAGAUGCAGGUUGCGAUCUAGAAUACAUAGAGAUGUAUGGGUAUUGCAUAAUAUAAUUAGGUGGUAGAUGAGAUCUAUUACUGAAAAUUAUUUAUGCGGGUGACAGAUGAAAUCUGUUACCCGACGUUCUUGUUGCUUCCCUAAAAUUUGCGUUUGCUCAAUCUCGAGACAGCAUGGUGGAAUUUGACAAAGUUCUGGCAAUCCGUGAUCCUGAUUGAUCAUGGAAGUGCUAUCAGUUCUUUGGGUUCUGCCGUAGUCAAAAGAAAGAUGAAAUUCGCAGAUGAAAGGGCAUUGCAGAUAUGAUCUGCACGGGGGUCAUGCGUAUGACGAAGUUUAGUAUGGGGCUCGAGAUUUAAUUAUCUCGUGUUUCAUACACCCCGAGAUGUUAAUCUAGCAACUUGAAUAAUCAUACUUGAUGAUAAAACGUUGGUAGCUGCGGUUUAAGUCAAAACCUUAGAAGCCGCGAAAAAUAAAUUUUUGCAUAAACCGAUUAGAGGCGUCUAACUUGGUUUUGCAGGAUAUGCAUGUGAUGUGGUAUAGCAAUGCUCAUAUUCAAUUUGAUUAUGUAUGAGAUGACUAUAUGAUGUAAUUAACAUGACCUGCGUUUCAUGAUUCGGCAUGAUGGCUGGAGCCAUAUGAUUGUCACUUUAAUGACCUGCGUGUCAACCUUAAGUAAUGCACUUAUUUUAUUAGCUAUAGAGAUAGCAAUAUUAUGUGGUGCAUCAACAGGGUGGUGGCAAUCUUCGUGAAGGUGAACACCGACGCAAAUGCCGAAGACGAAGAAAUGAAAUACUUCUCCGACAGGAAGGGCUAUACCAUAUCAUGCUAUUAUGAAUUGCCUGAGAUGUUUAUCCCUUAUGAUGCACCCUUCUUGAUUGCGCGGUAGUCGCUUUUUAUUAGGGUGAUCUCUCACUUAAAAUAUCAAAGUAGUUAGUGUUCACCCAAGUGUAGCACCGUCUGAAAUUCGUAUCUUUUCGGGGUGCGCCAUGUACACAUGAGCACGAACGAAUCGACAGGAAUGAGGCGGGUGAGGUCAGACCUCGCAGCAAGAUCACUUGGCUGUCUUUGACGUUCAGGCAGGAGAGUCCUGAGCUUGGAACACGCCCAUCGAAAGAUGAACAAGAAUCACAUAGAGAUGUGAUCGGCAAGUUGGCCUACCGAUUGAAAUUCGUGUCAUUAGUGAUGAACCCGUCAAUGGCAUCGAAUAGAAAUAUGGAUCUUGAAUCACUCUAAAUCAAUUAUGAGAGAUAUUGAUUUGAGUGGGAGCGCACUGUUGAAUUAACAUGUUUAAUUCUCAGUGCAAUUAAUUAUGAACACUGUCUAAGUGUUUCUUGCAAAAUAGUUGUAGAAUAAUGGCUCGCGUUUCCACCUUCCCUGUUAAAAUUGAUUAGCUGUUAAAUAUCUGGUUAAAACUUUACGUUUGGUAACUUAAUGUGAGGAUUGUCCUCAAAAGUGCCGAGAAGGAUUUUGUCUUAUCGCAUGCUUUCCGUAUCCUCCCGCUAAUGCUAUGGAUCAUGUGACUCUCGUCCUUCGAUCCAAAAGCUAGAAUUCUGUUACGGUCAAGUGGAAUAUGUUUGCUUCCAUGAAACCCAAACUUCGAAAGUUGGGAUAGUUAUUUGAUAUUCAUGGAACUGAAAAUUAUUUUCAGAUACAAACAAAGCAAUGUUUGUUUGCAAGUAUUAAUAAAAGUGUUUACUAUGCAUUUGACUGUUGGGAAAGGGAUCCAGAAGAACGACUGUCAUAUAAUGAAAGGUGAAUAAAACAACAACUUAAAGAUAAAGGAAGUGUCCAAAGGGUGUUAGUAUGACUUACACGCCUAGGAAGUCCGGGGCUAACGCCACUCUUAUGUUGGGUGCUUCUUUUGCGAGUAGGAGAAAUACUAAAAGUUAAACAGUUAGAAGUAUGAAGGCAGAAAGAGAGAUGACUGGAAUAUCCAUCUCAUGUAUGAAUGCCAUACAAGUUUUUGAUGUAUCGUAGGAUGGUCAAAGAUAUAGUUCUUGGGAAUUUUGGUUAAACAUGUUAAUCACUAAUUCUUGGGUAUUGUGAGUUAAUCACAAAGAUACCCGCUCGAUUGCAUUCUGUUGCGAAUCAAUGUAAAAGCUACUAUGACCUAAAAAGACUAGCCAGAAAUGAGGUUAAGGUAUACACAGGGAACAUAGUAAAUGUUACUAUAUUUUCCAUCGGUGUAUUGCCGUCUGUAUUUAUUUUCAUAAUUCAUUUAGAGUUUUACAAACUCUAGCCCAUUGCAUAAGGUAUCUUGCAAGAAGGUUGUUCAUAAGAGAACUUUUUAUGUUCGAUGUUAUGAAUAACACAAGGGCCAUACUUUCAUUAUGAAUGAUAUGUAUGUUAUGAAUAUUGAUAAUAAUACAAAACCUCUGGGUUUACUUUCAUAAUUCAUUUUAGAGUUUUUUACACUCUAGCCCAUUGCAUAAUUUUUAUUGCAAAAGGGUUGUUCAUAAAAGAACAAUUGUUGUUCAGUAUUAUGAAUAACAUGAAGGGCCAUGCUUCCAUCCAAGAUGGGAUGUAUGUUGGGAAUAUUGAUGGUAAAAUGAUACAUCCAUAACACUGACGCUAAAUGUCGCAAGACUAUGAGAAUACCACACAUGUGUGGAACUGCAUUUGGUCACAUUGGAGAAACCCGCAUGGAAAAAUUCCAUUAUGAUGGAUUUUGAAGUCGUUUGAUUUUGAAUCAUCUGACACUUGAAACUUUCCUCUGAAAAGUGAAGUGACUGAAAUACCGUUCACAGGCCAUAAGGAACGAGCAACAAACUUAUUGGUGAUCAUACAUUUUGAUGUAUGUAGUUCAAUAAAUGUUGUUGCAAGUAGUGGAUUUAUAUAUCUUCAGAAAUGACUCAAGUAGAUAUAUGGAUAUUUGCUUGAUGAGUCGUAAGUCUGGAUCUUUUGAAAUCAUUCAAAAGGUUUUCAAAAAUGAAGUAGAAGUUAUUGUAACAAGGAAAUUAUGUUUCUAUAAUUUGAUUGCAGAAAGGAAUAUCUGAGUUACAAGUUUAGCGAAUGUGUGAUGAGUUGUGAAAAGAGUUUCAUAACAUACACCUUCUGGAACACCACUAUGAGUGGAAUGUCUGUGAAGAUGUAAUCAAACCAUUUAUGACAUGGUAAGGUCAAAGAUGACAUAAAUAAAUUUGCCAUUAUCCCUUUUAAAGUGAUGCUUUAGAGGCUGCGGCUUUUACACUGAAAAGAGCUACAUCGGGUCUGUUGAAAUGAAUCCAUGGUAUGGUACGCCCAACCAUGUUAUCUCUUUUCUUAACAUUUGGAAUAUGGGUCUUGUGUAAAAGGUUACAAACCUAUUCCAAAUUAGACAAGUGCUACUUUGUAGGUUAUACAAAAAUGUUGGGUAUUCCUCCCUCACUAUACCGAGGCAAAUAGUUUUGCCGCGAAACGGUGUGCUUUUAAAGAGAAUGGUUCUUUCAAAAAGGUAAGUGGGAGAAUAGUGCAACUCGACGAGAUAAACAGUAUCUUCGUCAUCAGAUCAAAGGAAAGAGACCUUGGAAGUAAUUCCAGAGUUUCCUACUGCGAUUGAUACGGAAGUCUCUACAAUAAAAUGUAUGAACUUCGGUCGAACUUGCAACUGAACCACGUAGGCAAGGCUCGUGCAAACCUCUCAGGUGCGCGAAUGAGAUAUUGUUGUUAGACAACAUUAUACCUGACUCUGGAAUUGGCUAAAUGCCAAUACAACCCGAGUUAGUUUCCAUAUAAGUGAUUCAAGAUUAAAACCUUGACACACCUUUCCGAAGACUUAGAUUCUAACGAAUAUUUAUGGAACCUUAAACUAAUACGGAUAAAAAUGUUUUAUCCAUAAAGCUCGACUUGUUGAAAUAACAAGUUCAAGAGUUGACUACGAUAAGGUUGUUUUCAUCGUAGCGAUGCUUAAAGUCGGUUCGGGUUGAACUAGCAAUUAAUACAUAUUUCAAUCAUGAGAUAUGAAACAUGGAUGACAAUAGGAUUUCCAUCUGAUGGAAAUGAAACUAAGGACUUGCAUCUGUUACAGUCCAAGGCAUUUUGUCUAUCCAGAGGAUGCUAGUAAGGGUGCAAACUUCAGAAUUCCAGCGAUGGACAGAAGAGAGCAAAAUGGAGUUGGAAUCUUCGUGUUUUGGUGAAAUGGUCAAAGGGUUCUGACUUCAUCAAUGGGUAACGAAGAUGCUUGUAAUUCAAGAAAGUAAGUGGGAGCGUAAUAAUAUUUCUAAAAACUUUGUGUGCUUAACACAUUGUUAAUUGGAAAUAAAUUUCUUGACACGAAUUAGGACUUCAUUGGAAAUUGUUUUUGAUGAAGUGCUUAGGCUAAAUAGCCUCAAUUUUAGGCAUGAUGAUCUAUGGAGAUAGAUUUACCUAAUAUGGCUAAGCAAUGAAUACAUAUUGACAAGGUGCUAAAACCUAUUUAGCAUUUAAAACGCUAAGUAGUGAUUCUUGACUAAGUCACAUGAAAAGAGCUUUUACAAGACUCGUUGUCCCAAAACACUGAGGAGUAAAAUACUUGAUGAGAUUCCACACACCUUCGUGUUUUGGACUAAUCAUGUAUUCCAUGGUAUGUAAAACAACCAAUGUAAAACAACCAGAUAUGUCCGAUACUCCCAAGGUGUUGCAAGUAUGGAUACUAAAGUGAUCAAAGUACUGAUCGUGGGAAAACAGUGAAAGAUGUCAUUGAGUACUAGAGUAAGUACUGAUGAUAUGUUUUCUUUCAAGCGGAGAUCAUGAAGAGUUCGUUAUAAAAUGCUACGUCGAUACAGUCUUCAUCUUUUCUCCAUGCGAUUUUCAAUUUAAGUUAAGGGUUUUGUGUAAUACACAAUAUGGUGGCAGGGUAGUUAGAAAUUGUUCCCAACAGGAUACUGUGGCGAAUUCUAUAACAAAUGACUAAGUAUGUUGACGCUUUAGAAGGGACAAAAGAAGAUGUUGAAUCAUAUAGUUCAUUCAUGAACUUAGUAUGGUUCCAAGAUGGCUUCUGUCAAUGGGACACUACUGCAGGUAGUUGCUCCAUAACUCAGUCUGAGGAAUCCAGGUUCGACCUAUGAUUCACAUACAUACAACGCCAAGUCCACACAAAAUAUGAAUUUUGUGAAAGCAUGAAAAUGCGAGGAUAUGCAGAGAUACAUACGGAGCUGAAAUUGUCAAAUCCGAUGGACAUCAGGCUAUACCACAUGCGAAGCAUUUUUUACACCAGUAUGCCAUAGGUGUAAAGUGCAUUAGCAUUAACUAGAUUAUUGACUCGAGUGCAAGUGGGAGUCUGUAGGAGAUAUGCCAUAGAGGCAAUAAUAAAUGAUAUUAUUUAUCUCCGAGUUCAUAAUUAUGUUUAUGUUCCAUGCUAUAACUGCAAUGAUUCUCGAGUCUGCAAUAUCCACGAGGCUCAGAGGAAGACUCAUAUGCACGUGUGGAAUAAUAAACGGUAAGAAGUAUUCCUAGUCUGGCCUCUAAGACUAGCUCUAGUGUUGCAUGAUGGUUCUGUUUUCCUGAUCAUGGGCAUGUUAUGCCAGCAAUUUUGAGGGCACAAUGUUAAGAGAACAUUUGUGUUGAAUCGACCCGGAUUGAUGUUAUGCUAAGAGAUUCAUUCGUCACAAGUUAAUGGUGCAUAACACAGAGAUGGUUAACGUUUGCAUAAUUCCUUAGACCAUGAGAGUAUCGAGUUUCUUCAUGCUUGCUUCAUGAACUUUGGGGUUUGUUAAACGUCAUCCGUAAAUGGGUGGCUAUUACGGCAGCUUACGGGUUCAUGGAAAAGUGUGUCAACUAACUUGAUAACUCAAGAUUGGGAUUUGCUCCUCCGACGAUGGAGAGAUAUUCUCGGGCCCUCUCGGUAUUACGGUAUCCAUCAUCGUCUGGCCAGACACAGUGUGAUUUGAUCACUGGGAUGCCGGAACACAGAAACGAGAAAAGAGAACAAAACCGGUAACGAGGUAACUUGCAUGGUGGACAAAUUUUUCGUCCACGGGGAUGCAACAAAUCUCACAACGGGUGUUUGUGACAUAUCGCGAAGCAACAGGAAUAGCUCACUGCAACUGGAGGUUCACUCGAAUAUUCAUUCGUGUGGGUAUAGGGGACAAUAUGGGUGUCCACGGCUCCGAUGUUGAUCAUUGAUCGGAAGGGGUUCCGGGUCAUGUCUAUACUUCACCGAACCUAUAGGGUCACACGCUUAAGGGUCAUCUAUCUGCUGAAUACUAGACAAGGAGUCUGAGAGAAAAUCAUCGAAAGAGUUUCGGACAGCGGAAAAGUUCCGCAGAGAGAGGUCACUGGAUGAGUUUCGGUGAAACCGAAAUAGUUGUUUCGGGGUAUGCCAUUAAGUCAAAAUGGUUUCAAAACAUGCCUGAUAAUUCUUGGAGGGUGCCAGAAUCAUUCUCGAAACUUUUUGGAAUUUUCGGAAAUAAAAACCGGAAAUGUUCCGGAGCUGCAGGAACCGGUUCAGAUGCUUUUCGCGGAUGAAAAUCACUAAACUGGAAUUGUUCCAGAACACGUUGAAAAUUAUUAUGAUGGGUACUGGAAAUGUUCUAAGCCCACAUAGAUAUUUUCAGUUCGAACGGACGCUGAAAAAUGUCAUCGUGAAUAGUGAAAGUGCUUUUUGGGAUAUUUUAUGGAAAGCCACCUUUUGGGGCUUUGCCCAAAAGAUCUAGGGAUGACAUGGAUGGAUUGGGAGACCCUCAUGGGGGCCCACCAAGGGGUGUGGCCGGCCACACUUGGGGCUCCACCUUGGAGCCCCUCUUGUUCCAUGGUUUCACUCUUAUGUCCUUGAGGAAGGACUUCAUUCAUGUUCAUUUUGGGUUUUUGUGUUAAACUACCCUACCCCUUGGGAUUUCCUAUAAAUAGAGGUGGAGGGGCAGCCCUCCACACUCACUCUUUCUCACAUACAAGUGCCAUGCAUGAUCUGGCUUCUCUCUCCCUCCCAGCGAAAUAGUUUCAUAGAGCCGUAAGGCUGUCUGGGUUCCGGCAGGAACUAGUUCUGGACGGCGAAGCCCUGCCGGAUAGAUGACACCGUAUGUGUGCAACUCUGUAGAGAGAUCGUAGUUUCGGUCUUAGUUCGUGAGUGCCUCCCAAAGGGCUGUCUAUGUGACCGUCCGAGUUUCGAAGGUCCUCCCGAAGGGCUGUCCCAGUGACCAUUCGAGUUUCGAAGGUCCUCCCGAAGGGCUGUCCGCGACACCGUCCGGGGGGCUGUUCGACCACCUCCCGGAGGGCUGUCUGAGGAGCAGAUGAGGGUAUUCAUCCUCGCAGGUGGGAGGUUGUAAAUCCUAGCUGCGGGGAUCUGCACCGCCGAUCGUCAUCGACUCUACUUCCCGUUGCGCUACGAGUCGGUAACGAAAAAGAUCAAACCAUGUAUGCAGUCUCCAUAGUGGUCCUGGGCUGGUGCGUAGGUCGGAAAUUUUUUGUUUUCUAUCGCGUUCCCCUACAGUGACCGCCAUCUGAACCGGUUGAAUAUAGCCCGUGCUACCAUCUCCCACUGGUUGCACCCAGUAACCAAAGCCUCCCUAGAGUCCAUAGGAGUGAGUAAGGACCACGUGCGGAUUAAUGUGGUAGUUCUGAAGAUGACCUGCAAGAAAGUUAAAAUGUGUUGUCUGUUAAAAAUCAUAUCAUUCUUACAAUUCCAUAUAGCCCAUAAAAACGCACAUAUUCCAAUCCGAAUACGAGACGCGGUAAUAUGCCCAACCCCAGCUAACCACAUUCCAAACAACGAUUCAAUGUCAACUGGAGGAUUAAAGUUAAAGGCUAUAUGGAUCAUUCUCCAAAGCAAUUUGGCGAGUGGGCACUCAAGGAAUAGAUGUUGUAUUGUUUCAUCAUGAUCACAAAAAUAACAACGUCAACUACCUACCCAUCGCCUCUUUAUUAAGUUAUCCUUGAUGAGUAUUACUUUUUUGUGGACGAACCACAUAAAUAUUUUAAUACGCAAGGGAAUCUUAACCUUCCAAAUAUGUAACGAUCUCGAGAUUGGGCCAAAAUUAAUUAGAUCCAUGUAAAACGAUUUCAGCGCAAGUGCCCUAUUUCUAGCUAACUUCCAGUGCGUCGAAUCAGGUUGGUCGGAUAAUUGAACAUCUAUCAUCCUUCGGACCAAGUGCAUCCAGGCAGUCCAUCGCACACCAACUAACGCAUGUCUGAACUGAAUAUUCAAGGGAGUCAUUUGAAAUAUUGUGCCUAUGUAAUCCUCCUUACGUUGCAUGAUGUUAUAAAGGGUGGGAUAUUGUAUGGCUAGGGGCGUCUCUCCUAACCACGUAUCCUCCUAAAAUCUUGUUGACAUUCCAUUGCCAACCAAGAAUUUAACCCUACGAAAGAACAAGUCCUACAUUCUCAUGAGUCCUUUCCAGAAUGGCGAGUCAGACUGGCACUUGUUUGAUUUGGAUGAUACAGUUUUUUAUUCACGUCGUUAAAUGGAAAUGGACAAUGACCAUUUUGGAUGAUACAGGUGAGGAAGAGACUACAGAAAGACUAGUUAUGUGGUCACCUGGGACUCUAGAGUGUUUUUAGGUGCCAUGCAGUCUUGUUUUGCUGUUAUAGACUUGAUAAAUGCUAUGAGCUAUUUUUGGCAGCACCAGUGUCGUUUCAUUGUUGGUUUAGCAGGUGCUUUGGCUAAAAGAAGAAAAGAAAAAUGUUACGCACGCCUAGGUUAUGUCAUGAUUGUUAUUGGCUUUGACAAACUUUGACCUCUGUCUUCUUCAGAUAUCUGUAUCAGUGCUGAUGGUAUCCCAGGAGUGCUGGUUACUGGGGAAGUGUAUGCGGCAUGUCGAAUCAUUCUUCCGCAGGAGGCCCCUAAAGCUUCAACUUGUUGAGAAACUGUCUGCACUCCGCAGUUUGGAACCUUGCGGCAUGAUGCUGUGAAUUUCUUGGAUAGUGGGCUUCCCUGAUGGCUGCUCUGCUAGUGCUAGCUCAGGGAAUGGCCUCUACAACUGAACUGUACUGCAGUCGGUCUUGACCGAGAAUUGUUGGGGCCUAUGGUGUAGGGCGAUUGCUUGGCAUCGAGUUGAGAUGCAACGCUGAAUCAAACCCUGGCCGACACAGCGGAUCUGAUGUGGAUUUGGUUUGCUGCUCGUCCUUUGGGUCCGUGCCCAUGAUGGGCAGGGAUCACCAGCAGUUUACAAUCAUCCAUGGCGCUUUACCCCCGUGGUGUUCUACUUAUCUAAACAAAUUUUUGUUUUUGAAAUGUCAACCGGGGUAUAUAUAUCAAAAAGAGGAAGUCCUCGGUUUGUGAUCAUACAGCAGAGGUGAAUAGCGGGGCAGAAGGCCACGUAGCUUUUUUUUGGAAAUGGAGGCAUACCCCCGGCCUCUGCAUCAUAAUGAUGCAUGCAGCCAUCUUAUUAAAGAGUCUCGAAGUAGCACAAAUUCAUAAAAGUAAUACAGCUCGCAAGCGGAGCGAAACUAAGAAAAGAAAAGUACAUGCUCAAAAUCACAACCGGCCAGGCAAAGUAAAGGAGAAGCUCCCUAGACUCCUAUCCUGUUAUGCGACCGCCAUCCGAACCGGUUGAAUAUAGCCCGUGCUAACAUCUCCCACUGGUUGCAACCAGUAACCAAAGGCUCCCUGGAGUCCAAGGAGUGAGUAAGGGCCACGUACGGAUCAAUUCAGUAGCUCUGAAGAUGACCUGCAAGAAAGUUAAAGUGUGUUGUCUGUUAAAAAUCAUAUCAUUCCUACAAUUCCAUAUAGCCCAUAAAAGCGCACAUAUUCCAAUCCGAAUACGAGACGCAGUAAUAUGCCCAACCCCAGCUAACCACGUUCAAAACAAUGAUUCAAUGUCAACUGAAGGAUUAAUGUUAAAGGCUUUAUGGAUCGUUCUUCAAAGCAAUGUGGCGAGUGGGCACUCAAGGAAUAGAUGUUGUAUUGUUUCAUCAUGAUCACAAAACAACAACGUGAACUAGCUACCUAUCGCCUCUUUAUUAAGUUAUCCUUGGUGAGGAUUACUUGCUUGUGGAAAAACCACUUAAAUAUUUUAAUACGCAAGGGAAUCUUAACCUUUCAAAUAUGUAACGAUCUCGAGAUUGGGCCAGAAUUAAUCGGAUCCAUGUAAAGGACUGGAUAACAUGUUAUAGCCUUAUAUAGGGCUGAGCCACCAAAUCCACAUUUCUCUCCGUAUAAUUUCUAUAUGUUAAUGUGCAGCAGCUCCCGAUGAACCUAUUUUAGGAUAAGAAUUUUUUUAGGGCAUUUUUUGUUGGUUUUUUAUGAAAUCAAAUACAAUCCAGUGCAUUCCAUAGUAGGUUUUCUGCCCCUAGCUAGUGGUAAAGAACAAGUUCAAUUCAGUCUUAUGAUGUUAUUAUUGAUGCCUUGUUCAAAUCAAAUGGACAAGCAUGUACUAAUCAGUGAUUUAUAUCUUAAUACCGAAAAUUUGUGCUGAUUUAUGAAUUUGUUGAUCCCGAGGUUCUCCUAAUCCGUGUACUAAUUUAUUUGGGCAAUUUGGGUUAUUUUGGUCUCAUUAUAAGGACUGUGCUAAUCCAUGUUACAAAUAUGUUGUUGUGCCGACUAAUUUGUGCUAAUUCUGAAAAUAUGUGCGUCUAAUCGCCAAUAAUAUCAUGUGUAAAACCAAAAUUUCAUCGUUCUUGAGGACAUGGAAGCGCUUAUUCUGUGCUUUUCCUGCUGAUAUGCACUUCAGUAUAUGAAAAUGUACACUUGAUGUGGUGUUUAAAUUUUCAACUCACACUUAUAGAGACGUGCAGUGCACCAGCCAACUGGCGCAAGCUGUACAUUGACGGCAUACAGUUUCGGUCUUCCAGUCAACAUAAGUUAUCAUUCGUACUAGUCCGUUUUUCUGUGACACAUUAGCACGACUUAAGAGGCACACCCAUCUACGUGCCAGUUGCCUGAAUCAGGAGGGCGAGGAAGCAGAAUUCCGCUGUGUAGCGCAACAGUGAUAUAUGUCUGCACGCGCUAUGCAGGUGGAGGAGAAGCAGUUCGCGUGGAAGUUCCGUGUCUCUGAUGUCUGAGAAGAAAGCUCUUACAGAAUUUUCGUCCGCUUGGUGGACUGGAGCGACAUCCAAGUUAAUUAUAGUGUCCAAUCAUCCCUAUAUUUCAGCGUUUCUUCUGCUUUGUACCAUCAUAUUUCAUAUGUGCAUCGGAGGAAAUGUGCAUUCUACAUGAUGGAGUGGACCGUGUCACACAGUCCCCAUUUACAUGGCCAUAGGCAGUGGCUCAAGAAUUUUUCUUCAAGUGUCACUGUUGUUCUAGCUCUCUAUCUUCGAUUUUGUUGAUUCCUUAGUAUGGUUGCAAAGCUAGGCGUCAUCUAAUUUAUUUAGCUAAGCUGAUAAAGAGAAUUCCACAUGGCCCUUUAUUCCAGUUUUCACUGUCUCACAAUAACAACACAUAUUAAGCUCACCAAACUAGAUCCAUACUCAUAACUUACCUUUCAUCAUUGAAUAACUGGAGAUUGCCAAGUUGUCUUUUAUCAUGUCAGUAUAUUAAGUAUUAUGUAUGUUCAUAUGAACAAGAAAUAAUCAUCUGCCAGCAGAUUAUGAGCACUUCUGAGUUCCAUCAUGUACUCAAUCUUAAUUACAGAUGUCAUCAGAAAAGGACAAGAAAGUGACCACUUGCUUCCGGGUCUUCUCUCUUCAGCAAUAAGCAUGUGAUGCAUUCAAGAUUCAACGAAUUCACGAAAACCAAUUGUGUUCCUCCCUACACGGUAGGUGCUGCUCAAGAUGAAUUAUAUUUUGUUGAUACACAGUAGGUGUGUUGUUUCACGUCUAGUCAGUGGAGGUAAUUGUUUAAUUUGCAAUUCUGAACUUUCUGUAGUAUUCAGAAAGAAAAUCUGUAUCAUUUACUAAGGUCACAACCAAUUGAACAUAAUUUUGAAAACCUGCACUGGAUGUUCUGACAUAAAUACAUAGUAUAUUGCUCUACUUGCAAUAUUCUUGAUUACAUGCUCGUGGAAGUUUUUUAGUUGAAGUGCACAUUGUCUAAUAUGUCUGCCGAUGCCUCAGUUUAGCCAUUUAACUAAUUUAAAACCAGCAUAGUUAAUGCCAACGCCUUGUUUAUUUUGGAACUAUCUAUGGCUAUCUGAUCUCAUGAGGGAUAUUGCUUUCCAAUUAAAAUGAUACUUUAUGUAACCUCAUGAGGGCUAGCUAUUGCUAUUACUAACUGCACUAGUCAACUAGGAUAUCCACUCUUCCAUCUUAAUUCUUCUGUUCUUGAACUAGCUAGACCCGUAAGGAGGAGGAUGUGAAGUUGAUACACACCACUACUGAAAUUUUCCUCUUUGCCGAGUGUUAGGCUCUUUGCCAAGUGCACUAAAUCGGACACUCGACAAUACUGUCUUUGCCGCGUACUUAACUCGGCAAAAACAUGAAACUCGGCAAAAACGUGAAACUCGGCAAACAGGCACUUUGCCGAGUGUCGGGGACAAAACGCUCGGUAAAAUAGGAAAACUGGCAAACAAGGCUUUGCCGAGUGCUACACUCGGAAGGGGUCUUUACCGAGUGUCACACUCGGCAAAAGGGGGGGUCUUCACUAAACUGCAUGGUUUUGACUGUAGAGGUUGCAUACGACCUUGGAUGAAGAUGGUCCAAAAAUCAAAGUUGUUCAUUUUGACGAGACGGACAAUUUGUAUGUUGAAAAACUUUUCAUUUUAGGCCAUAUUAAUUGCACUUUUUGGCAUGCCAAAUAUUAAUAUAGUCUCAAAUGACCAAGGUGAUGGCCAUAUUCAUUGCAUAGUUUUAUUAUAAUGUUCCCAAAUCAAACACAUAGGUGCAUCUUGACAUUACCAACAAUGUUGCCAAAUAGAGUUUCCUACUUUUUGUACAAAAAUCAUUUUUCAUUUUCCAAGUGUAAAAAAUGGGUGUUUUUUGUGAAGCAAGUACAAAAAUCAUGGUGCAAAAUGGCACCACUCCAAUUAUCACAGUAAGUAGACCAUAUUUUAUGCACAAUUCCCAAGUUUCAUCGAUAUUCUAGUUUUCUAGCUACUUUCGCACAUUUAAUUAACUUUAUGCCAAUUUCCCGAUAGUAAUUAAAAUUUGAACUGGAAGUGUGUGAUAGCUUGGUCAUCAAAAUUAGCAAAAAGAGAUUCAACCCCUUGUAAUAAAUAGCCAUGUCGACCAUUUUGACCCCGUAUUAAAAAAGAUAGAAAAAGAAUACAAGUUCAAAAAAUGCAAUCCUUUUGCAUGAAGUCCUGUUAUGUGUACUAGUUUUGGAAGGAAAUACCAAACUUUCAAUAUAACAAAUUUGAAAAAGAUCCUUCACAAAACGGGCUAUCGUGUAUGAACAUUAAUGACUUUCAAUUCAAAGGACCAAGGUGAUGGUCAUAUUCAUUGCAUAGUUUAUUAUAAUAUUCCCAAAUUAGACACAUAGACGCAUAUUGACAUUACAAACAAUGUUGCCAAAUAGAGUUUCCUUUUUUACAAAAAAAAAACAUUUUUCAUUUUCAAAGUGUCAAAAAUGGAUUUUUUUUGUGAAGAAAUUACGAAAACCAGGGUGCAAAAUGGCACCACUCCAAGUGUCACCAUAAUUAAACCAUAUUUUAUGCACAAUCCCUGUGUUUCAUGGAUUUUCUAUAUUUCUGGUUACUUUCGCACAUUUAAAUGACUUUAUGUCAAUUCCCGGAAGUGAUUCAAAUUUGAACUGCAAGUGUGUGAUAACACUUUCAUAAAAUUAGCAAAAAAUAUUUUUAUGCACAUAUAUAGUCAUUAUAUGGGAGAACCACUUAGUGUUUUGAGAGAUUCAUCGCCUUGUGAUAAAUCACCAUGCCGUUCAUUUUGACCCCGUUUUGAAAAAAAUGAAAGAAAAUGAAUACAAGUUCAAAAAAUGCAGUGGUUUCGCAUGGAGUCCUUUUAUGUGUACUAGUUACGAGGAAAAAUACCAAAGUUUUCAUAUGACUAAUUUGAAAAAAAAUCCUUCACAAAAUAUGCUAUCGCCUAUGAACAUUCAUGGAUUUCAAGUCAAAUGACCAUGUGAUGCCCAUAUUCAUUGCAUGGUUUAAUAUAAUGUGCCCAAACUUGGAUCAUGGAUGCAUCUUGUCAUUACAAACAAGGCUGCCAAAUACAGUUUCCAACUUUUUUGUAAAAAUAAGUCAUUUCCCAUUUUCUAAGUGUAAAAAAGAGUAUUUUUAUGAAGCAAGCACAAAAAACAGGGUGUAAAAUGGCAACAGUCCAAUUUUCACAAAAAAUAUACCAUAUUUGGUGGACAAUUCUCAAGUUUUAUGAAUUUUCUAGAUUUCUUGCUAUUUCCACACAUUUAAAACACUUCUGAUUUCCCAAAAGUAUUUCAAAUUUGAAAUGCAAGUCUGCAAUUACUCAGUCCAAAUAUUUUUAGAUACACAAGUAUUCACUAUAUGGAAGAACCGCUUAGAUUUUUCAUAUUUUCUUGUGUGUUCACAAUAUUUCUAUUCAUUUUUUUGUGUUUACCGAGUGUUACGCUAAUUAAAAAUCAUGUUUUUUCUGAUUGGUUGAGAGAAAGCACACUCUUCUCAACCAAUCUGAGAACAACAUACGGAAUGAUGACGUGGCGUCAUGGCAGCCGCACAUCUCUUACUCUCUCUUCUAUCUCUCUCCCACUCUCUUCUAAAUCACGAGCGUGUGUCUCAUUUCCUCAUCUCUCUCCUUGUCUUCUCUCGCGGCCACCACCGGCGGGCAGUGGCCGACCACCAGCACCGCCGCGACAUUGCGAGCGCGCCAUGGAGAACAAGGCCCGCAGACAUUCGUCUCCUCCGGCCGCUGACCUCGCCCUUCCGAUGGCACGCCAGAUCAGCCAGUACGUCGAGGUCGUGCGGACGACCGACCGGACUCCCAACUACACGCGCUUGGCUCCGCCGUCUUUGCUCCUCUUCCUGACCUAGCUGUUGCUCCUCUUCCGCAGGUCCUUCUCUUCAUCGAUCACGCAAGCAGCACCACCACCAGCGGUGUAGCUAGCUAGCUAGUAUACUGGUGUGCUAGCUAGUACUCCGAUGUUCUGGCUAGCCGGUGCAAUAGUAGCUCAGGAGGACGGCGAGGAUCAAGAGCAGCAACAGCGCACACGACAAGCAGCAACGGGCACGCGAUGGCAAGCAGCGGUAGCAGUCGGCGCCUGCAUUUGACCACCAAUGGAUAUAGGACGGGGUCAGGCGGCGCUAUUUUUUUUUCUAUUUACUCCCUUUACCGAGCGGUACUCUCGGUAAACUACCUUGCCACAUAGCUACAACACCAUUUGCGCCGUCCCGUCUGAUCGCUUUUUUUGCCGAGUGACCGUAUUUGAAACUCGGUAAAGACUUUGUCCAGUGUUUGACAAGUGGAUCUCGGCAAAUUUUUGUUUGCCGAAAAGGGGUACGCCGAGUGUCCUUUGCUGAGUACAACACUUGGCAAAGGCUUUGCCGAGUGUUUGUGGCACCCACACUCUCAGGUUUUAUGGUCUCUACCUUAGGUUGCUUAUUUUGCAUUCUGUGAAGAACAAAUGUGGUAUAGUAUGAGAGCAUGUAAAGGNNNNNNNNNNNNNNNNNNNNNNNNNNNNNNNNNNNNNNNNNNNNNNNNNNNNNNNNNNNNNNNNNNNNNNNNNNNNNNNNNNNNNNNNNNNNNNNNNNNNNNNNNNNNNNNNNNNNNNNNNNNNNNNNNNNNNNNNNNNNNNNNNNNNNNNNNNNNNNNNNNNNNNNNNNNNNNNNNNNNNNNNNNNNNNNNNNNNNNNNNNNNNNNNNNNNNNNNNNNNNNNNNAACACCCUGCUGCCAGCAACUCCUUUUCCGUACCUAGCACAAUGAUUGUUGGAUUGAUGUAGCGAUUUUUUGCAACCACUCAAAGGACAUAAAAAUAAGGAAAAAAUUGGGAACUUAUUUAAAAUUAACUAGCUAGUGGUGUCUGUGAAGUUCAAGAAAAAGCUGGACUUUUUCUUGACAACAAGUUAAUGUCAAAGAAUUAAUAAAUGUAUUUGCAAAAAAAGAAAGCAAACCGAAUUAACGAUAAAACUGGUUUAGGUUUUCACUAUAGACAAUGGUAGUAGUCUGAACCAGAUACAAACCAAUAAAAAACAAGAUCUCAAAUCUCCAACCAUUAAAGAGUUGUAUGUUAGUCCUUUCUUAUGUUCAACCCAAAUUUUACAAUAACACUAUUAUACUUAAAUCUUGAUUAUUGCAAUACAUAAAUAAUUAAUUAAUGCACCAGCUUGCGGUUGUAACCAGACAAGAUGAACCUAUGAACUUGCAAGAAUGGCAAUCGGAUCGACAUCCACACAACACCGGUAUGAACAUUGUCUAGAUCAAACUUUAUUUGUAUUUUAUUUCAUAAUUUAAACUCGUUUGUGCGGAUCACACAUGACAUUGUGUGACACUUUAUUUGCCACCGCUACAUCGACAUGCCCAUCGACUAAGCAACGGCGAUCCAACUAUAUAUUACUAGAGAUAUUUUCUUAUCAGUAGGCACCAACUUGGGUGCCAACGCCGAAUGGCACACUAGUGGUGGUGCCGUACACCGGCACGUUGACACUGCACAUCAUUGGCAGGGUACGGAGUGCAAUGGAAGUCAUCAACUCAAGUUGAGCUAUUUGGUGUGGCUGCAACAAGGUACCCUGUGGUACCUGUUGUUGUUGAGGCCAUUGACCCAGUUGUUGUUGUUGAGGUCGUUGGAAAGAACACUGUCCGAGCUGCUUCUGUUGUUGUUGGGGUUGGGAGACACCUUGGACCGACUGUUGGGGUUGUUGCUGCUGAGGUUGGUUGAAACCCUGACCAUGUUGUUGUUCUUGUAGGACGAUCGAGUAGAUGAUGGCACGGAUUGCAUCAUAGCGUGAUUGUUCGGGGAUUCGCGGCAGCUGCUGGCAACAUUGUUGCUGCAUCACAUGGCAACUGCUCUGCCACAACAUUUGCGACCUAGCAAGACUUUGUGGCAUUGCCACAGGGCUGCAUUGCUGCUGGAGGAAUACCUUGCAUGGGUUUAGCUGCUGCAAGAUAGAUGGCUGAACAUAUGGUAUUUGUUGUUGCGGAAGAACCGGUUGUUGGUGUUGCGAAAAAGGUGGUUGUUGCGGUAGAAUUGGUUGUUGUUGUUGCUGUUGCGAAAAUGGUGGUUGUUGCGGUAGAACUGGUUGUUGCUGCUGCUGAGAAAAUGGUGGUCGUUGUUGUGAAAAUGGGGGUUGUUGCAGUAGAAGUGGUUGUUGUUGCUGCGGGAAUGGUUGUUGUUGCUGCGAAAAUUGUGGUUGUUGUUGCUGCGAAAAUGGUGGUUGUUGCGGUAGAAUUGGUAGUUCUUGCUGCGAGAAUGGUGGUUGUUGCUGUGAAAAUGGUGGUUGUUGUUGCUGCGAUAAUGGUGGUUGUUGUUGCUGUGAACAUGGUGGCUGUUGUGGAAAUGGUUGUGGUUGUUGUUGGAUCGGUUGCUGUUGGUGGUACCAUAAUAUUUGUUGUAGUGGUAAUGGUUGUUGUUGCGAUGGUUUCUCCAAGCCAGGGAUGUGGCUAGUCUCCAUUUGUGCAAUGGCACUUGUCGCUGCAACGGCAAGGAGGGCAAAGAUGAGGAAGGUCUUCAUGGUGAAUUGGUGUUAACUAGUGUUGCUUGGUUUGAUGCUUGUGCUUGUGAUGAUCAUUAUACUUCAUGUCUAUUUAUAGUAGCCCAUGCACCACCUCUUUCCUUCUUUGCAUCAGCUUUAAUAAUUGUGUUUGGAUGUUUCUGAAAUGGAUUUUUGGUACAUUAUGGUAGGUUGCACUAGCUAUACGCGUACUUUUGGAUUGAUCAUCAAAGUUGCUUUUUAGUUGUGCAUAUGAUCAUACACAAAGUACAUGAUGUUUGAGGUAGAUGACUUGCCUUAUUCACUUUACAUGUCAUGCAUUUAUCAGGAUAGUAUCACUUUUACACCCGAUUUUGGAAAAGUUACAUGAUGUUUGCUAUAGAUGACUUGCCUUAUUCACUUUACAUGUCACACACUUAUCAGGAUAUUAUCACUUUUACACCCGAUUUUGGAACCUUGCAUAGGGUGUCAGCCUUAAACAUGAAAAGGCAAAACUUGUGUAGGACUAAGUUGCAAUCAUGUGUGGGUUGUUAAGAUAUGCUCUAUUAUUAAAGCCUUACAUGUGGAGGGUUCUUCUAGACUCAAUUGUUUCUUAUAGAACUAACAUUGUAUUGUCCUUUAAGAUGGUAAGAUAAAUUGACACCUAUAGAGCAUGACACGACUCAUCGAAUUCCCUUUACAUGUAAAGGAUUGUAAUUGCUUACAAGUCACUAACAUAUAUCUGGUCCUAACUCUAGACACAUCAUCAUCAGUUUGAUCUUUGUGUUAAGGAUUUUUAUUUGAUCAUAUCAUUCUUUUGGCGGACUAAGUUUGCAAUAUUGUGCAAAUAUUUCAACGGGCCCACCUGGUCUCUUUUACUAAAUCUUUGGGGCAGGAGGUUGAUAUUUAUUUGAAUUGUGUAGAAUAUUUACAUUGGUAACCUAUUGGAAUUAUUGUAUGUUCGUUAUACUAUGACGACAACAUAUAUAGUUUGGUUUACUGUGGUUCAUGUUCAGGUGUACAAUAAUGAAUUUACUAUAUCAAGGUACUUUAUCAACCCAAAAUAAAAAAUUCCAAACAUUUCAACAUUUUUCAUGAACAAACCUUUAGAACCUAUUCGCGACUAUCCUCCUAGAUCAUGGACAACCAGCAUAUUUCAUUUGUAGGAUUUUGACAAGGUCUUGAUUGUUUCCCACAUAAAAUGUUCUAGAUUGUUUCAUGGCAACUUGUUUGUGCCCGACUAUUUUCAAACUUCUUAUCUAGGCCAUACUUAUGUUUUUCUGUCAUUAAUCUAUUAACUGCUGAAUGAGGUGGUCCCAAAUGAUAAAGAAAACUAUGUUAGGAGUAUGGGCAUCUCUUUCAAUAAAACCAGAGGAUUUUAUGAUUAUGAUUUGGUUCGAAAUAUGUUAAUGAUAUGUGCACUCGAUCUGGGCCCUUAUCCGAUGAAUUGAAAAGUGUUAAAUGGCCCAUGCAUAAAUCUAUAUUUGUUCACAAGUAUCAGAAAUCUGGAAUGGUGACACUACAUAUUCAAUUCAAAUUUGAAAAUACAUCUGAUCCCAGCUAUAAAGGUCGCCAUGUGUCUCAAAGGAGUCUCCAUGGCAACUCUGGCCGUCUGCAAUUACACUAGAUGGCAUGCUAGUCUGCCAUCCAUCGUGGGGAUCCGCCGACAGGACAGGUCAGAGUUCCCGCGGUUGCAACUAGCAGGUUAUUCAUCCAAUCUCUGUUCGUCAGUUAGUGCUCGAUCCUAGAGUAAAUGGUACUUGUAUGGAUAUAUAGUUGCAGAGAGGAAUUUCUUUGCCUAGUGUUUGAUCGGAUUGCUAGCUGGAUUGGUGGAGAAAUCACUACUUCUUCGUGGUAGGGUAGCAGUGGACAAUUAGUACAGACAUACCUGGCAAAAAAUUCUGGUGUGUUGAGAAGUAUAUUAAGUGGAGAUAGUACUAGAUCUGAUGGCUGCCGGAGAUAGUAGUAGAUGUAAUACUACACACUGGCACAGUAUGAGGUCAUUAUAUUGUUCUGUACAAAGUCUGUCACUGAGAUGUACAUAUAUGAGUUACAGCCGUAUAUAUAUUUCUUGCAAAAUCCAUGCUUCCUUGCAGGUGCCCCCGAGACAGAGCCUAUUCCCUAUUUGGUACGGUGAGUAUUAAAUCGAAACUCAAAAUAUGCAUUUAUCGAUUUGUCAAUCUCACAUUAUAUGCAUCUGAUAGGAGAGGUUAUCGUCAGAGGUUGUGGAACAAUCUGAAGGACACUUGUGGUUAAGCAGCAACAGCAGCAGGUGAAGUGUUUCAUGUCAGUCAGUUGGUAGUCAGACUGGCACUUGUUUAAUUUGGAUGAUACAGUUUUUUAUUCACUUUGGUAAAUGCCAAUGGACAAUGACCAAUUUGGAUGAUACACGUGAGGAAUAGACUACAGAAAGACUAGUUAUGUGGUCACCUGGGACUCUAGAGUGUUUUUAGGUGCCAUGCAGUCUUGUUUUGCUGUUAUAGACUUGAUAAAUGCUAUGAGCUAUUUUUGACAGCACCAGUGUCGUUUCAUUGUUGGUUUAGCAGGUGCUUUGGCUAAAAGAAGAAAAGAAAAAUGUUACGCACGCCUAGGUUAUGUCAUGAUUGUUAUUGGCUUUGACAAACUUUGACCUCUGUCUUCUUCAGAUAUCUGUAUCAGUGCUGAUGGUAUCCCAGCAGUGCUGGUUACUGGGGAAGUGUAUGCGGCAUGUCGAAUCAUUCUUCCGCAGGAGGCCCCUAAAGCUUCAACUUGUUGAGAAACUGUCUGCACUCCGCAGUUUGGAACCUUGCGGCAUGAUGCUGUGAAUUUCUUGGAUAGUGGGCUUCCCUGAUGGCUGCUCUGCUAGUGCUAGCUCAGGGAAUGGCCUCUACAACUGAACUGUACUGCAGUCGGUCUUGACCGAGAAUUGUUGGGGCCUAUGGUGUAGGGCGACUGCUUGGCGUCGAGUUGAGCUGCAACGCUGAAUCAAACCCUGGCCGACACAGACAAUCAGAUCUGGAUUUGGUUUGCUGCUCGUCCUUUGGGUUCGUGCCCAUGAUGGGCAAGGUUCACCAGCAGUUUACUAUCAUCCAUGGCGCUUUAACCCUGUGGUGUUCUACUUAUCUGAACAACUUCUUGUUUUUGAAAUGUCAACCGGGGUGUGUGUGUGUGUGUGUGUGUGUGUGUGUCACAAAAAGAGGAAGUCCUCAGUUUGUGAUCAUACAGCAGAGGUGAAUAGAGGGGCAGAGGGCCACACAGUUUUUUUUUAGAAAUGGAGGCGUACCCCCGGCCUUUGCAUCAUAAUGAUGCAUGCAGCCAUCUUAUUAAAGAGUCUUGAAGUAGCACAAAGUCAAAAAAGUAUUACAGCUCGCAAGCGAAGCGAACCAAAAAAAAAAGUACAUGCCCAAAAUCACUACCGGUAAGGCAAAGUAAAAGAUAAGCUCCCUAUACUCAUAUCCUGUUCUGCGACCGCCAACCGAACCGGUUGAAUAUAGCCCGUGCUACCAUCUCCCACUGGUUGCACCCAGUAACCAAAGCCUCCCUGGAGUCCACAGGAGUGAGUAAGGACCACGUAUGGAUCAAUGCGGUAGCUCUAAAGAUGACCAGCAAGAAAGUUAAAAUGUGUUGUCUGUUAAAAAUCAUAUCAUUCCUACAAUUCCAUAUAGCCAUAAAAGCGCACAUACUCCAAUCCGAAUACGAGAUACAGUAAUAUGCUCAACCCCAGCUAACCACAUUCCAAACAACAAUUCAAUGUCAACUUGAGGAUUAAAGUUAAAGGCUAUAUGGAUCAUUCUCCAAAGCAAUUUGGCGAGUGGGCACUCAAGGAAUAGAUGUUGUAUUGUUUCAUCAUGAUCACAAAAACAACAACGUCAACAACCUACCCAUCGCGUCUUUAUUAAGAUAUCCUUGAUGAGGAUUACUUGCUUGUGGACGAACCACAUAAAUAUUUUAAUAUGCAAGGGAACCUUAACCUUCCAAAUAUGUAACGAUCUCGUGAUUGGGCCAGAAUUAAUCAGAUCCAUGUAAAACGAUUUCACCGUAAAUGCCCCAUUUCUAGCUAACUUCCAGUGCGUCCAAUCAGGUUGGUCGGAUAAUUGAACAUCUAUCUGAGUUGUCAUUUGAUUAACGGGAUCACAUCAUUAGGAGAAUGAUGUGAUUGACUUGACCCAUUCCGUUAGCUUAGCACUUGAUCGUUUAGUAUUCUGCUAUUGCUUUCUACAUGACUUAUACAUGUUCCUAUGACUAUGAGAUUGUGCAACUCCCAUUUACCGGAGGAACACUUUGUGUGCUACCAAACGUCACAACGUAACUGGGUGAUUAUAAAGGUGCUCUACAAGUGUCUCCGAAGGUACUUGUUGGGUUGGCGUAUUCCGACAUUAGGAUUUGUCACUCCGAUUGUCGGAGAGGUAUCUCUGGGCCCACUCGGUAAUGCACAUCACUAUAAGCCUUGCAAGCAUUGUAACUAAUGAGGUAGUUGCGGGAUGAUGUGUUACAGAACGAGUAAAGAGACUUGCCGGUAACGAGAUUGAAAUAGGUAUUGAGAUACCGACGAUCAAAUCUCGGGCAAGUAACAUACCGACGACAAAGGGAACAACGUAUGUUGUUAUGCGGUUUGACCGAUAAAGAUCUUCCUAGAAUAUGUAGGAGCCAAUGUGAGCAUCCAGGUUCCGCUAUUGGUUAUUGAUCGAAGACGUGUCUCGGUCAUGGCUACAUAGUUCUCGAACCCGUAGGGUCCGCACGCUUAAUGUUCGGUGCCGAUUUAUAUUAUGAGUUAUGUGUUUUGAUGUACCGAAGGUAGUUCGGAGUCCCGGGUGAGAUCGGGGACAUGACGAGGAGUCUCGAAAUGGUCAAGACGUAAAGAUCGAUAUAUUGGACGACUAUAUUCGGACAUCCGAAAGGUUCCGAGUGAUUCGGGUAUUUUUCGGGGUACCGGAGAGUUACGGGAAUUCGCCGGGGAGUAUAUGGGCCUUAUUGGGCUUUAGGGAAAAGAGAGAGGGUAGGCUGUGCGCCCCCCAAGGCCUAGUCCGAAUUGGACUAGGGGGAGGGGCUGCGCCCCCUCCUUCCUUCUCUUCUCUUUUCCCUUUCGUUGACUCCUACUCCUACUACUCGGAAGAGGGGCAAUCCUACUCCCGGUUGGAGUAGGACUCCUCCAGGGCGUGCCAUAGGAGGGCCGGCCCUUCCCCCUCCUCCACUCCUUUAUAUACGGGGGCAGGGGGCACCUCUAGACACACAAGUUGAUCUGUUGAUCUAUUCUAGCCGUCUGCGGUGCCCCCUCCACCAUAUUCCACCUUGGUCAUAUCGUAGCGGUGCUUAGGCGAAGCCCUGCGUCGGUAACAACAUCAUCACCGUCAUCACGCCGUCGUGCUGACGGAACUCUCCCGCAAAGCUCUGCUAGAUCAGAGUUCGUGGGACGUCGUCGAGCUGAACGUGUGCUGAACUCGGAGGUGCCGUGCGUUCGGUACUUGGAUCGGUCGGAUCGUGAAGACGUACGACUACAUCAACCGCGUUGUCAUAACGCUUCCGCUUUCGGUCUACGAGGGUACGUGGACACACUCUCCCCUCUUGUUGCUAUGCAUCACCAUGAUCCUGUGUGUGCGUAGCAAAUUUUUUGAAAUUACUACGUUCCCCAACAGUGGCAUCCGAGCCAGGUUUUAUGCGUAGAUGUUAUAUGCACGAGUAGAACACAAGUGAGUUGUGGGCGAUACAAGUCAUACUGCUUACCAGCAUGUCAUACUUUGGUUCAGCGGUAUUGUUGGAUGAAGCGGCCCGGACCAACAUUACGCGUACGCUUACGCGAGACUGGUUCUACCGACAUGCUUUGCACAGAGGUGGUUGGCGGGUGUCAGUUUCUCGAACUUUAGUUGAACCGAGUGUGGCUACGUCCGGUCCUUGAGAAGGUUAAAACAGCACCAACUUGACGAACUAUCGUUGUGGUUUUGAUGCGUAGGUAAGAACGGUUCUUGCUCAGCCCGUAGCAGCCAUGUAAAACAUGCAACAACAAAGUAGAGGACGUCUAACUUGUUUUUGCAGGGCAUGUUGUGAUGUGAUAUGGUCAAGGCAUGAUGCUAUAUUUUAUUGUAUCAGAUGAUCAUGUUUUGUAAUCGAGUUAUCGGCAACUGGCAGGAGCCAUAUGGUUGUCGCUUUAUUGUAUGCAAUGCAAUCGCCCUGUAAUUGCUUUACUUUAUCACUAAGCGGUAGCGAUAGUCGUAGAAGCAAUAGUUGGCGAGACGACAACGAUGCUACGAUGGAGAUCAAGGUGUCGCGCCGGUGACGAUGGUGAUCAUGAUGGUGCUUCGGAGAUGGAGAUCACAAGCACAAGAUGAUGAUGGCCAUAUCAUAUCACUUAUAUUGGUUGCAUGUGAUGUUUAUGCAUCUUAUUUUGCUUAGAUCGACGGUAGCAUUAUAAGAUGAUCUCUUACUGAAUUUCAAGGUAUAAGUGUUCUCCCUGAGUAUGCACCGUUGCAAAAGUUCUUCGUGAUGAGACACCACGUGAUGAUCGAGUGUGAUAGGCUCUACGUUCAAAUACAACGGGUGCAAAACAGUUGCACACGCGCAAUACUCAGGUUAAACUUGACGAGCGGAGCAUAUGCAGAUAUGGCCUCGGAACACUGAGAUCGAAAGAUAGAGCGUGAAUCAUAUAGUACAUAUGAUCAACAUAGUGAUGUUCACCAUUGAUACUACUCCAUCUCACGUGAUGAUCGGACAUGGUUUAGUUGAUAUGGAUCACGUGAUCACUUAGAGGAUUAGAGGGAUGUCUAUCUAAGUGGGAGUUCUUAAGUAAUAUGAUUAAUUGAACUUAAAUUUAUCAUGAACUUAGUACCUGAUAGUAUCUUGCUUGUCUAUGUUGUUGUAGAUAGAUGGCCCGUGCUAUUGUUCCGUUGAAUUUUAAUGCGUUCCUUGAGAAAGCAAAGUUGAAAGAUGUUAGUAGCAAUGAUGCGGAUUGGAUCCGUGAUCUGAGGAUUAUCCUCAUUGCUGCACAGAAGAAUUAUGUCCUUAAUGCACCGCUAGGUGACGGACCUAUUGCAGGAGCAUAAGCAGACGUUAUGAACGUUUGGCAAAACUCGGUAUGAUGACUACUUGAUAGUUUAGUGCACCAUGCUUUAUGGCUUAGAACCGGGACUUCAAAAAUGUUUUGAAACGUCACGGAGCAUAUGAGAUGUUCCAAGAGACGAAAUUAGUAUUUCAGACUCAUGCCCAUGUCAAGAGGUAUGAGACCUCUGACAAGUACUUUGCCUAAAAGAUGGAGGAGAAUUCCUCAACUAGUGAGCAUAUGCUCAGAAUGUCUGGGUACUACAAUCACUUGAAUCAAGUGGGAGUUAAUCUUCCAGAUAAGAUAGUGAUUGACAGAGUUCUCUAGUCACCAUCACCAAGUUACUAGAACUUCGUGAUGAACUAUAAUAUGCAAGGGAUAACAGAAACAAGUCCCAAGCUCUUCGUGAUAAUGAAAUCGGCGAAGGUAGAAAUCAAGAAGGAGCAUCAAGUGUUGAUGGUCAAAAAGACCACUAGUUUCAAGAAAAAGGGCAAAGGGAAGAAGAAGGGGAACUUCAAAAAGAACGGCAAGCAAGUUGCUGCUCAGGAGAAGAAACCAAAGUCUGGACCUAAGCCUGAAACUGAGUGCUUCUACUGCAAAGGGACUGGUCACUGAAAGCGGAACUGCCCCAAGUAUUUGGCGGAUAAGAAGGAUGGCAAAGUGAGCAAAAGUAUAUUUGACAUACAUGUUAUUUAUGUGUAAUUUACUAGUGUUUAUAGCAACCCCUCGGUAAUUGAUACUAGUUCAGUUGCUAAGAGUAGUAACUCGAAACGGGAGUUGCAGAAUGAACAGAAACUAGUUAAGGGCGAGGUGAUGAUGUGUGUUGGAAGUAGUUCCAAGAUUGAUAUGAUCAUCAUCACACACUCCCUAUACUUUCGGGAUUAGUGUUGAACCUAAAUAAGUGUUAUUUUGUGUUUGCGUUGAGCAUAAAUAUGAUUUGAUCAUGUUUAUUGCAAUACGGUUAUUCAUUUAAGUUAGAGAAUAAUUGUUGUUUUGUUUACAUGAAUAAAACCUUCUAUGGUCAUACACCCAAUGAAAAUGGUUUGUUGGAUCUCGAUCGUAGUGAUACACAUAUCCAUAAUAUUGAAGCCAAAAGAUGCAAAGUUAAUAAUGAUAGUGCAACUUAUUUGUGGCACUACCGUUUUGGUCAUAUUGGUGUAAAGCGCAUGAAGAAACUCCAUACUGAUGGGCUUUUGGAAUCACUUGAUUAUGAAUCACUUGAUGCUUGCGAACCAUGCCUCAUGGGCAAGAUGACUAAAACUCCGUUCUCCGGAACAAUGGAGUGAGUAACAGAUUUGUUGGAAAUCAUACAUACUGAUGUAUGUGGUCCAAUGAAUGUUGAGGCUCGCGGCGGGUAUCGUUAUUUUUCCGCCUUCACAGAUGAUUUGAGCAGAUAUGGGUAUAUCUACUUGAUGAAACACAAGUCUGAAAUAGUUGAAAAGUUCAAAGAAUUUCAGAGUGAAGUGGAGAAUCAUCGUAACAAGAAAAUAAAGUUUCUACGAUCUGAUCGCAGAGACGAAUAUUUGAGUUACGAGUUUGGCCUUCAAUUAAAACAAUGUGGAAUAGUUCCACAAACUCAUGCCACCUGGAACACCACAUAAUGGUGUGUCCGAACGUCAUAACCGUACUUUAUUGGAUAUAGUGCGAUCUAUGAUGUCUCUUACCGAUUUACUGUUAUUGUUUUGGGGUUAUACAUUAGAGACUGCUGCAUUCACGUUAAAUAGGGCACCAUCUAAAUCCGUUGAGAUGACGCCUUAUGAACUAUGGUUUGGCAAGAAACCAAAGUUGUCGUUUCUUAAAGUUUGGGGCUGCGAUGCUUAUGUGAAAAACUUCAACCUGAUAAGCUCGAACCCAAAUCGGAGAAAUGUGUCUUCAUAGGAUACCCAAAAGAGACUGUUGGGUACACCUUCUAUCACAGAUCCGAAGGCAAGACUUUUGUUGCUAAAUUUGGCUCCUUUCUAGAAAAGGAGUUUCUCUCGAAAAAAGUCAGUGGGAGGAAAGUAGAACUUGAUGAGGUAACUGUACCUACUCCCCUAUUGGAAAGUAGUUCAUCACAGAAACCGGUUUCUGUGACAUCUACACCAAUUAGUGAGGAAGCUAAUGAUGAUGAUCAUGAAACUUCAGAUCAAGUUGCUACUAAAUGUCGUAGGUCAACCAGAGUAAGAUCCGCACCAGAGUGGUACGGUAAUCCUGUUCUGGAAGUCAUGUUACUAGACCAUGACGAACCUAUGAACUAUGAGGAAGCGAUGAUGAGCCCAGAUUCCGCAAAAUAGCUUGAGGCCAUGAAAUCUGAGAUGGGAUCCAUGUAUGAGAACAAAGUGUGGACUUUGGUUGACUUGCCCGAUAAUCGGCAAGCCAUCGAGAAUAAAUGGAUCUUCAAGAAGAAGACAGACGCUGACGGUAAUGGAUCUCCAAAGGCCGCUAACACUGUGUGUAAGCUCCAGCGAUCCAUUUAUGGACUGGUGCAAGCAUCUCGGAGUUGGAAUAAACGUUUUGAUAGUGUGAUCAAAGCAUACGGUUUUAUACAUACUUUUGGAGAAGCCUGUAUUUAUAAGAAAGUGAGUGGGAGCUCUGUAGCAUUUCUGAUAUUAUAUCUGGAUGACAUAUUGUUGAUUGGAAAUGAUAUAGAAUUUCUGGAUAGCAUAAAGGGAUAUUUGAACAAGAGUGUUUUCAAUGAAGGACCUCGGUGAAGCUGCUUAUAUAUUGGGCAUUAAGAUCUAUAGAGAUAGAUCAAGACGCUUAAUUGGACUUUCACAAAGUACAUACCUUGACAAAGUUUUGAAGAAGUUCAAAAUGGAUCAUGCAAACAAAGGGUUCUUGCCUGUGUUACAAGGUGUGAAGUUCAGUAAGACUCAAUGCCCGACCACUGCAAAAGAUAGAGAGAAGAUGAAAGAUGUUCCCUAUGCUUCAGCCAUAGGCUCUAUCAUGUAUGCAAUGCUGUGUACCAGACCUGAUGUGUGCCUUGCUAUUAGUUUAGCAGGGAGGUACCAAAGUAAUCCAGGAGUGGAUCACUGGACAGCGGUCAAGAACAUCCUGAAAUACCUGAAAAGGCCUAAGAAUAUGUUUCUCGUUUAUGGAGGUGACAAAGAGCUCAUCAUAAAUGGUUACGUUAAUGCAAGCUUUGACACUGAUCCGGACGAUUCUAAAAUCGCAAACCGGAUACGUGUUUAUAUUGAACGGUGGAGCUGUCAGUUGGAACAGUUCUAAACAAAGCGUCGUGGCGGGAUCUAUGUGUGAAGCGGAGUACAUAGAUGCUUCAGAAGCAGUGAAUGAACGAGUCUGGAUGAAGGAGUUCAUAUCCGAUCUAGGUGUCAUACCUGGUGCAUCGGGUCCAAUGAAAAUCUUUUGUGACAAUACUGGUGCAAUUGCCUUAGCAAAGGAAUCCAGAUUUCACAAGAGAACCAAGCACAUCAAGAGACGCUUCAACUCCAUCCGGGGUCAAGUCCAGGUGGGAGACAUAGAGAUUUGCAAGAUACAUACGGAUCUGAAUGUUGCAGAUCCGUUGACUAAGCCUCUUCCCCGAGCAAAAUAUGAUCAGCACCAAGACUCCAUGGGUGUUAGAAUCAUUACUUUGUAAACUAGAUUACUGACUCUAGUAAACCCUUUGAGUGUUGGUCACAUAGCGAUAUGAACUAUUGGUGUUAAUCACAUAGUGAUGUGAACUAUUGUUGUUAAAUCACAUGGCGAUGUGAGCUAGAUUAUUGACUCUAGUGCAAGUGGGAGACUGAAGGAAAUAUGCCCUAGAGGCAAUAAUAAAGUUAUUAUUUAUUUCCUUAUAUCAUGAUAAAUGUUUAUUAUUCAUGCUAGAAUUCUAUUAAAUGGAAACAUGAUACAUGUGUGAAUACAUAGACAAACAGAGUGUCACUAGUAUGCCUCUACUUGACUAGCUCGUUGAUCAAAGAUGGUUAUGUUUCCUAGCCAUAGACAUGAGUUGUCAUUUGAUUAACGGGAUCACAUCAUUAGGAGAAUGAUGUGAUUGACUUGACCCAUUCCGUUAGCUUAGCACUUGAUCGUUUAGUAUUCUGCUAUUGCUUUCUUCAUGACUUAUACAUGUUCCUAUGACUAUGAGAUUAUGCAACUCCCGUUUACCGGAGGAACACUUUGUGUGCUACCAAACGUCACAACGUAACUGGGUGAUUAUAAAGAUGCUCUACAGGUGUCUCCGAAGGUACUUGUUGGGUUGGCGUAUUUCGAGAUUAGGAUUUGUCACUCCGAUUGUCGGAGAGGUAUCUCUGGGCCCACUCAGUAAUGCACAUCACUAUAAGCCUUGCUAGCAUUGUAACUAAUGAGUUAGUUGCGGGAUGAUGUGUUACGGAACGAGUAAAGAGACUUGCCGGUAACGAGAUUGAACUAGGUAUUGAGAUACCGACGAUCGAAUCUCGGGCAAGUAACAUACCGAUGACAAAGGGAACAACGUAUGUUGUUAUGCGGUUUGACCGAUAAAGAUCUUCGUAGAAUAUGUAGGAGCCAAUAUGAGCAUCUAGGUUCCGCUAUUGGUUAUUGACCGGAGACGUGUCUCGGUCAUGUCUACAUAGUUCUCGAACCCGAAGGGUCCGCACGCUUAAAGUUCGGUGACGAUUUAUAUUAUGAGUUAUGUGUUUUGAUGUACCGAAGGUAGUUCGGAGUCCCGGAUGAGAUCGGGGACAUGACGAGGAGUCUCGAAAUGAUCGAGACGUAAAGAUCGAUAUAUUGGACGACUAUAUUCGGACAUCCGAAAGGUUUCGAAUGAUUCGGGUAUUUUUCGAAGUACCAGAGAGUUACGGGAAUUCGUCGGGGAGUAUAUGGGCCCUAUUGGGCUUUAGGGAAAAGAGAGAGGGGAGGCUGCGCCCCCCCCCCCCCAAGGCCUAGUCCAAAUUGGACUAGGGGGAGGGGCUGCGCCCCGUCCUUCCUUCUCUUCUCUUUUCCUUUUCCUAGACUCCUACUCCUACUACUUGGAAGAGGGGGAAUCCUACUCCCGGUGGGAGUAGGACUCCUCCUGGGCGCGCCAUAGGAGGGCCGGCCCUUCCCCCUCCUCCACUGCUUUAUAUACGGGGGCAGGGGGCACCUCUAGACACACAGGUUGAUCUGUUGAUCUAUUCCAGCCGUGUGCGGUGCCCCCCUCCAUCAUAUUCCACCUCGGUCAUAUCAUAGUGGUGCUUAGGUGAAGCCCUGCGUUGGUAACAACAUCAUCACUGUCAUCAGCCGUCGUGCUGACGGAACUCUCCCGCAAAGCUCUGCUGGAUCGGAGUUCGUGGGACGUCAUCGAGCUGAACGUGUGCUGAACUCGGAGGUGCCGUGCGUUCGGUACUUGGAUCGGUCGGAUCGUGAAGACGUACGACUACAUCAACCGCGUUGUCAUAACGCUUCCGCUUUCGGUCUACGAGGGUACGUGGACACACUCUCCCCUCCCGUUGCUAUGCAUCACCAUGAUCCUGUGUGUAGGAAAUUUUUUGAAAUUACUACGUUCCCCAACACUAUCAUCCUCCGGACCAAGUGCAUCGAGGCAGUCCAUCGCUCACCAACUAGCGCAUGUCAGAACUGAAUAUUCAAGGGAGUCGUUUUUAAUACUGUGCCUACGUAAUCCUCCUUACAUUGCACGAUGUUAUAAAGGGUGGGAUGUUGUACGCCUAGGGGCGUCUCUCCUAACCACGUAUCCUUCUAAAAUCUUGUUGACAUCCCAUUGCCAACCAAGAAUUUGACCCUACGAAAGAACAAGUCCUACGUUCUCAUGAGUCCCUUCCAGAAUGGCGAGUCAGUUGGUCUCACGGUAACCUGGGCGAGCGUUUUUGACUGUAAAUACUUAUUGCGUAGAAUCUGUGCCCACAUACCUUCCGGCUCUGCCUCUAACUUGUAGAGCCAUUUACUCAUAAGACAUUUAUUCUUAAUUUCCAGGUUCUCAAUACCGAGACCCCCCUGGUCCUUGGGUCGGCAAAGAAUAUCCCAUCGGGCGAGACGGUAUUUCCUCUUGGCCUCAUCAGACUGCCAGAAGAAUUGAGAUCUAAAUAAAUAAAGUCUCUUCCGCACCCCUUUCGGUAUCUCGAAGAACGAUAGCAGGAACAUCCGCAUACUAGUACGUACCGAGUUAAUCAGCACUAGCCGACGUCCAUACGACAUAAGCUUGCUCUUCCAACUACUAAGCUUUUUUUCAAUUCGAUCUUCGUUGCACUUCCAUUCUAUAUUAGAUAACUUACGGUGAUGAAUCGGUAUGCCCAAAUAACUGAAUGGCAAAGAACCUAAUUCACACCCGAAUAGUUGUCUAUACAUGUCUUGCUCUUCUUUGGCCUUUCCAAAGCAGAACAACUCGCUCUUGAUAAAAUUUAUCUUUAAUCCAGACAAUUGUUCGAAGAGACAUAAUAUGACUUUCAUAUUUCGCGCUUUUGCAAUGUCAUGUUCCAUGAAUAGGAUAGUGUCGUCAGCGUACUAUAAAAUGGAGACUCCCCCAUCGACCAGAUGAGGGACUAACCCCUCCACAUGACCGUUUUGCUUGGCCCUACAAAUAAGAAUGGUCACCAUAUCGGCCAUUAUAUUAAAUAGGAGAGGAGACAUGGAAUCCCCUUGUCUCAAUCCCUUGUGUGUAUGAAAGUAAUGACCAAUAUCAUCGUUAACCUUGAUUCCGACACUACCCUUCUAGACUUGAGAACCCACUUGGUUCUGCCAGGCCUCACUAAAUCCUUUCAUGUGCAUUGCCUGCUGAAGGAAAGGCGAUUUAACUUUAUCAUAUGCCUUCUCAAAAUUCACUUGGAAGAUAACCCCUCCAUCUAGCUUCUUCGAAUGAAUUUCAUGCAGGGUUUCAUGUAGAACGACCACCCCUUCAAGUAUGUGUCGCCCCGGCAUGAAAGCUGUCUGGCUCGGUGGUACCACUGAAUGAGCAAUUUGUGUCAAUCUAUUGGUACCCACUUUCGUGAAUAUUUUGAAACUCACAUUAAGAAGACAUAUUGGCCUGAAUUGUUCGAUCCGAACUGCCUCUUCUUUCUUUGGCAACAGUGUAAUCAUACUAAAGUUAAGAUGAAACAGUUCUAAAUGACCGUUAAAAAUCAUGAAACAUAGGCAUAAGAUCAUCUUUAAUAAUAUGCCAACAUUUCCUAUAGAAUUCAGCUGGAAACCCAUCUGGUCCCGGUGCUUUAUUCAGUUUCAUUUGUGAGAUUGCAUCCAAAACCUCUUUGUCAGUAAAUGGUGCAGAUAGAAUAUCAUUCUCCUCUACUCGAAGCUGAGGGAUAUCUCCAAUAAAAUAUUCAUUAAGGGACACCGUGCUUGCUUCCGGAGGCCCAAAAAGUUCUUUGUAAUAAUUAGAGAUAUAAGCUUUCAGAUUCUCACGCCCUGCAAUUGUCCCGUUGUCCUGUUCAAGCUGUAUUAUUUUCUUCUUCCUAUGUUUACCAUUCGUGAUCAUAUGAAAGAAUUGUGUAUUGUCAUCCCCUUGGACAACCUUAAGCACUUUAGCCCGCAAUGCCCACUUGAGCUCCUCUUCUCUAAGAAGGGCUCGUAAGCCUUGAUGGGUUUCGGACUUGGAGCUCUGCUCAUCAGCCGUAGGAAGGUUAACUUCAGCUUUUAAAUCUAGCGCAUCUAUUAAUUGGGUGAGUCGCUCUUUUUCUUGUAUGUAUAUGCCACUCUCGUUUCUGGCCCAAUCUCGCAAAACUGUCUCAGUUGUCUAAUUUUAUUUUGCCGUCUCUCAAUAAUUGUUCGUCCACUAACAGGGUUUGCCCAUUCGCGUGCAAUGAUCUCCAAGAAGUUUUCUUUCUCGAAUCAACCUAGUUCGAACGAGAAAGCAUUCUUGUUUGCAAUAUGUGUAGCCUAUCCCGAGUCUACUAGUAAUGGUGUGUGGUCUGAGAUCGCCCUCUGCAUCGCAUGUACCGGCACUAAUGGGUAUUUUUGUUCCCAAUCCACACUAGCGAGCACCCUAUCCAACUUCUCAUAAGUUGGAGUGGGCAACGAAUUGGCCCAUGUAAAUUGUCUACCGGUGAGCUCAAUUUCUCUCAAACUAAGACUCUCAAUAAUCAUGUUAAACAUCAUAGACCAGCGUCCAUCAAAAUUGUCAUUGUUCUUUUCAUCUCUCCUCCGAAUUAUGUUAAAAUCCCCUCUGACUAGGAUUGGAACAGUCUCGUCUCCACAGAUCCGCACCAAGUCGGCUAAAAAAUCUGGUUUGAGUUUGGGUUGUGCUUCCCCAUAUACAGCAAUGAGAGACCAUCGGAAGCCAUCCAAUUUCGAUCUCACCCGAAACUUGACAGCAGAAUCCCCCCGAACCACGUUAAGCACCUCAAGCGUUUCGCACCGAACUCCUAGUAAUAUCCCACCAGAUCUUCCUCUAGGAGGUAAAACGUGGCAAUCAAAAUCAAUUCCUCCGGAUAAAGUUCCAAGGAACUGUGAGGUGAAAUUAUCCCGUCCUGUUUCGAGUAGAGCAACGAAAUCUAAUUUUUUUCUCAAUCGUUGUCUCUGCCAAGAACUUUCGUUUAGCCAAGUCAGCUAGACCUUUGCUAUUCCAAAAUAUCCCUUUCAUAAGUCAUCAUUGAAUUUUUUUUCUUAGCCUUAACCCUAGCACUUCUAUGAACUGCCGAAGUAGGAUAAAUUUUCUGUUUCCAGGGUCUCCUGGGCUUCUCCCCAUCGCCCUUCGGGAACGUAGGAUCGACAGAACACGAGACAGUGCCCUCCAUCAUUGGAGGCUCUACAGUGUCCCCAGUCUCCAACCCCUCCUCAUCUUCGGCCUCCACAUUAGGCAAGAGAUUAUCACAUAUGUUUUCAAGAGCAGCCAUUCCUGAAUUUUUUAUGUCACUGUCAUUCAUAGGUUUGAUUGAUGCGAGAUUCCGAAUUGUUUCAGAAGCCCUCUCCGCUUCUAAAUCUAAAAGAUCAUUUACAGAUUUCGCAACCUCCUUCUCAUUCAAACCCAAAGAUAUACCUAAGUCGUUUGCCUUAUCAAUAAUUUCAUGCUCGAUGAAAUGCAGAAUUGAACAACUCUUAUCAAAAGACAUACCUUUAGUUGCCUCGACAUCUCGAAGCUUGGCCGCCCUCAUGGCGCGCGCUAGCUGCAGGUCAUCAGCAUCUAGUUGUCCCUGGAUCCGGUUGCUGACACGCCUACCAGCUGUUACCGGAUCCGGGAUCCCACCGAAAGCGAUAAGCUCCUCUGUAGUCAUCUCCCGAGGCGUGUGGUCCCCGCUCCCACGCCCUUGCCUUGUUGCUGGUGAAGAAGGGUAAGGCGCGGUCGAGCGGGAAACGCCAACCGAAGUAAUGGGAGAAGGAGACCAUGGAGCCACCUGCUCGAGAGUCCCACUCCCCCCCCAAACCGUCAACGCGGCGUGGAGUCGAAACGGGAGAAGGGGAGUUGUUGGCCUCCUGCCCAUACCCCUGUCUGUGCCGCCCGGAGCUACCCCGUGGUGAGAGGGCGCCGCGGGCUUCCUGCCCGCGCACCUCCCCAAGGUGGCCAGGGACCGCCGCGGGUGGGCUGGUGGUGCGAGCCUCCUGCCCACNNNNNNNNNNNNNNNNNNNNNNNNNNNNNNNNNNNNNNNNNNNNNNNNNNNNNNNNNNNNNNNNNNNNNNNNNNNNNNNNNNNNNNNNNNNNNNNNNNNNNNNNNNNNNNNNNNNNNNNNNNNNNNNNNNNNNNNNNNNNNNNNNNNNNNNNNNNNNNNNNNNNNNNNNNNNNNNNNNNNNNNNNNNNNNNNNNNNNNNNNNNNNNNNNNNNNNNNNNNNNNNNNNNNNNNNNNNNNNNNNNNNNNNNNNNNNNNNNNNNNNNNNNNNNNNNNNNNNNNNNNNNNNNNNNNNNNNNNNNNNNNNNNNNNNNNNNNNNNNNNNNNNNNNNNNNNNNNNNNNNNNNNNGGAAUCAGCCCUCUGAGAUGAAAGUACCUUUGUCGACACAACAUCAGGCAGCAUCACUGGCGGUAGCUCGAUCUCCCAUGGAUCGUCCGCUUCAACUCAGUUACUCCAUAACCGGCUAGGCGCAGACCGCGCUCCAAAAGAGCCAAACCGAAGUGUAUUCAUCGGUUUCAUGGAAGACGACGCCUCCUUGGCAGACUUAUCCGCCUUGUCCGACUGCGACUUCGGCCCCUCAGCCGACUCUCGUGGUGUGCUCUCAGGCCCCUUGUCUUGAUUCCCGGGGGCUCCAUCUCCCUCAGGCGUAUCCAUAUCCUGAUGCUCAUCCCCCUCCUGAGGUAUCGGUGUAUCCUCAAUCUCAAUCUCAAGCACGUAAGUGACCCCGGCAUGCGUCCACUUGACCACAUCCGGCACGAACUCAAGACUGGUCACACUGACAAGUAACCUCGCAGCUCCGUGUGCACGAGUGAAAGGCAUGUCUACCUGUUCCGUCUUACCAAUGGGCGAUCCCAAGCUUCUGGCUACCAAGAAGUGCUUAAUCAGUUUGGGUGGUGCAUCAUAGAACCGUACCCAGACCUUCUCUAAAGGUGUACCCUCGGGCUCCUUCUGCUUCCACUCAUCAAAAGCCAUGAUAAUUUUCGUACUCGGUACUCUGCACAUGCCAAACUUAAGGAUAUGGAACUGAUCCUCUUUAGUGGGAAAAUCGACCUUGAAAGUUUGGUUCUCCAACUUGACAAGGUCCCAUUGAUGGUUGCCUGGUACCAACUCCCGCAACUGCCGCACAAUCUGUGCCUCUGUCAUGAUCCCAUUAGUAACCUUGACAACUGCAGGAAAGGAGCUCUCCAUCACAUGCGCCAUAGGUGCCACAUCAGGUGACUCAAAAAACAAUAACUCCUGACAGCAAACCCCGCAAAUAUUGACCACCAGCUUGGGGCCUGAAAUAAGCGGGCACUCACUGGACACAUGCUGCGAUCUACAACAGUAAUUACAUAGCUCUGUGGUACAUUCUGCCACAAAAUGUCCCGGCUCGCCACAUCUGUAACACGGUAACUUCUUCUUCUUAAGAGUCCACUUGGAUAACUUUUCACCAUCAGGUUUGUCCGAUCCCUUGUCAGAACCUCCGUCACCGGCCUUAGCAGCUCCAGUGUUCAUCACCGGAAUGCUAACCGCUGCCAAAGCCUAGACCUUGUCUACAACCACCUCGGGAAGAGCAGGUGAGGCCAUCUCCACCGUAGUAACUAGCUCGGCUUGGGCCACAACACCCACAACAACAGGCGGUGGUGGAGGUCACGGUGGAGGCAGGCGCCGACCCCUCCUCUCCCACCACGGAAACCACAAUGACUUCCCCGGUUAUAUGGUUAUUAGGGCCGGCCACCCCCUCGACGAAGUUGUCGGGAGGUCCUUCAAAACCGCGUCUGGUUCCUCCGCCAUUGUACCACGCGUAUCCGCCCCCACCUCCAGUGGAGGAUGAACCGCGGUGCUGUCCUUCGCCAUACGCAUCAUAUCCAUCGUCACCCCACUGUCCACGGGGCGGGUAACCAUAGCCGUCAGCGCCGGAGUACUCACAGCCACCGCCAUAUUGGCCAUCGCGGCCCCGGCCAAAGUACUGGCGCCCCGCAGCCGGUGCAGCAGUCGGCAGCCGCGCGUCCCGCGCUGCCUUUUGGUGCCUUGAAGCUCCCCAUCCCAAGGGGUGGAAUCGCCGAGAUCCGCCUCCUGCGGCGGCGCGGGAAGAGACGGCUUCGAGGAGGGACCCUACAGCGACGGCAGCACACCUGCCGAAGAAGACGGCGGCGGCAGCAGGGCAUCCGGCGGGUGCGGGCUGUCAGGUGGCAGCAUCGCCUAGCAAGUGGGAGACUCUUAUUUCUUCUUCAAGUAAUAAUGGAAAGGCCUUUCAGAGAUUACAAGAUGCACAGAGAGGGCCACGCAGUUACACAGAGAUUACAAGAUACAUAGAGCUGCCAGGUGGGGCAUCAGCGAGCAGCGUCGCUAGAACGAUCUGAAUAACUUGCACCACAUUUGUUCUAAAGUUCCUGUUUUUUUUUUUACUACCAAACCUGCAGCUUUGCGCCUAACUUUGAAAAGGUUCCAUAUGACGAUGCAAUCCAAAUUUGCCUUUUUGAUCGACUACUCUCAGAUGUAGUAGAUUAUACCAAUGACAACAGCUGCAGAUUUAUAUCCCACAAAAAACAUGUUGGUUACUGAAGCUAAGUCGUAAGCACUUUUCACGGUGAAGAUCCAGGCUUUUCCUUGUUUCCACAUUAUUACCCGAGUUGAAUGAUCUGCAUUUCUCAGGCAUCGCUUGUUUCAUACAGGUCCACGACUCCACAUCACCAUUGUUGGUUUGGAGAGGGAGGAAAGGAAGAAGCGGGAAGGGCUCCUUUGUUCUAGUGGAGCUAUGUCCGACUAGUUAGGGGUCAUCCUGAGAUGAAAUCAAAAUGUCAAAGGAGAAAUCCGAUGACUGUGUAUGGGUGGCUCCAUGAAAUUUUCCUUCUUCUCUCGGUGCGUUGAGUCAGUGUUGUCGCCGCAAUGCCGGUUAGUUGUGAAAAGGGUGGGCGCUUGUAACCUUGGUCUGACAAAAAAUUUCUUACUAAUAUGUUCGUUCACUCAAAUGAAAUGUCCCAACAACCGCUAAAGAUUGUUUAGAUAGAUAGAGAAUACAUGAAACAUGUUGAUGUAUUUAAAGAGAAACAAUCACAUCUCUAGUUCAAAAUGUUCUCUAGCCCACCGUGGUAAAUUGUAUAAUUGUCUAUGCAAACCAUAAAAAUUGAUAUCUAAACAAAAAAUUUAAGUGAAGAAACCGCGGUUUAGCAAAUGAAAAAUUACAAAAUAAAUUAAGUGGUUGAAAACAUAAGAUUUGUUUUAAAGGGAGAGACACGGUGAGUGGGCCCUAAGUCCACCUUAACGACUUGUCAAAAGAGUCUUUAAAAUUUUAUGCCACAUCAGCUUGAUAGCCGCCACCCACGGAUCAAUUUCAGCAUCAAAUGCUAGUUAUCGGCCUAUCCCUGCAAUUUGAAAAUUCACUGCUGGAUGCCAAUUCUGUUCUCCGAAUAAGUGAAUGCCGGUGGUUUUUUGAAACCUAACCCCAAUUAUGGUGGUUACUUGCAAUCUACUCCUAGAGCUUAAAGCACACUUUUUGGGCAGUAAGUUGGAUAUAUGCAUUAUAAUAGUGACACUGAUCAGAUUAGUAGUUCUGGAAAACAAAUAGAUGUGCAGAUGCCAUGCCAAAUCAUGCAAGUUAGUAAACAUUUUUUUUAAACGAGUGGCUGUGUGCAUCACACUGGUGCAGAGGCCUGGAGUUAACCUCCUUUUCGGGGGGAAAUCCAUGUUAGUUAAUAGUUACAAUCAGGUUAAGUAACUGGAGAAACUGGAAGAUGCCCCGCGCGUUGCUGCGGGACCAUUUUCUACAACUAUAUUGUCAUAUAAAGAAACAGGAAAAAAAGAUAUAAUGUAAAGUCAAUGACCUAUGUAAUCUAGCAUGAUGUUCACAAAGAUUAAAUGAUGCCUUAGAAUUGUCGAUAAAUAGAAUAUUGGUGAUAAGAACACAAUACAUAUGCGAAAUGAACUCCACAACCAAUGACUAAAUCGGCGGGCACCUGCAAAUGAGCCACUAAAUAUAGGUCUCUCUAAAUUCCUGAAGCCAAUCUUUUGAAUGACACAAGUGAAGCACUGAAAUUAGUACUGGUCUCAAUAUCUGGAUGAAAAAAGUGAUAUCAAUGGCAUGGUUUCCUGACCGUUCCUACUCGCGAUGUUUAGGUCCACCAAAACUAAAGGAUCGCAAAAAUUAGGGUGCGUCUACUCAGUAAUAAUGAUCUAAGUGACAUUAUCAAGAUCUGCUAAAAGAACAUGAUGUGGAAGCCUGGACGUGUAACAGAGGACAGAAGAUGUCCUUGGCAACUCGCAUGGCUCCAGUAAAUUGCUGCUCCAAAUCGGCCAAUCUUAGUGGCGCGUGUUGUGUAGAAUGAUGGAGAUGCCGCAGCAAUGUAUGUGCAGCAAGCGGAUGGGUCUGUCACCAUUUCUCUGAUGAUCUGUACGCGAUACCAGUAUGUCCACCCUGUGUAGAAGACAGAAAAAUGAAAUUGUGAAAACAAAAUAGUUGCCUCACAUAUAUGCCUACCUAAAUUCAUCCAAGCCUAUCUUUUUGAAUGAGUGACAAUUAUGACUUACUUGAAUAGAAGGGAUAAUGAGAUUUCGUCCUGGGUUGUUGUAGAUGAUUUGUUCCAACCAAUGCAUUGCAUGCAAUGAAGGGAAUCAUAUGCAUAACGUACUGAAACAAAUAUAAGAUGCAUGUCAUGUGUUCAUCCAGUUCACAUAAUAAAUUUUAUAGAUGGGAUGAUUAUGUACUAACUCGAGCGGUAGGAAACCUAUGCAGGAAGAAAGCACAAAUAACCAUCGCCAUCUGCAACAAAUCAUCGAUCAACUUGUGGACAAAUCUGACAAAAUAAGAAAUCAGAUAAAAGAUUGGAUUAGACGAAGCAAAGAGGGCUAGAGAGGGACCCAAUCACUCAGCGCGUACAUGUUGGGAAGAGUAAUCAAAGAUCUGAGUCCAGUUGUGGUGGAAGAUGAUUCUCUUCUUUCAGAAAGGAUAAGCGAGCGGUUCAGUUAGCUCCUCCGCAUUUGUGUCAUUGUGUGGUGCCGCCGUUCGUUUCUGGCACAUUUGCAGGAAAGGAGAUUGUGGGGAAGAGGAGACGAUUAGGCAGAGUGAAGAGCCGAACAGGCACAGGCACGAGAGAAGACAGAAAUCCAACGUCGUGCCAUAGUGGGCAUUUAUUUUUUUUAAACAAAGUAGAGACGCAAGCGCUCAUACACACGCGCAUACACUCACCCCUAUGAACGUACACACGCACAUCCUACCCCUAUGAGCACCUCCGAAAGACUAAGCCGGCAUAUCAUCUUGAAAUUUACGAAGUCACCACAGGCACCUCGUCGUCGACGGGAACGUCUCCUCCCACUGAAUGCGCAUCGCGGAAAAUCCUGAAAUAAAUCCAGAAAUAAAUGCUUGAACCCUAGUGGACUGGGGAUACCGCGGUCCUCUAACCAUCCAACCACAGGUUGGUUCGCUAGUGGGCAUUUAUUCUGGCAUGUAUUCGUAGAUGGGCCAAUAAGCUGGCCUACUACGAGUUUGUAUAUGCAGCAGACCAUGAGGCAUAUGGUGGCCUGGGGUUGCGGCGAGGUGGUGGCAGUGGAGGAGGAGCAUCGAUUCCUAUGUGCAUUGUUGGCAGUUGUGCGGCCGGCUAGCCGGCGCGGCCGGCCAGGGGAGAUAGGCGACCCUGUGUGGACGAACAAAGAGGUUGUGAACGAAGACGCAUUUGUUCCUCUUCCUAUUCCGUAACUGACUAGAGAAAUAAGAGGCCAGUCCUUGGCUCCCCACUUCUCAUAUGAAGUGGGCAAUAAGUAAUGAUCCAUGGUAUGGGAGUAUGACUAUUCAUAUUCACAUUGACUACACAAACCAAACUUUAUUAUCAGAUCCACACUGAAAAGAUAUGAUCCCAAACACACAACCAAACAUAUAUCAUAACUAUAACAAACAAAUGGACAUGGAUUUUUGGAUUAAUAGAAUAUCCUAGGCUAAAAAUCCACUGAUUACUUGAAAAGGAAAACAUUGACAAGCUUGUAUAGUUCCUUUCAUAGCUACCCGUAUAUGGGUAGCUACAGCCCAACCUAGUUUUUGAACAUAUUAUUGGAUGGUGGCGCCAGAUGUAGUGUCCUGCAAAAAAAAGGUAUAAUCAACAUCACUACAUACCAAGAAACCAGUCAUUAAGGUAUUGAUGGAAAUUUGUCAGGAAAAUGUAACAAUCAUAAUGCCAGAUGACUAAAACUAGCUUUGAAAUUUAUAGGCUUAUUUGUUAAAUAACCUUAACUACGUCCAAUUGUCAAUACCAUGACGUUUAAAUUUCUUUCAGCUGGACAAGAUAUACAUGCUAGAAUCAAGAAGAAAAAUAUAUACAGACUAAGUAGCUGAAUGUAUGUACUUACAGAAGGUUUGGCGUAGAAUGCAUGGAUAUUAAGUUCUUUAAUAGUUUGAAAUGUAGGGGGGUUGGCGGGCGUGUUAUACUUGAUGACCCCACGUGCCACAGCAAACUCCCCAGUCCCACCCAUAAUGGCCAUCUGGCCUUGGCCUGUUUGAAAAUUGAUCCCCAUCGCUUCGAAUGAUGAUCCAUUGUACAUGAUAUAGUUUUGUACGGCAAUAUCAUACUCCCUCCGUCCGAAAAUACUUGUCAUCAAAAUGGAUAAAAAGGGAUGUAUCUAGAAUUAAUAUACAUCUAGAUACAUCCUCUUUUAUUCAUUUUGAUGACAAGUAUUUUCGGACGGAGGGAGUAUAUCAUAUGAAAUUGGAAAAUAUUUAGUAUCUGAGACCUUUGUAACUAAGCAUAUAUGCUAUGUAACCAGGAAAACUAAAAACUUAUACUAGUCCAAAAGUAUAUAAAAAUAACCUAGAGUUCUUCUCGAACACCAUGCUGAAGUAGUUGAACCAGCCUGGACCGGCUAUGUCAGCUUGCACUUGCAUGCCUUUGGUACGGGCAACAAUGGUGGCAGUAGCGGGGUUUUGUCCAUCAAUUACAGUCCAGUCGGUAACGGAAGUUAGACCAAAAACAGAUCGUUUGCUGGAGGUAACAAUUACUACCUGGUUGGUGCCCGGCCCAGAGGCGAUUUGGUGCAAUUACAAGUGCAAGUUAACCUCGGACUCACGCUGAAGAACACAGGAAAGGGAUGCAGUUGCCAUGGAUAGAAUGAAAUGCAGGAUUAGGACCAUGGACAGGACUACAAGGCUAGGGCUGGCCAUGCCUAGCUAGGGUUUUGGCUGGCAGAAGAUGGAGUAAUUGACAAAAAACUACCACAUUUCACGUAAGCGUCCCACAGAACUACCUUUUUUGAAAACUGACCAAAAACUCCAGUUUAUUGCUGAUUUCGUGAUAAAAAACUACCACAUCGCGUUGAUGACCGUUUCAAGCGUUUUAAACGUCUUUCUGACAAAUCGGGCCCACCUUUCAGGACGAAGGCCGCGCUAACGGCUAACGGCGCUCGCCUGGCGCCCGUUAGCCGUGCGCGUCGGUCGGCCCGGUCGGACCAGGACUAACCUGGCCGACCGGCUGGCUCGUCGUCCCCCACCACCUCACUCUCCCCCCACCCNNNNNNNNNNNNNNNNNNNNNNNNNNNNNNNNNNNNNNNNNNNNNNNNNNNNNNNNNNNNNNNNNNNNNNNNNNNNNNNNNNNNNNNNNNNNNNNNNNNNNNNNNNNNNNNNNNNNNNNNNNNNNNNNNNNNNNNNNNNNNNNNNNNNNNNNNNNNNNNNNNNNNNNNNNNNNNNNNNNNNNNNNNNNNNNNNNNNNNNNNNNNNNNNNNNNNNNNNNNNNNNNNNNNNNNNNNNNNNNNNNNNNNNNNNNNNNNNNNNNNNNNNNNNNNNNNNNNNNNNNNNNNNNNNNNNNNNNNNNNNNNNNNNNNNNNNNNNNCACUCGCUCACUCACUCUGCUCCUCUGCUCUCCACUGCUCCUAUUCUUCUUCUCGCACUCCGGCGACGCCGCGACCAUGCCGUCGUGGCCCAACAGCAACGAGACCUCUGACGAUGACGAGUACAUGAGCGAGUUCAGUAGCAUGCAGAUGGAGUAUUUUGUAAGUCAGCUCAAUCUCUCCUCUCCUCUCCUCUGCUAUGGUUAGGGUUAGGGUUUGAAGAAGGAUAUGGAUUUCUCCAUUUAAGUUCAUGUAUGCGAGCUGUAGUUGAUAUAUAUGUGUUUCCUGGUGCAGCAAACUCCAGACACUGUGAUAGAUCCAAGCUUUUCUGGGCUUGUGACUGAAUCUGACCGUAGGUGCAUCCCGCACAGGGAGAGGGCUGGCAAAUUUGUGGCAUUUGAAGGCACUGACACUGGCAGGAGAUUCGUAGGAUGUGUAACUGAGGUAAUGAACCAAGUUGUCAUGGCUGUGAUUGAUUCAUUUUGUGCUUUUUUGAAUAAUGCUGCUGCUUUUCUCAUUUUUGCUUAAUUAUAAGAGCAGUGCUCUGUCUAAAUUAUGUACUUAUAGCAAAUAGCAGCAAAGAGCAAUGGAACCAAGAGCUAGUGUAGUGUAGCUACAUUUAUGAGUACUGUUUAUGAUUUGUUAUUGUGAAUAUGUUUGUUAAUGAAGAAUAAAGCUCACUUCAAAUUUAACUGAAUUUUCAGGAUGGUGUGAACUGUUGUGUUUUAGAGUGGGUAGAUGCCCCUUGGCCUGUAACUUUGCAAAGGUGCUUAACCAAGCUCUGGGAUAUGUAUCAUGAAGAGAACCUUGGUAGAGUCCAAGACAAAGAGGCUCAUGAGAUAGAGGUUGAGAAACUGAAGAAGGAGUUGGAUUCUCUUGGCAAUCAGUACAGUCAGCUUGUGGAUGAUGUAUCCAAGCUGUUUGAUUACCAGGAUGGGCAGAAAUCCCAUGACAUGGAUUACACAAGCCAGGCAAUCAAUGAACUUAAGGAGAAGAAGCAUCAGCUUGAGGAGAAGGCAAAGAUUGAGAUUCAAAUGGAGAAGCUUAAGCUCAAGAAAGAACAGAGGUGCAUCCUGCAGAGUCAAGCUGAUAUCAUUCAAAACACCAGGAAAGCCAUGAAGGAGAUACAAGUUGAGAGAGACCUCCUUAAAGAAGAGAAGAAGAAGCUGGAGCAUAUCAUUGUUGGGCUCUUGAAGGCAGGUCAUGGGUGCAAAGAAAAGCUAGACAAGAUCAAAGAAGUUUUCAUGGAGGAGUGAAGUGGUACCUAGGGUUGGUAAGUGAAUAUGAGGCAUAUAUAUAUAACUGGCCUAGUACUAGAAUCUGAUGCAGAUAUGCAUCUUAGUAUUAAUAUGAACUCCCUAUUAACUGCCUAUGGUUUCAGAUCAUUUUGGUUGUGUUGUUGGGUGAUGUAAUGCCCCUGAUCUGUAAUGCUCUAAGAUAAUCCUAUUUCUAAUGCCCCCUGAACCAUAUUAUCCAGAUGUUGUUAUAUCUACAUCUGCAAUUUGUUGCUGCUAGGUAGUUGUUGCUAAUACUUACACUUGAAUCUAGUAACACCAAACAACACUGAAACUGAAAAUGAAAAUGAAAAUGAAACUGAAACUUGCAUUACAUAGGAGGUAGCAUAGAUAACACAUAUUGUCUAAGGAUGCAACAUAGAUAGCAUUACAUAGAUAGAUAGCACCAAAUAGUCUGAGGAUAACUGAAACUAGCCAACACUGAAUAAGACUGACGAAACUGAAUGUGAAACUAAAUAGUUUCACAUUCAGUUUCAGUUAGGCGCCUGCCCUGCUAAACGGCCUGAGCAUCGUACCUCCUGGUUCACUUCGGUGGGAGGAUUCGGCAGCUUCUGCACCUCCUGUUCUUCUUCAUCGAUGAAGAUGAUGGGAGGAGGGCGGCGGCGAGCCUGCAGUGCUGGUGGUGCGAUGAUCUGGAUGUCGUCGUCCUCGUCUUGGUGCUUGUUUGCAUUUGCUUCAGCCGUAGAUUAUGCUGGAGCGACGUAGUGGUGGUCUGCCCACCGCUGCCUCUGCCCAGCAUCGGCGGAGCCCGCCUCUUUCAUUGCCCAUAGCAGUAUAUCUAUGGCCAGGAUCCCCUUACCUCGGUUUCCAUAUUGUUGGUCCAUGCGUUGCUUCUCCUCACUCGUCGCCUUCUUUCUCACUUCGUCUGCUCCAUCCACCAGCUCUUGAACGCUGGUGUACCUUGUGGCGACCUUCAUGUAGUCCACGAAGAGGUCGUCGUCGCCGCGCGCUGAACCAUAAAGCAUGGCAACCCAUCCCUUGCCAGUUGGGAAUGGGUUGAGCCAUGGGUCCGAAGAAGAGGAAGAAGCAACCAUGGUUGGAGCAGGAAGUGGUGAGUGCAGUGGUGUUGAGCGAGGUGAAGUUGUGGUGAUGUGAGUAGAGUAGCUGAAGAAAGAGGGGGGUAGUUAAAGAGAGGUGGAGUGAGGUAGUGGAGAAGUAAAACGUGUGCAGUAGUAUUUGACAUCCAUCUCAAUAUAAGUGUCUCGACUUUGUACUAACUUCAAUAGUUCCACAACACCAUAAAUUUCACCAGUCUUAAAUAGUUGAUGAUCGCAAGCUGCACAAAAUGAAUAUUUCACACCCUAAGCUAUAAAAUGCAUUGAAAAUACAUUAGUAUGCAGUACUAGAACAUCAAUAAAAAUUCUCUGUGGGUCAAUCAGAUAUUAGAGAACAUUGAAGUUGCUCUCUGAACUGUCACCUGAGCUCGCUAGUGAAAGCAAUCAUAUGGGUCAUUAGCAAUUUUCAUUUGUAUAUUGCUGGUAAAUGUACUCAACUGUUAGAAAAAUAUGUUCACAAAAACUAAAGCUGCUGAUGGAUACAUAAAAACCCACCAACCAUUUUAGAAUAAUUUGGGGACAACGACUCUCAAAUCAUUAAGCCCCAUAUCACACGGAUCACAACGAUGCGUAGUCCUAAUAUUAGAUAGGAAAAAGCAUGUGCUCAUAAUAAAAGAUCAACAAAUGUACUCAACUGUCAUACCACCAAUACUUUUGAGUAUUUCUUGGAAAAUAAAAUAUAAACAGUACUGCUAAAAAUAUCAAAUCAAUGUGCCAUUAUCUCCUACAAAGAUCCAAAGGGGAAAUCAGUAGAGAAAAAGUGGUUCUGGAGUAAGAAAAAAAAUCUCAUCUGUUUUGCUGACUUGCAUUGCACGUAAAGUUAUGCCCAAAAUGUAAUGCUUGACCUGGGAAUAAUUUAGUUUUGUAGUAUACUGCGAAUAAAUCAUGCUCAAUUGUAUUGGAACCCAAUAUACUCCCCAAGACCCAUGUCGCCAGAACUAAGUUCUGAAUGAACUUUACUACAUAGUCAUCAAGCUGUAGCAUUUUUUCGGUAUGUUAGCAAUGCAGCACAUCAGGUAUUUAUGUGUUUGAACAUCAUGUGAAUUCAAACCGGAAUUCCUUCAUUCAUGAAAUGGAACAUAGCGUAAUGGAGAGAUCAAGAAUGAAAAAGACUUACCAUGUUAUAUUAGAGAUGCAAAUCAUGAACUUUUUGCGCAUGCAAGCAGGAGCUGGACCUCCAAAUAUGUGUCAUCCCCACAAACCUGCACGCAAUACCUGAUAAACAUUCUGCUUAGAUUAAGGACCAGUUAGGUAUACAAUUUUCUGUACUAUACACCCACCAUUAGAUCUGAAUUUGAAAGAAAUAACGAUUCAUCUACUUGUAGAAUUAAAACUUGCUGCAAUGAGAUAUCACAAUGAAGAAUGAAAAGAACCCCCUUCCACAUGUUUUAUUAUUACAGAUGUAAGAAAUAACAGUCUAGAGAAUAAAACUGUCCUCUAAGCUAGUAAUAGUUAUGAUGUGAGUGCUAAUCACUAAUAAGCACAUGCUUAGACAGAGAGAAAAGAGAGCAGAAGUACACAAAUUACCUAGCGAAGAUGAAACAGAGAUGCAACCUGUAGCUAGGCAAGGGAAGCCGCCAGUGUGGUUGCAUUGGUGUCCACCACCUGCCGUCAAGUGGCGGCCACAGUGGUGUACGCAGUGACAUGGGUUGGUCAUCCAAUAGGUGGGCGUUAUAUACUCCUAAAAUAGCGGUCCAGAAAAUUCGGGAAGAGGCGUUUGAAGCUGUUGCCAAUAAAAACAUAAUGAACAUCCUAACCCACCAUAAUCGCAAGAUGAAUGUGUAAAUCAUAAUUCAUACCCCUGCUCCUCCCCCAAAAUUACACGCGUCGUCACCCAAAAAUCCACUGAGACGCUGAAAUCAACUCUAAUAAAAGGAGAAAUUGAUUCCUGGGGGAGAUUGAAUUUUACUUAUUGUCUCUUAUCUGCAUUUCUACAUAAAACAAAACAAGCAGUGCACAAUAAUUACUACUCCCUCCGUUCCUACACAUAAGUCUUUUUAGAGAUUUUAAUAUGGACUACAUAAGGAGAAAAAUGAAUAAACCUACACUCUAAAAUGUGUCUAUAUGCAUCCGUACGUAGUCUAUAUUGAAAUCUCUAAAAAGACUUGUAUUUAGGAACGGAGGGAGUAGUAGCUAAUAUACAACCGAAUAAUAAGUUAACAGAAGCGAACAACUUCCCUCCGAUUGGCACUGAACAUUACCACUUUACAAGAUGAAAAGUUCAUAGUUCAGUACUAGUUACUGGUUAGUAGCAGGCCAACACUGUUUGACAGAUAAAAAAUCAAUCGAUUAUGUACUGUGAUGAUCUGAACAUGAACGCACAAAUAAAAAGAGUGUGUACUGUGUAGCACUAGCAGACAGAGGAGGACGGUCGCAGGACACCCUGGAGCUGCACGUACGAACGCACGAGGGCCAGUGAUGGUUCGGUGCCUGUGGAAGGUGAGGCAGCAAGCAGCCGAACAGGUCACGCGCCGUUACUUUGAUCGAUUGAUGGUAAAAAUUGUAGAGGAUAUAUGGGAUUCAAGGGAUCACCUGCUUGACGUGCCAGAGACUGAAGAUGCUUGCGGGGCGGUGCAUCGACGGAACACGCAGUAGAUCUUCGGGUGGCGGAUGACACCAACGUGGAUGCAGCUAGGUGACGGUGAGGACAACGUCGGGAGGAGCUCGACAUGGCGACGGUGAGGACGACCGACGCCAACGUGCUCCAACUACCGAGGUUGCCGAUGGACGAGAAAGGGAUUCGACGGUGGGCGGAGCUACCGGCGGAGGGUAGCCCUUCGGGGAAGGGCUGCUGCCGCACGGUGAAGGUGAAUGGGCGGCGCACGAGGUGGGCAUUGAUGCCGGCGUAGAUUUAAUCUGGAGGUUGGGAGCAGGCGGCGUGGGAAAAAUAUCUUGGAUUAGAUGGAGGGGAAAAAUUGAGAGACGUGGGAAGUCUUAGGCGGUAAAGAAAAUCUAAUUUGCCGCGCCAAAUUUCGUUAAGCAAAAACAGUUUAGGAGCCCCAAACUUGGGAAAGCGAAAAACAAAUCCCAAGAAAAUGGAGAUUUCACCAAUUAAGAGCAUCUACAGUCGGGCGCCUGAAACCGGUCUAAAAUGACCGAACGACCCGCCUCAUGUUUUUUACCCAGCCGGCACCUCAAACGGCUCUCAAACCCCCGAGCUUUCCGGCGCCCCUUAUAUCCAGCCCAAAUAUGGGGCGGAUAUGGGGCGCCCGGCCAGGUGCGCCCGGGCACACCCACUUGUUGUAGUAGAUAGUUAGGAAGUCGUCGGGUUAAGAUCCAAUAGGACUAGCGCAUCAGAACAAUAACAGCAACCCAUAAAGAGGAACAUAGAACCGAAAGAUGUAAUAUGAAGACAUAUGAAUAUAGACGAACGAAGACCGAUCCAAGUGAAUUCAUAAAAGACAAACGCUGACUGAAUCCCACGACAUCCGUCGGAGACACACCUUCACACGCCCUCCGAUGAUGCUGGACACAUCGCCAGAACGUGGCUAGGCGGGUAUAACCUUAUUCCAACUUCAGGGAGUUGUCGCCGUCUCGUCUUCCUCGGGAGGGCACAAACCCUAAACAUACACAAAAAAUAUCUAGAAAAUAGAGCAAGUCCUCCUGUCGGCAAGCGCUGAGAUCCACCUCGCGCUCCAUAGCUCUAAGGUCACAUAGGACGAAGCCAAUCUACGGCGGCAUAGACGGGGAGCAUGAAAUCUCAUAUAGGCCUCGGUGCAAGACGCACGAGCCGAAGGGUAACUUUAUUGGGUAAUAUACGUAUCAAAGUAAUAUCCACAAAGUUUAAUAAGUAUAAAGGCAGUGAAAGAUUGAAGGGGCGAAGUGCGACUCGCAACAAUAAGGGUGGCAUUCUCAAGCCAUGGGUGUGACUUAGGCUGGACAAAGCGACCGGGCUUUUGGCCCGCAUGUGGCUCCCUCUGGACCAGACCGUUUGGUCCUACCUGUGGUUCCUAUUUAAAGCGGCGAUCGACAGUUGUCGACCAAACGUACAAUCCCCCUUGGUCACUACCUGUAUUUGGCCCGGCCAAAAUAGCGCACGUUCCCUAUUUUUUCUUUUGCUUUUUUGUUUUUGUUUCAUUUUUAUUUUAUUUUUCAUUUCUUUUCCUUUUCCUUUUUCUAUGGUUGUUUUUAUUUCCUUUUUUCAUUAUUUUUUCCUUUUUCAACUUCAGAACAAUUUUCGAAUUUUGUGAGUCUUUUUAGAUUUCGCAAACAUUUUCAAUUACGUGAUUUUUAAUUCUUGAACAUUUUUCCAAUUAAGGAGUAUUUUAUGAAAUCCCGAACAUUUUUCAAAUAUGUGAACAUUUUAUGAAUUGAUUGACAUUUUUCAAAUUCAUGAACUAUUUUUGUUAUCAGGAACUUUUUUGAAACCCUGGUCAUUUUUUCGAAUUUGAGAUUCAUGAACAAUUCUCAAACUAAAAAAUAAAAGAAACAUAAAAGAAAAAACGAAAGAAGGAAGAAUGAAAAACAACUACNNNNNNNNNNNNNNNNNNNNNNNNNNNNNNNNNNNNNNNNNNNNNNNNNNNNNNNNNNNNNNNNNNNNNNNNNNNNNNNNNNNNNNNNNNNNNNNNNNNNNNNNNNNNNNNNNNNNNNNNNNNNNNNNNNNNNNNNNNNNNNNNNNNNNNNNNNNNNNNNNNNNNNNNNNNNNNNNNNNNNNNNNNNNNNNNNNNNNNNNNNNNNNNNNNNNNNNNNNNNNNNNNNNNNNNNNNNNNNNNNNNNNNNNNNNNNNNNNNNNNNNNNNNNNNNNNNNNNNNNNNNNNNNNNNNNNNNNNNNNNNNAUGUUAAAAUAAUUCAGGAUUACAAAACGGUUCUAAAAUAUCAAAAAAAUGUGAAAGGUGAAUUGUCAAAAACAAUUCUUUAUUUCAAAAAUAUUUGUGAUUUUACAAGGACGAACAUUUUUAUAUUUUAAUGAUCUUUUAACGUGCAUUUUUAUAAUUAUUAACAUUUUUGUAUUUAAUAAAGAAAUUCAAAAAUAGAUUAACAUUUUUUGAACUUGAAGAACAAAAUUUGCAUUCAAGAAAAAAAGUAAAAUAACGGAAGAACAAAUUUGAAUUUUAUUAAAAGUUUUUGAACCAAUGAACAAAAAUCAGAUUUUAUGAACAUUUGUUUAGUACGAUCAACACAUUUUUAAAUUUAAUGAAAUUUUUGAAAAUCGGAUAAAUAUAAAACUGAAUUCGAUGAACAUUUUAUGAAUUGUUGAACAUUAUCUUACACUUAUUAACGUUUUGUUGAAUCAAUGAACAAAAAAAUGUUUGCAAAUUUGGAAAGAGAAUCGUGAAAAAAUGAGAAAGUAAAGAAGAAAAAAGAGAAAAGAAAAGGUAAAAGGAAAGAAAAGAACAAAAAAAAGAAAAAACGAAACAGAAAGGAAAACGAAAGGAAAAAACAGGAAAAUGUAUGGCCCAUACGAACGCCCAGUGUGCGAGUGGGGUUUGCGCAAGCUCGUUCGCAACAACUUUUGCGGAAUAUCUUAUUUGACGCGCACCGCGUCAAACUGCCGACGCUUCGCACAGGCGAGCGACCGACCAGCAACGGUGCUCAUAAAGAAGAAGAAAAUUCGUUUAUUAUAGUUGUUCAUAAAUUUUAGAAAAAUUGGAAUUUUCAUAAAAUGUUCUUGUUUUUCAGAAAAUGUUGCGAAUGUUUUUUUUAAAUCACAACUUUUCAAAUUAAAAAAAUGUUCCCAUUUUCGAAAAUUGCUUGCAAAUUGCCAAAAAUGUUUACGUUUUCAUUUUUCUCAGAGUUUCAAAAAAUUGUCCCAGUUUCAUAAAUGUUCACAAGUUGGAAAAAAUAUUCGUGUUUUCAAAUUUUAUUCAGGAGAUUCAAAGUAUGUUCGCGUCUCCAAAUUUCGUUCUGGAAUGUGGAAAAAUGAUCCCGUUUCAAGAAAUCUUCAUGAUUUUCAAAAAAAGUUCCUGGAUUCUCCAAAAUGUUAUAGUUUUUUUUUUAAAUUUGUUUACAAAUUUGGAAAGUGUUUGAAUUUUGUACAACAUUCCAUUUAAAAAAUGCUUUUAAAUUGCUAAUAUAAUUCGGACCCGCACGGCCUAUUGGUUAUAUAUUGUUGACGCUACCAUAUGCUCUUAUACGACUGCUAGUUCAACUUGUAGUAGCAGGUUAUGUAUAGCACUUGAUCCCUUCUUUGAGUCCCUGUGAUAGCGAUUUUUUUUUUGCACCAAAGUGCGCGUUCAAUGUCGGUCUCGAUCUUCAUGGGCCGGCCUAGUCGUUGAGUCGCCUAUGCAAAACGACAACUCUUUGCCGCAAAGAGCAGCCUAUAGAAGGUCUCGACCUGUGCGCCAUACAGGAUCCUCGUCGGGUGACCUACACACAUAAUAGGGUUUCCCAUCCCAGCCCGCUAGCACAAUUAGCCAAUCUAGGUCGUCCUAUUAGGCCCAACAGAACACCGUCCAGUUUGGUGUUUGACCGAGUCUUCUCGGUCGGACCAAGAACAGGUCCAAGCCCACGCCACAACCACUCUAGGCUAGGGUUUGGUGUUUAGAAGUUUUAUUCAAAGUUUAGUACAACUCAUUUAAUAGCUAUUCAACUUAAAAAUAUGAUUAUUCAAAGAUUUCUUAAGUCUUUUUCUGUUUUUUUUUGCGGGGAAAAGAUUUCUUAAGUCUAAGAUAAGAAUAGAGUCGCACACUAAAACGUCUCACAAAUCGUCUCUAAGUUAAUUAAAAUUAAAUGCUUAUUUUCAUAAAGGCUAAUUAUAAGUAAUAGCUUGUGGCGCUUCAUAAACGUCUUAAGAAGCGUCUUUAGGUCGCUAGUGUCCAUGGGCAUAGAGACGAAUAUAAUAACGUCCCACAAAAAGCGACUAUACAUGGUGUUUUUGUUGUAGUGCGAUCAUAUUCACAUAGUGCUUAGGCGAAGCCCUGCGCGGAUCACUUCACCAUCACCAUCACCACGCCGUCGUGCUGACGGAACUCUCCCUCGACACUUUGCUGGAUCAAGAGUUCGAGGGACGUCGUUGAGCUGAACGUGUGCAGAACUCGGAGGUGUCGUACGUUAGGUUCUUGAUCGGUCAGAACGAGAAGAAAUUCGACUACAUCAACCGCGUUAACAAACGCUUCUGCUUUCGGUCUACGAGGGCACGUGGACACACUCUCCCCCUCUCGUUGAUAUGCAUCUCCUAGAUAGAUCUUGCGUGAGCGUAGGAAUUUUUUUGAAAUUGCAUGCUACAUUUCCCAAUAGAGGCAUCAGAGCCAAGUCUAUGUGUAGAUGAUAUGCACGAGUAGAACACAAAGAAUUUCAAGGUAUAAGUGUUCUCCCUGAGUAUGCACCGUUGAGACAGUUCGUCGUGCUGAGACACCAUGUAAUGGUCGGGUGUGAUAAGCUCUAUAUUCACAUACAACGGAUGCAAGACAGUUUUGCACAUGCGGAAUACUCGGGUUAAACUUGACGAGCCUAGCAUGUACAGACAUGGCCUCGGAACACUAGAGACCGAAAGGUCGAACGUGAAUCAUAUAGUAGAUAUGAUCAACAUAGAGAUGUUCACCAUUGAAAACUACUCCAUCUCACGUGAUGAUCGGACAUGGUUUAGUUGAUUUGGAUUACGUGAUCAUUUAGAUGACUCGAGGGAUGUCUAUCUAAGUGGGAGUUCUUAAGUAAUAUGAUUAAUUGAACUUAAUUUAUCAUGAAUUUUGUAGAUCAAUGGCCCGUUCUACUAUUCCCUUGAAUUUUAAUGCGUUCCUAGAGAAAGCUAAGUUGAAAGAUGAUGGUAGCAACUACACAAACUGGGUUCGUAACUUGAGGAUUAUCCUCAUUGCUGCAUAGAAGAAUUAUGUCCUUGAUGCACCGCUAGGUGUGUCACCCCCCCAACAACUGCAGACGUUGUGAACGCCUGGCAGUCGCGUGUUGAUGACUACUCGAUAGUUCAGUGUGCCAUGCUUUACGGCUUAGAAUCAAGACUUCAAAGACGUUUUGCACGUCAUGGACCAUAUGAGAUAUGCCAGGAAUUGAAGUUAAUAUUUCAAGUAAAUGCCCGAGUUGAGAGAUAUGAAGUCUCCAACAAGUUCUAUAGCUGCAAGAUGGAGGAGAAUAGCUCUGUCAAUGAACUCAUACUCAAAAUGUCUGGGUAUCAUAACCACUUGACUCAGCUGGGAGAUAAUCUUCCAGAUGAUAGUGUUAUUGACAGAGUUCUCCAAUCACUGCCACCAAGCUAUAAAUUCAUGAUAAAUUAAAUUCAUGAUAAUCUUCCAGAUGAUAGUGUUAUUGAAAGAUUGUUUAUCUUUGUGUCAGUACUCAAUUUUUGAAGUUGAUUGCACACAUCCUAAAAUGACAUCCAAAGAAAAUUAGAGAGAGUAAAUAGUUAGCAUAGUGAAAAGUCUGGACAAUAUCAUGUAUAUGGGCUUAUCAAGCUAUCAUGCAGAAAGAUUCAGUUUUCGUACAUUUGCAGGUUAACUUGCCAUAGAACACCCUUGAUAAAAUAAUCAUUAAGUUUGUCAAGUGAAUCCUCAGUGAAGAUGAUACUAAAAUUGACAGACUUAAAAGUAUUAAAUGCCAUCGAUUGCAAAACAAAAUUAUCUGAAAUCCAGCAAGUUUUACUACCUAUUUUUGUUGUAUAGUUCUACUUGCUUGAAAAGAAGCAAUGCACAACAGUCACCACAAAGAAUGCAAUAUUGUAUCAAGAUGCAAUUGACUCUUUUUUUACUUGCCACAUCACCCUGUCCUGCGGGACCCACCUGGCAUAAUGCAUGCCUGUACCUGCAGAUUAUGCCACAUCACACAUUGUCGGAUUAUGGGACUGAUGGCCUGCGGAUGCCUCCGAAGCCGUUUUUGCGAUUAAGGGCCCAACCAUGCUGAGGACUCUUAGCCAUUUCACUUCCGAGCUGACGGUGGCGCAGUGUCGGGCGAGGAAUUGAGUGCGGUGUCGGAGGAUGACAAUGCGUGAGAUAUACAGUGUGCGAUCUAAUUUAUGUAUGUUUUUUUUUUUCAAGAAAACUUCUAAUCUAUUCAUGUUUAAUCAUGACAGUACAAUGAACACCAGAAAUAACAAAAAUUACAUCCAAAUCCGUAGACCACCUAGCGACCUACAAGCACUGAAGUGAGCCGAAGGCGCAUUACUGUCAUUGCCUCUCUCUUGCCGGAGCCGGACAAAACUUGUUGUAGUAGACAAUAUGUUUACAUGUAUGUAUCAUGGAGUUAUGGUUAAAACAGUACCAUCAAGUAUUAAAUGUUUGUACAAACUGCGUCCUUGUUGUGCACUUGUUGCUGGAGAAACAAACAAAGUAGCUUCAAAUACCGAGUAAGUAAGAAGCUAACUUACAUUCGAAAAUUCAUUUCUGAUCCGGAGCACAGCUGAACCCGAAAUCUCACGCAUCCGUUCGCAUCGGGAUGUCUGCAGGGCUGGUAUUUCCCGUCGAACCUCGCUCGCGUAUAUGCCACGUAUAUAGAAGGGCAGCUGGCGCAUUAACUCCUGGUCCAAACGGACGGACGUCGUGGUACAGGAGAUGGCCCGAUGGACCGGAAACUGUUCUGGGCCGACCUUUUUCCAGGACGGGCGACGGGUCCAGCUAACGGCCACCCAACUGGAAUAAAUAUCCCUUGCCGUUCCCCUGCCAAUCCAUCAGCCGCCACCCAAAGGCCAAAGCAGCAGCCAUGUCUGCGUCUGGGUCCUCCUCCUCCGCCCAGCCGCAGGAGCACCUCCGGCUGUGACUGGGACGACCAAGUUAAACCAGUGCGGGAGGUCCAGAGGAAAACGAAAACACAGCUUAUUUCACUCACCUUCGUUUUCUGGUCGGGAGCGGAGCGGGUGCGCGAUCGCCAGAGCACUCCGCGCCAGUCAUCGUCGCCGAUGCUGCAAACACGGCAGCAACGCUUAAGUCAGUCCGGGCGCUCCACACCGGCACCAUUGCUGCUAGCAGACUAGAACACAUGGAGGAUGAACCUGACGCCCAGUAUCCACCACAGCUCUUAUGUGACGGCACACCCCAUCCCCCGAUCACACAUACAAGUUUUGAAUUUCUAUUCGAGCAGGCGCACGCGUGUGUACACUGCAAGUUAAAACCACCUGACGCAUGGACGCCUCCAGCUUGGACAUGCAUACAUAUUUCCUAGUGUCAGCACACAAACACUCCUGAAGGAAAUCAGCAGAGACACGACCGGUUCAAACUUAGGCCUACUGAUCAUGUGGAUGCCUGCACACACGACCGCACUCUCAGAAAUUGCAGUGUUGCCAGCUAGGAGGGAUGCACACGCAGAUAAAUCAUGGAUGCAAACCACAUCUCAAGAACACAGACAGGGAAAUUGUCACAUUCAAACUCAUACUACUUUAGUUCUACAGUCAUAACCACAAAGAACUGACACACAUUCCAUACCACGCAGCUCCCAACUCUACCCCCAGAUGUGAAACCUCAGCCAGGCAACUUCUACAUUUACUCAGACCCUCGUAACGCGCCUUGUCACUGCUAUUACUCAGUCUGCUGACCCCACUAUGCUUAUAUGGAGCUGCUAGACCUUCAAGGGCAUUCACACAGAUUUCCCCCCACUAUUGCAUUUGUCAGCACCGUCGCCCCCCACAAACGCAACCUCUCCAUUGCCAGGCAAUCUACCAGUGGCCAAACCUGCUAUCCGAUCCUCAAACCCCAAACCAUCCCUCUUCUCAGCUAAAGGUGCGACACUCACCAACAAAGCUUCCAGACCAGCAAAAGUGUGCUUGAAUUAUUCUGCAUUCAAAUCGCCCAUCUGCACGACUUCCAUGGCUUUCAGAUAUAACAUCGAGUUCCUGCACGAGAACGACAAGUUAACUGAAUUGUCCUUCUGAUACAGUGAACCAGGUGUGGGGAAGCAUGUCCCUCGUGUCCUUGGUCCACCUCUUGAGUAUAUUCACAGGGAUCUCCAGAUGAAGUAUAUCCAUGACCCGUGCAUUACACUAUGUUUAAAUUUCUUGUACAGAAAUUCAAUUUAUGUGCAGCAAUUUUUUUGUCAGGUUUAGUUACCCUUAAGACAUGGCUGCAUGACAUCCCAGUAUGCUUGAACUGGCCACACUCGCACGUAAACUCUGACUGAUCCUCUGCUUCAUUUUUCCAUUUUAGCUACAUUGUUGUGCUUUGUAACAUAUUUCCUCAUCUUCUCUACUUCCUUGACAUUGUACGACGUCCCUUCGAUUAGGAGGUGACCAAACUCCUCAAACAUAGCCCUGGUGUAAAUUUUACUUGCAUGCCGCUCUAUCGCCAAAUUGGUCCUCUUGUCAACUCCACCCUGUCAUAAUAUAGUUCGGUUUUUCUGUCCGUUAGUGGUUCAUGUAGACAAAUGCCUGACAUAUAUGAAGUGUACAUCUAUUUCUGUCAGAUACUCAAAUUGUACACACAAAAAAUGCUUACAAUCAUCAUUCUCUUCUCCUGGUAGCUUUCCUCAUCCUCGUGGUCAACUGUAACCUCAUGUAAUGCCCGACAAAAACAUGCAUUGGGCUUGACGGAGGUAUGUAUGUCUUCAACGUGUGAUUCGUGACUUAUCUCUUAUCUUCCUGCAAAUACUUCUUAGGGUCCUCUUCAUGAAGGGCACCUUCUUGACCGAACCAAAGAAGCUCCCAAUUAUGUUGUACACCUUCCCAAGGUUCAGAUUGUUUUCCCUAAGUUGCUUUAUUAAAUCUUGUGUAUGCGUCGAUGAGCUUGUGUGACGGCCAGUGCACCUUCUCACCCAUUGUUAAGGACAUUGAAUGGUUGAGGCUUUCACGGUGCUCUGUGAUGUACCAGCUGUUGUCCGUCGCGCGCGACAGCCUAAUCAGCACUGGACACUCGCAUCUGCAUGACCUACUAUCGGCCAACAAAACAUAACAUCAGACACUACCGCGCUUGGAGAGCACAUCGACAACACAGCAAAACACAUUUACUCUGAAAUGUAUUAUAUUUCAGCAAAAGCUCGUUACUCACCGAGCAACCACGAUCUCCUGCAUGCAUUUCGUCCUCUCGGCAUUUAGUUUGCUUUUACCAAAUCUGAUACCAAAGACAUUCCAAGAAUAUAGAUUGUAUAGAACUCGUAUGCCUCACCAACUGAAUCGAAACUCGGGUAGGGCGUACUAAAUUCUUUGUAGGUUCCUCUGUGUUGCGAAUCAAUUUCUCCAGAGCGCUCGUCCGAGAGGGUCAUGAUGUCCUGUCUGGUGGCGCACUGCCCAGCCAUAACCUGUUUUUUUGCAGAUGUUCAGCAUUCACUCUACGUACGAGUUCAAAUACAAGAAUAAUUCUGCCAAGAGUGUCUCCCGUUAUAAGUAUAGAGAUUCAUCAAGAAAAGAAUAAAAGGGGUAUUAGGAAUGUCGCAUGGACAUGCUCAGAAAGGUCUCUAAAGUAUGCAUGCGAGAAAACCUACGCCUAUUCUUAUAGUCAAGGGUAAUGGAACUGGAAACUUUGGUGUUCCAAAAGUUAAUGAGAAAAGAUUGAAAAUGGAUAUGGUGUCAUAUGCUUCAGCUGUUGGAAGCUCAAUAUAUUACACAGUUCACGUAUCCGGGUUGUUUUGGCAAUGUCCAGUCCAUAUAUAGAUCACUGGAAUGGAGUCAAGAAUAUCGGCCUCAUGCUGAAAGAAAUAAGGGCUCUCAAAAGAUUGUGAGUACAAAGACAGGACUUCUGAAAUGUAUAGCGAAAUCCACAAUUGUCGCUAACUUUCACACUUGGGAGUUUUUUGUGUGGAGAAACUCCAAAGAGUGAAACAAUUAUCAUCAAUGUGAUGCAAAAACAUGUUAAAGCUUGAUAUGAGGCCGAGGGACAGGCAAAAUGGUUAAGGACACCUGUACCCGGAGCUGGCAAAAUGGUUAAGGACACCUGUACCCGGAGCUGAUAAUGGUUGACAACAACGAUAACCAUUUUAAGUUUUUCGCUCCUAUGACAACGAGUCAAGUGUUGAUGCCAAACACACUGACACAGAGUUAUGCGUUGUAAAGGAGAAAGUCCGGAAUUAUGUAGAAAUGCUUGAAGCAUAAAAGCAACAGACAAGUGUUUGCAGAUCUGCUUAUUAAAGACUUACCGCCCAGUGUGUUCGGAGAACACACAGUCGACAUGGGUUUUAUGGUAUAGUCUAUGAUUUCCGGACAAUAAACGGGCCCAAGGUUAAAGAGUCUGUUUCAAAACAGAGGAGUGUAUUGUAGGUGUUGAUUCCAUCGGGAUAGACCGUGAUGAUGAGACAUGCUCUACAUGCAAAUCUGUGAUGAAACGAGUACUUUGAAAAGAGUUAUUUCAAAGUAUAAAGUUAAAAGUAUAUGAUGAGAUCAAGGGGGAGAAUGUUAGAUUGAUCUCUUCCCCAAUGGGCCCAACGACCCAUUGGACCCUUGACCCACGCCCUGAUCAGGUGCGUCCAGCCCAAGCAAGGCUGGUGGGCCCCUAUCGCGCAAUGCCAUAUAGAGGAGAUGGGGACCACGGCACAAAGUACGCGGUUCGCCGCCGCCACUGUUCCCCACUCCUAACCCUAGUCCGAUCGAGAGGGAGGCGCUGAAGCGAUGGGAAGCGCAACCAGCCACUUCACCGUCGACCUCUACGCCGAGCUCCCCUCCGUUCACCACCAGCACCAGGAGCUCCUUGAGACAAAGGAGAAGGUAAUCUCCUAACGACACCAUCAGUCCUAGCCUACCCGAUCCCACAGCGACCUAUCAUCCUCGCCUCUGCCACGUCGUGGAUUUUACUGUCACAUGUAUCUACCCUACCCUAGAUAACACCUCCCCACGGUGACUUCUUUCCUUAUCUUCGCCACGAAGGCAGCCCAGCAUGCGACCUCCAUGUCUCUCUCGUUUCCUCUCCCAUGUGGAGGAGAGGAAGCGGCUACGAUCACACCACCGGCGCUGGGUCGAUGGUGUCCUGCCUCGGCAACCAGGAUUGGGCAAGGUAGAUGCGAAGCAGCGGCGCACCCUCUCCCCGAGCUCCAAAUCCAUGGAAGCAGCAACGAGGUGAGCAGCGGCAAAGGCGCCUCCGCAGAACUGGCGGUCGGCGUCUGGCCUCUGGCAGAAUUGUGUGGACUAGCAGCGGCCACAGCGAUGCAGAGAAGGUGGAGGCUAGGAGGCGGGCAAGAAAAAGGGGAUGGCGAGGCAGAGGAAGUGGUGGGCAAAGGCGGAGGGAAGGAGAUCGGACAAGCUGCAUCGGGAGAUGAGGAGGAGAUGGGUCGGAAGCAUGCAAAAUGAGGAGGAGCUGGGCGGCGAGGUCAUGGUGGCCGGAGGAACCAAGAUCGACACCUCCCCAUCUAGAUCUUCCGCGAGGGAAUAAGGUAUGUCUCGCACAUGGAUUCCGGAAGGAUGUUCCCAUUUCUAUGCCUAAAAUGUCUCUCUCAUCAGUGCACUUGUACCAUCUCAGCCAGGCGAGAAAAUUGUGACAUAUCCUGUUCGUCCAGUAGAUACGUCAACAGAUUUUGAAGGAACAAAACGCCUUCAACCAACUCAGCCAGUAAUAGAAGCUCUGUUUCUGCCUAAAUCUUAAUUUUUCAAUCUCUAAGAAUCAGUUUUGACAAUGACAUGAAACUUGUAACUCAUAUCAGUUCAUUUUCAGCCACUACACUCUACUCAUGCAUCAACAUGUUCCAUAGAAAGCUUAUAGAGAACUGAACCAAAAGAAGCUUCUUUCAUUUUAUGAAUUUGUUGAAUCCUAAAAAAUGAGAAAUCUAUCUUAGGAAGUGUUUACCGCAUCGACACACAGCGUGUGCUUAGUCACAAUUUUACAUACGUCAUUGGGCAGUCACCAUCAUAUAAACUGAUACCAUUUCAUUUUCAUUCCCUGCACUCUAUCUUCCUGUUUGAUCCUACAAUUGGACUCAAUCAAUGUACUAUUACCUAUUCUUUUCACUGCGAGAUGCAUGCCUCAUUACCUAUAUGUGCCAUUCUGUAAAGGGAGUCCAGUACUAGCUAAUUCCACUUAUAGUACAAGAUGUAUGCCUGAUUAUCUGUAUGCGCAAUUUGUGAAACAAUACACUCUGUUAAAGUUUUAUCACUGCUCACCCAGUUACUCUCCUCUCAGACUGCAUAACUGUAUAAAUUGUCAUAGUUUUCAUAGUUUUUCAUAGUUUUCUUUUAACUGGCACAUAUAUGUAUUUUCCUAUAUAAAUUGCCACCACAAGCAUUCUUUCUCCAUGGCUAACAUGACACAUUUUACCUGUUAGGUACUCCAUCUGGUUGGAUAGCAAAUUGCGUUUUAAUGCUGAUUCAAUGCUUAUCAUUAAGUAUUUCUUAUGGAGAAAGAAAGCAGAGUAUGCCAUUUCAGCGCACUACGAUCGCACCUGCGUCUGGGAGCACUGGUAGAAAAUGGGCCUUUAGUCCCGGCUGUGCAACCGGGACUAAAUUUGCGCGACUAAAGACCCCCCCCCCCCUUAGUCGCGCCUCUUACGAACCGUGACUAAAGGCUUUAGUCCCGGUUCUCGUGGCUAACCGGGACUAAAGGCCCGUCCACGUGGGCGCCAGGGGUCCAUCGGGGCGGAGGACCUUUAGUCCCGGUUCUCGUGGCUAACCGGGACUAAAGGCCUCCUCCGCAGGUUUAGGGUUUUAGCCCCCCUAAACCUGGUUUUUUUACGAAUUUUUUUAAUUUUUUUUAUUUUCAAAUUUCUGAAUUAUUUUAACCUCUAAUUUCUAAUCACCACCCUCAUCACUGCUCAAUUUAUCCUCUAAUCUCUAAUCACCCCUCAUCAUUCCAAAUCAUCUAACUUCCCGGACGGUCACCCAUCCUCUCACUACUCCAGCCUGAGCACGCUUAACUUCCGGGUUCUAUUCUUCCUCGUUUCCAAGUCUGCACUUGUUGUUUUCCUCACAAUAGUAGGAUGUCAAUUCUAUUAACCCUCAGGAAUUUAGCUUGAGCAUGAAGUGACACAUUUCACUGUUUGAGUUUGAAACAAUUGUUUUAAAAAACAAUAAUUAUUUAGUAACACUAAUAUUUCUGGAAUAAUUAGUUUGACCAUUGUUUGACCACAGUUUGACCACAGUUUGACCAGAUUUGACCAAAAUUUAAAAAAAACUGAAAUAAUUAUUUAGUAACACUAAUAUUCUACAAUAAUUAGUUUGACCAUUGUUUGACCACAGUUUGACCACAAUUUGAAUUUUUUUUUGAAUUUUUUUGCCUCUCCAGAUCUUAAAAGCCCCGUAUCUUUUUUUCUGUUAGGUUUUUGAGGAUUUUGAAAAUGUUUAACGGGGUUCCCAUUUUCUGUUAGGUUUUUGAUGUAACUUUUCGAGUAGAUGAUUUUUCAUAUAAAAAACUUUUUCAUCCGAGUUCGUAUGCAAAAGUUAUGCCCAUUUUAAGAAAUUCCAGAGAGAUUUUGCAAAUAAAGUCGAAAUUCAUAUUUGUUAAUUUUCCCAACAACUAGACCACAUAUCACAUGAGAAACUUAUUUUAUUUUAUUUUUUUGACAUUUCCAUCAUUUUCUUUUGGUUUUUCUAAAACUGAAAAGNNNNNNNNNNNNNNNNNNNNNNNNNNNNNNNNNNNNNNNNNNNNNNNNNNNNNNNNNNNNNNNNNNNNNNNNNNNNNNNNNNNNNNNNNNNNNNNNNNNNNNNNNNNNNNNNNNNNNNNNNNNNNNNNNNNNNNNNNNNNNNNNNNNNNNNNNNNNNNNNNNNNNNNNNNNNNNNNNNNNNNNNNNNNNNNNNNNNNNNNNNNNNNNNNNNNNNNNNNNNNNNNNNNNNNNNNNNNNNNNNNNNNNNNNNNNNNNNNNNNNNNNNNNNNNNNNNNNNNNNNNNNNNNNNNNNNNNNNNNNNNNNNNNNNNNNNNNNNNNNNNNNNNNNNNNNNNNNNNNNNNNNNNNNNNNNNNNNNNNNNNNNNNNNNNNNNNNNNNNNNNNNNNNNNNNNNNNNNNNNNNNNNNNNNNNNNNGGUUGGUCUGGCCAACCGCGACUAAAGGACUUCGGGCCAGCCUGAGGACCUUUAGUCCUGGUUGGUCUGCCAACCGCGACUAAAGGACUAACCUUUAGUCCCGGUUGGUCUGGCCAACCGCGACUAAAGGACUUCGGGCCAGCCUGAGGACCUUUAGUCCCGGUUGGCCAGGCCAACCGGGACUAAAGCCCCUCCCGUCCGCCAGCUGUCGACCGAGCGCGCUGGGCCCAGAUAGUUGGUCGCGGGUCUCCUCCCGAACCGCGACUAAAGACCCCUUUGGUCGCGGUUCGAUUAUUUUGGGGACUAAUGGGGGCGUAUGGAAGCCUCUUUUUCUACUAGUGGAGGAAGUUCUUCAGAACAAGCUCAUAAACAAGUAAAAUCACACUGCUAUCGAUGAGCAAUUUUACUUUUAUUAGUAUGAGUGCCUGUGAAGUUUAAUGCCUCUGGCCAAGAUCCAGUUCUACCGAGUUGUAAGUAGCAUUUACUUAUGUUUGAUAAAAUCUCCUAUGAGUAAAUGAAUUGGUCAAGUGUAGAACAAUUGUCUCGGAGCUUAAUUAGAUGUACACAUCGUCCUCUGCUUUUCAAACAAAUUUGAUCAUAAGCUUUUAUACAAACAAGAUGGGUCCCAAAUGCUAUUUACCGUAUAUAGAGAUAUAUAGCACGGGAAUCGCCCACAAAGCGACAACCGACAUACAUGGACGGAGACACAUUUUUUGUGUUGGCUGUAUUGGUUUUCGGUAUUUUUUUGGUCUUUUCUGGUUUAUCCUCUUUUAGUAUUUUCAGUGUUUUCUUCUUACAUUUUUUGGGUUUUCCCUUUUCUAUUUCUUUGUCCUUAUUUUCUUCCCUUUUCCAGUUUCUUUCUAACUUUUAUAUAAUAGAAUAUAGCAUUUAUUGACAAAGGACAUGAAUCUUUUUAAAAAUACAUGAGCACGUUUUGAAAUUAUUUGAACAUUUUUUAAGGACAUGAACAAUUGUUUUAAAUUAGAAGAACAUCGUUUCCAAAUAGGCCCGUGGACAUUUAAGUCCCAUGUGGUCGACUGCUUGCUUUCUAUCGCUAUAAGCGGGGUAUACUCGGAAAAUGCCAACAGAGGCCGAGCUCCAGGGAGCUCGGUAUUUUGAAAAAAAAACAAUCAAAACUAAUCAUUUCAAGUUUCAAAAUAAUAAUUAAAUCGAAGGACAAUUAUACGAUUUUCGUACGCGCACGUGAAAAAAUCAUUUGAAUCUUUUGUGAUUUGUAGGCUGUACCAAAAAAAAUCUGGCCACAAAAAAGAUUGGCCCAUUUUAGAAAUACACUUUUGUCUUUUUUUUCUGUACGCUAUGUGUGAAAGUAUAUGGUUAUGAAUUUUUGCACAUACGCAAUACAGAUGUGUGAGAUUGUAUACAAAAAAUUUCAAAUUUUGUCAUGCUGUUGAAAUUCGUAUUUUCAAAACGAGUUCCGUGGAGUUCGGCCUCCAAAAGCCCUCACUCGGAUAUAUUCUCUUUUGUUGAAGGGGUAAGGUGCAAACCCUUCUCAACUCUCACGACGUCAAAUUGUAACAUGCAUUUUUUUUUGUUGAGAAACUUGUAACAUGCAUUGGUGUGUUGUCCUGGGCCUGACUAAAGAAGCUCGAGAGACGACCACGAGGUGGAGGCUGAGUGCUCCAUGAUGGGUUUCUCUUUUCUUUUUCUUUCCCCUCUUUUCUUCCCUUUUCUAUUUCUUUUCUCUAUAUAUUUUUUAUGUGAAAGAAGUAUACACAGUUAUCAAGAAAUGCAUAGAUAUUUUUGUAAAUACAUGAACACGUUUCUAAAUUACAUGAACAUUUUUUAAGGACAUGAACACUUGUUAAAAUUAUAAGAACAUAUUUUUCUAACUGCUCAAAAUCUUUUAUUUACAUGAUGCGUGAACACAUUUUAGAAGUAGAUGUUGUUUUCUUCUGAAAAAGGCAUGAACAAAUUUGAAAAUUAUAUUAAUACAUUUUAAUAUACAUGAACAUUGUUUCAAUUGCGUUAAUUAUUAUUUUAAAUAUUAACAUUUUUAAAAGGAAAAUAUGUUUUUAUGUGUAUAGAUUUUUAUAACAAACGGAUAUUUUUACUCCUUUUUUUAUUAUGGAUUGGAUUAUAAUAUUAUUUUUUUGAUAAUCGGAUUGGAUUAUAAUUUAUAUUUCUGGCGGUGGCGUCUCCUUUCCCGAGAUCGGCGGUGGUAAGCCUCUGAUCGACCGUUGAUGGCCUUGAGGAUGCGUCCCCCGCCGACGCUGUACUACGCGAGGUCCAGCAGGAGUCGCUCCGCGUCGUCCUCGUUGAACUCGGCGACGGCGAGCCUCGGGCAAGCGGCUCGAGGAUGCGUUAUUUGAUUCGUUUUGGUUCUUGUCUCGUGGUGCCAUGGGAGGAGGAAAUCAUGGGUAUUUGUGAGGAGGAAAUCGUAGGGGCGCCCAUGGCUUCAUGUUGGAGUAGGUCUCGUAUGAAGAUCCGAUCCAAAAUGGACAAACAUUUUUGUCCACUUAUUUACUGGAUUGCGGGUUGAUUAUUUAAUACUAUAGGGGGCCUUUUUAUAAAAUGGACACGACGGUGAACCCGACGGAAACAAUGCGUGCUUUAUUAGUAGGUAAAGAAAAGAUAAAGAUUGGUUUAUAUUUUUUUUCUAAGAAUCGGAUUGGAUUAUAAUUUAUAUUUUUAAUACAUUUCCAAGAAAGCAAAAAAUAUAUCUAUGUGAACGGGCCACAGUGGCCGCAACCCAUUUGAGUCAUGAGUGGUCGACUGUGGCGAGGAUGGUGCGACAUCAACGUCGGCCAUGGGUUGAGGGAGAUGACGAUUUUGCCAGUGCCGGUCGACGGAUCAUCGAGGUGGAUGGCGGCAAUGAUGAGGGUAGACGGGGAUGCCGGGGUGGGACGAGAUGUUGUUUCCUCGACUAUUUGACACAGUGAGCUAAAAAAACAUUUUGUUGAGAAGUGAGCAAAGUUGGAGAUGAACAAGGAAACCUUUGGUCGUGGGCCAGGAAACGUGAUAACCUCUGGCCCAACGGUUGAUGGGCCGCAACGACGGAUCCUAUCCAUUCUCAUCCUUUCCAGCCGCCUCCACGGUUCUCCGGCCACCGCCGCCGACGAUGACGCCGGCCGCCGCCCACUACUUCCGCAGCCCCGUCCACUCCCAACGUCAGCAAGCAUGCGCCGGUUUCCACAACGCAGCAGCAGAAGCAACCGCAGCCGGCAGGGAGCUGAUCCCGGCCGUCGCCCUCCACAUCGGUGACUGAAUCGGCGGUCAGGCAGCAGCAGUCCGCCAUCACGUUCACCCCAACCGCAGCAAGCAGCAGCAGCCGCGAUUCAAUUCCUCUCACGGUCUGGGAUCAAGAGGUACGACUGCCUAGGUUUUCGGUUCCUCCAACAGUUUCUGAUUUAGUCUGUUGGGCUGAAAUAAUAAGAGAAGCUCGAAUUGAUGUGGAUGUUUGAUUCGUUGGUGUCAUUUUAUCCGAGUUGCAGAUGAGCUCACGGAUGGAUCACAUUCACUCUGUGCCGGAGAGCAAAGCUUCCUCAGCCACAUGCCCUCUGGUAGAUAUCGGUACUAAGUGGGAAAGAAUCAAUUCAGUGAGGUCUGACUAUGAGAGUGGAGAUUAAUGGACGUAACGUCCGAGCGAGGUAAUCAACAGAUUAUUGUAUUCUGCACAGCUCUAUUGCAAGUUCUUGGACAUAAAUAUGGAAGUAGAUUGUAGUACUAUAUCUUGCAAACAACUAGUAGCACUAUUACAGGGUAGUGUCCGGUGAUUAUUCAUACAUCUUCAGACCUAAUGGACCGAAAGCAUCAAAGCACAGUGGUUGCUAUUGCAGCGCAAGUGUACACAAAGUACAACCUUGAAUGUUUACAGAGUAUGGUAGUCCGUGCGACAUGCUUUAAUUCAUCCUCACAUUCCGCAACCUCCCCGUUAGCAUGUUAACGACCUUUGUCAUCGAUGGCCGGUUUCUCGGGUUCCACUGGAUGCACCACAGUGCGACAAUAGCAAGCCGCCUCACCUUUUCUUUCUCUUCUUCAGUCUUUUCUGCCAUCACCCUCCAAAUCGGUGACUGAAUCAGUGGUCAGGCAGCAGCAGCCGCGCGUCGAUUCCUCUCUCACGGUCCAAGACCAAUAGGUACUAGUGCGCCACACCACUCCUCAGAUUUUCGAUCCCUCCCACAGUUUCUGAUUUGGCUUGUUAUUAUUAUUCAAGUAAGUGAAGCUCGAAUUGAUGUGGAUGUUUGGUGCCAUUUUAUCGAAUUGCAGAUGCUGGAAAGGAAAAGCUCCGUCAGGCACAUCGCCUCUGUUAGCAACGGAAUAUGCCAAAUAUGGGAGUUGCAAAGCAAAAGCUCCGUCAUCAGGCACAUCUACUAACUGCCAAGAGGAGAUUCACUAACUCACAGAUGCAGAGAAAUAUGGGAGACCGAAUAAGGUAAUCAACGGAAUACUGAAUUGCACACAACGCUAUUCGCAACUUUUGGAGAUAAAUAUUGGAGUAGCAAUUGCGAAUCGUGUAUCUUGCAAAUAAUCAGUAGAGUAAGAUUACAAUGGUAGUGACCAGCGAUUAUUCAUACAUCUUCAGACAUAGACUGAAAGCAUCAAAACACAGUGGUUGUUAUUGUUGCAACACACGCGCAGACAAAGUACAACCUUGAAUGUUGACAGAGUAUGGUAGUCCCUGUUUUGAUUUAUGGCAUAGGUUCAUUUUCAUAUGAGACGUAAGGCUUUGGGGGCAUCUGCAGACUCUGCAACCUCCCUGUUAGCAUGUUAACGACCUUUGUCAUCGACGGCCGGUUUCUUGGGUUCCACUGGAUACACCACAGUGCAACCAUUGCCAGCUGCCUCACCUUUUCUUUCUCCUCUCGAGUCGUUUCCAAAGUAAGCACCAACUCCUCCCCAUUGAUAACUUUCUCGUAGAUCCACUCUGGGAGGUAAACAUCGUCCUGGCUCCCGAUUCUUGGGUCUGAAUUCCUCCUCCCGCUUACCAUUUCUAGCACCAGCAUGCCGAAACUGUACACGUGUGACUUGUACGAUACUCCCCCAAAGUUCCGAGAGUAUAGCUCUGGUGCAAUGUACCCCAUUGUGCCUCUUGCUGCUGUUAAGGUGACGAUGCUUUGGUCCCUUGCGCACAGCUUUGCAAGGCCAAAGUCUGAGAUCUUUGGAUUGAAGUUGUAGUCCAGCAGGAUAUUGUGAGGCUUGAUGUCAAAGUGGAGGAUGCGCUGGUUGCACCCUUGAUGCAAGUACUCCAUUCCUCUGGCAAUGCCUAAAGCAAUAUCUAGCAGCUUGUCGGGUACCAGAAGAUGCUGGAAAUUUGCAGAGUCACGAGAGAAAAUAUAUUUCUCUAGUGACUCAUUAGGCAUGAAUUCAUAAAUCAGAGCCCGUCUCAUUCCUUCGGAACAAAAUCCAAGGAGGCGGACAAUAUUGGCAUGGUGGAUUAGUCCGAUGGUUGCAACUUCAUUGAUGAAUGCUUGUCCCUCUCCUGUAGAGUUCUCUAGCAUCUUGACUGCCACGGGCACUCCAUUUGGUAGCUCGCCUUUGUAUACACUUCCAAAUCCUCCCUGCCCUACUUUUUCCUUAAACCGUCUUGCCAUCUUCUUAACUUCAGAGAAAGUGUACCUCGUGGGUUUCGAUGCUCCAUAUGUCUUGAGAAACAUUUCGACCCUCAAAUGUAUCUCCGUAUUAUAUCUUGUCUUGAGUGAAAGAUAAAGCACAGUGGCCACCGUUAACAAAAGAACAACAAAUGCGGCCACCGAUGAUGUAGCUGAAUAAACAAACAAUAUAUGACAUCAGCAUAUUGCAUUGGGAAUUAAAAGCCCUUACUUAGUUUUAUGUGGAUAAGGAUAAGAGGACGUCAAGGUUCAGAGUAGCCAACAAUAGGGAUUUGCAUUAUAUAAAUUUGGUAAUUAAAAUGACUGCAGUCAGAGUAGUACCUGCGAUGACUUUGAUACGGGAACCUGCAAAUACAAGAACAAGAAUUAGAGUCAGUUGAUGGUUUAGUAAAAAGAAAUGAGUUAUACUUGAUUUUGGUUUUAGAACUGUCAAAUUCAUUGUUUUCUACCAUUGCUGCCAUACACUCCCUAGCGGGGAUACAAUAGAGAUUUUAAUGUUCCAGAAACACAUAAGCAGUGAUAUUUAGGCCAUUUUGAAAGAGAAAAAAUAUUUGUCAUAACUGACCAACCACAUUUCAUUUUUGUAGAGCAUAUAGGAGAACCAUGCAUGUUUAUAUCUAGAAGAGAAUAUCAUGAACAUACUGUGGUACUGGCCAAGCUUUACACUGAACUUUGACAAGGAGAUUACUCAAGAUCCCACUACAGAAGGAAACACACCCUACCAACUGUUCUAUGUGUGCUUUGGUUGCUGGUUGUCUUUUUUUUUGGGGGUAUUGUGUUAUGUACAGAGGAUGUGGUACCGGUCUUUUGCUGGUUUUCUUGCUUUCGGCCUGGCUCUGUAAUGCGCUUCCUGGAAAACUUGGCAAGGGUUGGGCCGCUCACCUGAAUGGGAGGCUUCAUAGAUAGAGAACUGGGCAUGCUAGGCAUUAUCAGGCGGGUUCUGUUUUCUUUUGUUAUUUAGAAAUAUUUUAUAAUAUGUUUUGUAUUGAAGUGGUUGUGCAUCUCUACCAAAGUAUUGGACUGAUAUCUCCAAAGGAUUAGUUAGUGUUGUAUAGAUGAACAUAUUUUAUAGGGCCAAUGUUUAAUAGAUGAACAAAACAUAUUUCCUUCCUCUCGACAACUUCUCAGAUUUUUUAUGAGAGUUCAGGUGCAUAGUUCAAUGUGAUUGCUCAAGAAGGCUACUAAAAUAAUUUGUGGUGCUAUUUUAAAAGAAAAAUAUUGACAGAGAGUCUCAUGGAGAUUCAAACACCUGAAAUUAUGAAGUAAAAUUUUAACAGACUUCAAAACUUCAUUACAAAUAAAAUUGGAUGAUGCAAUUAAAUAUGGUUCUAGACAGUUAGAAUUGAUCAUACCGUCAGGCAUACAGAAUGCUUGAUUCUGUUGUGAGCUGAACGCGCAGCGUAGCCCACUGAGCUCACACUCUCUGCAAUCAUCAUCAGUCCAACACAGUGUGGUCUCAACAGAAUUGAUAAAUGUUUUUGCAGCUUCCUUGAAGGACCGUGGGUCGUAUAUUUGGCCGCAACUCCAAUACAUGGGUUUCAGACGGCCACCGACACCAUCUGAGACUGGGACGACCUUGCAGUCCAACGGAAGAAGAGACAUGUCUUCAUAACCAGCCACCAAAUAGAAGAAGUGGGUUAUGUUGCUAAUGCAGGAGAGUGGGCCAGCAAUCCUAUCGGCAGCACCAGGUGCAAACUCUCUUGAACAGUGUACUAGGUUUGUAGAACUCCAAAGGAAAAAUCGGUCAAGACUUGGCCUCUCAUGGUUGAGAACAUCAACCUGUGGAGAUGAUGAGCUUCUGGAGAUGAUGAGCUUCUGCUGGAGCACCAAACAGGUGUCUACAAGCGGGGUGAUCUUCAUGGAAGAACGCUUGUAAUCUAUGGCGCUGACACUGUAUGGGCCAAAAACUGGGUGGACUAGGAUGGUGUCCUGGCCAGAGCAUGCUAUCUUCCUGAUUGUUCUGCCACCACAUCCACAUGAUGAUGAUGAUUUAUUGCUUGAUUCGAGGCAGAAAGGAUACCUGAUCUCUGGGCCAUGCUGGCUGCACUGGGAUGGUGGGCAGUAUUUGAAGAAAUCUUUAUCAUCCCAUGCCGUUGCCAAGUAGGUUCCAUGGUUCGUAAGAGGUAGCAGCAGGAGGACUAUAGCAAGUAAUUUACUCAUCUUCCUGUAGUACUGUAAUAAGGAUGGAGAGGAAGAGGAUGAAGAAGAAGAUGCAGGCAAGUGCAAAAGAAGUAAAAAAGCAACAGCAUUUAUUGCUUGUCAUCUAUAGGUAAGCAGUCAGAGUCCUGCUUUACUGAUAGUUAGGCCUGAGUAUAACAUUUCAGAUGCUAUCGCCUGCCAGUGGUUUGAGUGUGAUUGCGAACUUGCUUCAGUCCAGUCCCUUGUUACAUGAAUAAUAAAUACAUGCGGAAGUUCUUGUAUACUGUCAUUGUCAUCUCUGGAGAAAACGAAUUAUCAUGGCACGGGACAGGCUUCAAGCCCUGAGUGGUCUUUUGUUCCUAGCUACAGAAUGGGACAGAAAUAUCUUCCUCUUCUUUUGUGUGUCGUCAUAUACCCAUGAAUUCACAAUCAAUUUCCCGGUCACACUAUUAAUUGGUAUAUACAGCUGGAUAUGAUCAACUAGUCGAUGCCGAUCCCUUGCCUGCCUUAGUACUCUUAACAGAACACACUAGGAUAUCAAGUCCCUAGUGCAUCUGUGAGAAAGCUUUUGUGGGGAACUCCGGUGCAUUUUAUCGUUCUAUUACCCUAUAAGCCUUCACUGUCUUCUCCUUUGUUGUAGUUUUUGCAGCAGAUCAUGUCCAGGGACGGGAUGAUGGGUGCCCACCUUUCUCCUGUGGGCAUCUGGACAUAUCAUAUCCUUUCCGUCGGCGAGGUGAUCCUCUUGAGUGCGGCGCUGGAGCAUAUGAGCUGGCUUGUACCACCAGUAGCAAGGCUACGAUUCACAUCAACACAGGAACAUACUAUGUGACUGCCAUCAACUACACAAUAAAUAUGUGUCAAUUGGCAUUUUGCAUUGUGUGGAAGUUCAUGUAUGUUGUCAUUGUCAUCUGUGGAGAAAAUGAUUAUCAUGUCAUGGGAUAGAAGACUCCAAGCUUGAAUCGUCUUCUGUUCCUAGCUACACAAUGGGAGGGAAAUAUCCUCAUCUUCUUUUGCCCGUCGUGUAUGUACCAAUGAAGUCAUAAUCUCUGGCAGCUGUCAGUGUGGAAAAUCUCUGGAAAAAAAUGAAUUAUCAUGUGACGGGCCAGAAGACUCCAAGACUGGGUCUUUUGUUCAUAGCUAAAGAAUGGGAGAGAAAUAUCUUCCUCUUCUUUUGCGCGUCAUGUAUAUACCAAUGAAGUCAUAAUAAGUAUCCCAACCGCACUAUUAAUUGGUAUUUACAGCUGGACAUGAUCAAUUNNNNNNNNNNNNNNNNNNNNNNNNNNNNNNNNNNNNNNNNNNNNNNNNNNNNNNNNNNNNNNNNNNNNNNNNNNNNNNNNNNNNNNNNNNNNNNNNNNNNNNNNNNNNNNNNNNNNNNNNNNNNNNNNNNNNNNNNNNNNNNNNNNNNNNNNNNNNNNNNNNNNNNNNNNNNNNNNNNNNNNNNNNNNNNNNNNNNNNNNNNNNNNNNNNNNNNNNNNNNNNNNNNNNNNNNNNNNNNNNNNNNNNNNNNNNNNNNNNNNNNNNNNNNNNNNNNNNNNNNNNNNNNNNNNNNNNNNNNNNNNNNNNNNNNNNNNNNNNNNNNNNNNNNNNNNNNNNNNNNNNNNNNNNNNNNNNNNNNNNNNNNNNNNNNNNNNNNNAGGAUAUCAAGUCCCUUGUGCAUCUGUGAAGCUUUCAUGGGGAACCCUGGUGCACUUCAUCGUUCUAUUACCUUACAAUCCUUAACUGUCUUCUCCCUUGUUGCAGUUUUUGCAGCAGAUCAUGUCCAGGGAGGAGAUGAUGGGUGCACACCUUUCUCGUGUGGACAUCUCCGAGACAUAUUGCCUCCUUUCCGUCGGCAAGGUGAUCCUCUUGAGUGCGGUAUUGAAGCAUAUGAGCUGGGUUGUACCAGUAGCAAGGCUACAAUUCACAUCAGCACAGGAACAUACUAUGUGACUGCCAUCAACUACACCGGUUCCUACUUCUGGGUCAUGGAUCCCAACUUCAAUACCAGUAGCAGCUGCCCACUUCCAUUGUGGAAUCAUGUUCCUUACUUUGGAUAUUACGGCGGCACUGAUUCAGUUUCACCACCUGGCUUUCGUUAUUUGAUCACUCAAAGCUACUACAGAGCAUGUUUUGCUAAUUGUUCACGACCAGUAACAGAUAAUAGUGCGUACAAGCCUGUUGCUUGCCUGAGUGCCAACAAUUCACAUGUUUAUGUCUGGGUGCCUACUACAGAUAAUUGUGCGGUUGACCUUCUUGAACCUUAUUGUGGAUACCUGGCCAAUAUUCCAUUUGGUAACGAGUUUGUUCCUGAUUGGCGCAUACACAAUGCAAGUUAUGCAGAUAUCACACAAGUCGUAAGUAAGGGGUUUACUGUCCAAUUUCCUGUGGACACCAUGGGGCCUUCUGUCUCUGUGAAGUUAAGAAAGAACAUCAAUAUAUGCCUCAACAAUUCAAUCAGGUGAUACCCUCUGGUUCAGUUUCCUCCCUAAUUUAGUUUCUCUGUUCUCUACUUUUCUCAAGAAUUUAUAUGGGACUAUUAAGCCCAUCUUUAGUAGAGCACAUUCACACUCGCCAUUAAAUUUUCUUUUACUUAAACAAUUAAUGUUAAUUGCAGCAAAGGUUUGUUAAUCAAUUGCACUACUCCAUCCAUGUUGGGCACAGGUCAGAUUAUGUGAAAUUUAGAAACAGCAGUCCAAAAUACAACGCAUAGUCGAAUUAUAUGGUGGCGAAGUCAAACACUGUUGUUGUGUGCAAAUGGGAUUGAAUUAGUAAUACAAAUGGAAUUUACCCUAUCUAAGAACCGUGCUCCCUUCUAAAUUCAUUUCUUUAAAAUGGUAUGAUUUGCAGCUACUUCAAGGAGCAAUCAUCUGGUGCAAGCAUCGUGAAUUGGACUCAUGUUUUCUUCUGGAGUGAAGUGCACUUCUUAGAAUGUGUGGCUCAGUACUCCAACGAUCACUACUACACAACACCGUUUCUUUUGGUUGUUGUGACCAUAUUAUCUGUGAUUGCUAUUCCCAAGUUCUUUUUCGGUACGUGGGAAUUAUAUGCCUUGUACUUCCAAAAUUGAAUUUUCAUGCUUUUAAUCAUCAUGGACACAAUCUUGGACAUAAGCUUAUGCCUACACGUUCAUCUAGCUUACAUAUGUAUGUGUUACCUUGUUGUGCAGUACUGUGCAGGUUCUUGUUGGCACCCCUGGCUGUGUGGAUAUUCCUAGCCUACAAGUACUUGAAAACAAGGAUCAUAAUUGAUGCAGUCGAGAAGUUCCUCAGGAUUCAACAAGUGAUUGGCCCUACGAGGUAUGCCUACACAAACAUCGUUGCAGUCACAAGCCAUUUCAGAGAUAAAUUGGGCCAAGGGGGCUACGGCUCCGUGUACAAGGGUGUGCUACUUCCAGGGGAUAUUCAUGUCGCCGUCAAGAUGCUAGAGGGCAACUCAAACUGCAAUGGAGAAGAUUUCAUCAGCGAGGUCUCCACCAUCGGCAGGAUCCACCACGUCAAUGUGGUGCGUUUAGUGGGGUUCUGCUCGGAGGAAAUGAGAAGGGCCUUAGUCUACGAGUACAUGCCCAAUGGUUCUCUGGACAAGUACAUCUUCUCUACCGAGAAGAGCUUCUCAUGGGACAAGCUCAACGACAUCGCUUUGGGCAUUGCCAGGGGGAUCAACUACUUACAUCAGGGGUGUGACAUGCAGAUUCUACACUUUGACAUCAAGCCGCACAACAUCCUUCUCGAUAGCAAUUUCGUCCCAAAGGUCGCCGAUUUCGGGCUUGCCAAACUGUACCCGAGGGGAGACAGUUUCGUGCCACUGAGCGCCAUGCGGGGGACUGUCGGCUACAUAGCCCCGGAGAUGAUAUCCCGGAGCUUUGGUGUCAUAUCUAGCAAAUCUGACGUCUACAGCUUCGGGAUGCUGCUGUUGGAGAUGGCUGGCGGGAGAAGGAACGCUGAUCCAAACAUGGGGUCCUCAAGCCAGGCGUACUACCCGUCAUGGGUGUACGCCAAGCUGACCCGGGAAGAAGCGGGCGAGGAGAUAUCACCUGUUGCUGCCGACAUGCACGAACUGGAGAAGAAGCUGUGUGUUGUCGGAUUAUGGUGUAUUCAGAUGAGGUCUUGCGAUCGGCCAACAAUGGGCGAGGUCAUUGAGAUUCUGGAGGCUGGGACCGACAGCCUGCAGAUGCCUUCAAGACCAUUUUUCUGCGACGAAGGGCACAUCCAUGUGGAGGACUCUUAUCAUUUCACUUCCGAGCUGACAGUGGUGUCAGAGGAGGAAUCGACUGCGGUGUCAGAGGAAGACAAUGUGUGAGGUAUAUAUAUACGAUGUGUGAUAUAUUUUGUGCAUGUAAUCUGCACUUAUAUGUAUGUGUUCACAGAGUGAUGCACUUAGCUAAUAAAAGUGACGCAGUUUUGUAACAGUAUAAAUCUUUUGUGCAAACUGUCAUCCUUGUUCCGCACUUCAUUAUUGGAGAAACAGGGCAACUUCAAACUAGUUUGAAAAAACAGGGCAACUUCAAAUUAGUUUGAAAUCUUACAUCCAUCUAAUUUGUUUGUCUGUUCAGUACUGUUGAUACAAAUUCUGAUUGAAAAUAUUGUUUGAACCAUCUGUGAGAGGUGACAAGAACGCCUUUUCCUUGUCGGGGAUCAUUUUUGAGAGAAAUUUGUGCUCUUUUUCCUAGGAAAAAAACUAUGUAUUUUAUCAUGGUGGCAGUAACAAACAUGAUGGAUGUAGAUUUUCACUGAGAAGCUAACUUAUAAUAGAAUUUAUUUGUUUUUGGAUAAAGAUUUGGUUGACAGCAACAUCAUUCCAGGCUGAGUUCAGCAUGCCAAAGAAAUUAGAUAGGCAGCAAAAACUGCACGCAUCGGCAUUGUUACCUUCAAGAACCAGAGCAGAGUCUGAUUUUCUUAGUGUUACAUGCCAUCUUCCAUCCUAGGCACGAAAUUCUUUUUCUUGUUCUAGUGGUUGCAAUCUAGUUCUGUCAAAUGCCACUUGUGCGUCCGACAUGGGGACAUUCCAGUAACGCUGACAUUGCCCUCCCCUGCGUGGAGAAGAGUCUUCUUCUGCUCCAACUCCAGCAAUGCUGAUAUGGUCCUGAAGCUGCUACUUUUGAUGUCCUCUGCUUUGUACUGCUGGCAAGUGGCAGAGCCUGUACAAACCGCCUUCCUGCCCCAGUCCUCUGCUUUCUGUUAUUAGAGGAACACAAAUAGAGAUAUAUCAGUUAAGUUUAAAGUAUACAAUUCCGGUCGAAGUACAUGUUCGAACCAGUCCUCGGAAGGAUUGUCCUUUUUUCUAUGAUGGGAGAGGUGAGAAAAAAAAACACAAUGAUUUCUUUUUGUAGAAGCAAAUAUUUUUCAGACAAAACAGGAACCUUGCAUUAUUGGAAGAACACUCAAUCAGCAUCACUGAGAAACCAACAUUCAUAGACAAAUGAGACCGCCCAAAAAAGCGAUAGACUUCGGUUCACAAGCUCAACCAAGUAUCCCUCUGCCACUUCCUCCAAUGUUUUGCUCUCAUCUUUUUCUGUGAUAAACCCUGCCGUGAUCCACUGCCUCAUUGUCUUCCUCCUCUUUAAAACAUAAUCUUCUGGGGACAAUGCACAGUGUAGGAAACAAUUCUUCAAAUCAUACUGAAGGUCCUCCAAGCUGACCUUUAGGAUCAAAUGAGCAUGAGGGAUCACAUCUUUCGCAAACUGCGAAUCCAAACACCUAUACACAUCCUCCCAUUUGGCGGAAUUUUGGGGUUUGCAUGAGAGUAGGCGACCAAUGCAUGCAGUAGCAAUAGGCAAGCCUUGACACUUCGCUAUGAACUUCCGAGCCAAUUCCUGCAGCUCCAAUGGGCAUUUUUUGUCAUCAGCAUUCCAAAAUGCCCCUUUGCAGAACAACACCCAGGAGUGAUGUGCUUGUAGUGGUUCCAAAUGAACUGCAGAUGCAGACUUCCUAGUUGACAACUCGGCCGGUACAGCUAGAUGUUGGGAAGACAUCCCUUAUCUCUGACCACAAGCGCUCAUCCCAAACAUCAUCCAGGACCAAGAUGUACCUUUUACCUUGAAGGUAGUUGUCGAUGAACUUUGCCAGGCCUCUCAUCUCAAUGUUGGCGACGUCGACUGUGAUGCUCAACUGAGCGGAGAUCUUCUUCAAAAGAUCCUCAGUACGGUAACUGUCCGACACAGUUAUCCACGCUGCAGCAUCGAAAUCCUCUUUCACGGUGUUGUACACAUAAUCAACCAGAGUGGUUUUACCAACACCAAGCAUCCCCCACACUAGGGUGACUUUGCUGCUGCUCUGCUCCUGUCCUUCACCACCACUGGUUAGCCACUGUAUCAACCUCUCCUUGUGCUCUUCGAUGCCCACAAGGUCCUCAUCCCUGGUGAAGGGCAAAGCUCUUCGAUGCCCACAAGAUUCGUCGAUCUGGCAGCAGAUGCAGAUAUGCCGUUGACGGCAUAAUCUCUCUUCCUCCGGUUGGCGUCCUGCAGCUGGGCCUUGUUAGCUAAUCUAGGCCUUGUUAGCUAAUCUAGACGCUGGGCUUAGGCUAGUUUGUUUUCUGUUGAAUAAACAUGUUGCAUGAGCCGCGACGUGUGCGUGCCAUGCAAGUAGCUAGCAUGGGUCGGCUGGACGUGGUCACCGCGAUCGGCCCGGUAGUCUCGCAGGUGGCUUAGGAGGCACGAUCGGCGCUCGUGGGAUGGCGCAAGCACGGCGGAUCAUGGCGCAUAGAUAGGAUCGCUACCUGCCUCUCCUUCCUUGUAACGAAUAAAUAGCAGUGAAGAAAACGGGAAAAGUCGCAAGAUUGCACGCGACGCAAAAACCUUCGUCUCCUCUGUGAUCGUGAGUUGCGAGAGCCUAGUUUCCUAACAGGCUUCGAUUUCUUGGAGCUUGGCUGCCAAGCGCCGCCAGGUCUUGAUAUGCUUGAGCCUCUUCUUUUUUUCAUCUUGCCAGCAAACCCUCCGUGCUUGCAGUACUCCAGCUUGUAGGCCAGGCCCCUGAUCUCGUCGACGAAGAUGGUCGUGGUCUUGUCGUUGUCCUUGAAUCGCUCUGCCUCUUGCAGGUAUGCUUGCAUGCUCUCCAGCUCCGCCUUGGACUAGCGGAUCUUGCCGAAGAGACCCCUCAGGGCCGCAGCUUCCUUGCACAGCAGCGCCCCACCAUAGGUUGCCGCCUCUUUCGCCAGCGCGGCCCCGAGAGUCAUCACCAACUGCCUGACAACAGCCUCCGCCAUGGUUUUUGAGGUUUUCUUAUUUCUCAGAUGAUGGUUUUUGAGAGCAACUCCAACCAAGUGUCCAAAUCUCACUCACCAAGUUCUCAUUUGAGUACACACAUCAAAAGAUCAUCCCCCUUAUUUCUUUUUGCAGUCCAACCCAUUCAGCAGAUCUGACACACCUACAUUUUAUUUCAUUGAUUCCAUAUAACCAUCAAACUUCCCUCUGUCUCUCCAAACACAGUAGCUCAUUUGGCUGUAUAAACCAGUAAAAUCAGUAGUAACAAGAGCAUCAGUGACAAUAACAUGAGUAACGAAACAAGUAGAGCAGCAGUGCAGCAUUGAUCUCUCCUCAUUAAUCAUUGUCAUCUCUCCCACUCUGCAGCGGCUUCAAGCAGCAGUCUAGUCUAGUCUCAGCCAAAUCUCAACUCACCCUCAGAACAAGACAAGCACACACAUCACCGGCAACAGCAGCAGCUAGCACGAGCGGGCCACCACGGCCUCGACACAGAGCAGCGCGAGAACCAACCUGUACAGUAGAUCCUUCCCGCGCCUGACUCGAUUUGCACGCGACACAAGCAGGGAACAAGUAAUUAAGCUGGUUUGUCCUGCUUGCUCAAUCUCCCAGGUGCUGAAAAUUCAUGUGCCUGCAAAACAACCACGCACCAUGACUCCAAAAUGAGAUAUCCCGACCUGAGGUGACCUGGGUGACUCCAAAAUGAGAAAAUCCACUUAUCGGUUGAGAGAAAAAAAAUCCAUACACAUUUAUCCUUUGUAGGAAAACAUAUGGGUCGGUUUACUAUGUCGAAUGUGGGCUCNNNNNNNNNNNNNNNNNNNNNNNNNNNNNNNNNNNNNNNNNNNNNNNNNNNNNNNNNNNNNNNNNNNNNNNNNNNNNNNNNNNNNNNNNNNNNNNNNNNNNNNNNNNNNNNNNNNNNNNNNNNNNNNNNNNNNNNNNNNNNNNNNNNNNNNNNNNNNNNNNNNNNNNNNNNNNNNNNNNNNNNNNNNNNNNNNNNNNNNNNNNNNNNNNNNNNCACUUGGCACUUCGUCAGAAGGCACUGACCCCUACCAAGUGGACCUAUCGCAUUGAAUUUCAUCAGCGUGAUCUCCACCAUCGGCAGGAUCCACCACGUCAACGUGGUGCGUUUAGUAGGGCUCUGCUCAGAGGAAAUACGAAGGGCCUUAGUCUACGAGCACAUGCCCAAAUGUUCUCUGGACAAGUACAUCUUCUCUACUGAGAAGAGCUUCUCAUGGGACUCCUUCUAGUCAUUGCCAAGAGGAUCAACUACCUAUACAAGGGGUGCGGCAUGCAGAUUCUGAACUUCGACAUCAAGCCACACAACAUCGUUCUCAACAGCAAUUUUGCGACAAAGGUCGCCGAUUUUGGGCUUGCCAAACUGUACCCGAGGGGCAACAAUUUCGUGUCUUUGAGCGCCAUGCCGGGGACCGUCGCUACAUAGCCCCCGAGAUGAUAUCCCGGAGCUUCGGUGUUAUAUCCAGCAAGUCCGAGGUUUGCAGCUUCGGGAUGCUGCUGGUGGAUAUGGACGACGGGAGAAUGAAUGCCGAUCCAAACGCGGGGAGCUCAAGCCAGGCGUACUACCCAUGAUGGGUGUACGAUCGGCUGACUCGGGAAGAAGCGGGAGAGGAGACAUCACCUGUUGUGUCCGACAUAAACGAGCUAGAGAAGAAGAUGUGCAUUGUCGGAUUAUGGUGCAUUCAGAUGUGGUCUCGUGAUCGGCCAACGAUGAGCGAGGUCAUUGAGACCCUGGAGGCUGGGGUUGAUGGCCUGCAGAUGCUUUUGAGGCCGUUUUUCUGCGACGAAGGGCACAUCCAUGUGGAGGACUCUUAUCAUUUCACUUCUGAGCCGAUGGCGGUCUCGAAGGAGGAGUUGAGUGCGGUGUCAGAGGAAGACGAUGUAUGAGGUAUAUAUACAAUGUGUGGUAUUAAUUUUCCUCCGUAAAGAAAUAUAAGAGCGUUUAGAUCACUAAAGAGGGAGUCUGUAUGUAUAUGUGCAUGUAUAUGUAUGUAUGAUGGAGUGAUGCACUUAUCUGUAAAAGUUAUUGUUGUAACAGUACCAACCCAGUAUUAAUGCUUUGUCAAACUGCCUUGGUUGCUGUGCAGAGCAACUUCAAAUAAAGAUUGAAAUCUUACAUCCAUCUAUCUGUUUCUGUUACUCUCGAUAAAUUCUGAUGAAAAAUAUUGCUUGAAGAGUAAAUUCUUGACACAAAUAAGUUUGUGACAGGUCACAAAAAGGCACCUUUUUCUUGUUGCGAAACAUUUUUGUAGGGAAAAGUUGCAUUUCAUUCUGCUGGCAGUAACAUACAUUGUGGAUGAAGAUUGUCACUGGGAGCUAGCCUGCAUAUAAAUUUUCUUUAGCAUAUGAUAGAUCCGUAACACCAUUGGUUAACUUACCUGCAAACACAUAAAGAUUGCUAUACAUUGAACAUUCUGAAUCUGGUGCGACAAAUAAGACAAGUUUUUUUUUGCGGGAUAACAGAAGCACAACUCAGCUCCCCAAUUUCAUCACUCGUGCAGGUUCAUUGAAAUACAGUUUUAGUUCACAGCAACAUCUCUCCUCUCCUGCAGGUUGACCAAUAAUCUCUCAUGAACAAAGUUCAGCAUGCCUGUCAUAUUUGUAUUUGUUUGCAUAGCCUGUCAUGUUCCCUCCUUCAGGUCUGCGCACCCCCAAGCACGCGAACCUGUAGUUGUCUUUCUUCUCUGCAGCUAAGAAAUCGUCGCGGUCAUAGAAAUACAGAUCUAGUGUUUGAUUUAAUGGAACCAUGUGCCGUGUUGUCGUGGUUUCAUAUACUUUGCUGCAACCCAAUGCUGUCGAAUGCCACUUGUGCGUGCAACAAGGGGUGCUGGAAAUUCCAGCAACACUGACAUUGCCAUGCCUGGAGAAUGCGUGGACAAUUAGGAGUAUUUUCUUUUGUAGAAGCAAAUACGUUUGCAGACAAAAAAUGAACUUUGCAUUAUUGGACGAACAUUCAAUCAACAUCAGUGAGAAGCUAACUUACAUUGCGAUUCUGAUAAAACAAAAAAAAUUAUAUACCGAUUCAUCACAAAUUCAUCGAAUGCACUCUUUAGUUUACAGCAGCAUAAUUACAGAUUGAUCGAGUUCCCAGCAGCAUAUGGCCAUGAACGAAGUUCACCAUGCCUGCUGAGAUUGUGAAGUACUACUGAUUACAGCUUAUGUACAUUACAUUACAAAUAUAAGUUACCAACUUACAUGCCAGCAGCAGUACACAAACUGAAAAGCCUGAAAUAUGGAUCUGUCACAUCAGGUAUAAGCAUGCAUUCGUGCUUUAGAUGAGCAGAUUAUGGCAACAGAAACUACCACUAACUGAUGAGCAGAUUAUUCAUUUCAGAGCAUAAUAUGGAAGAAGACGUCAUGUGUUGGCAUUGUUGUCGAGCCUCUCGUGUUCUUCGUCCCCUUCACUCCUUCAGCAUAUAUGAUGGACUGCGCACUGCUGACUCACAGUUCUUUUUAUUGUUUACAUCUGCCAUUAAGAAUCCAACUGUGCAGAAUCUGCCUUUAAGGAGACAAACAAGCUUGCCUGACAGUGGAGAAUCUGAUAAUAAUUGCAAAUUCAGUCAUUCAGUCAAGGGAGUGAAUGAUCUGCAUCUUUUCAAAAGCUACUUAACUUAGGAUAACUAGUCAAGUGUGAAAGAUUGAAGAACACAUCCUUUUCGACAAACUUUUAAGUUUAAACUAAGGAGCAUGCACAUAGUGGAAACUACAUGAUCAGUUACUUGUUUCUAUGAUCGACCCUACCAGUUCUGUCCUAUGGAGUCAGGUGACGGUUGAAAUGAUAAUGUAGAAAGACCAUGUUAGAUGUAGUUAACAAGCUCGUAAUAAAUUCACACUACUAGGAGCAGCUACUAGUUUCUUUAAUUCUACCAAUAUAUGACAAGGUAUGGACUGUUAUAGCAACCAUUCUUCCGAAAAAUCGUGAUUGAAGAAAUACAUUGACAUGAUAUGCCAUUGACCAUGGGGUUUCCUCUCGCAAAACAAAAUAAAAGUUUAUUCAAUUGGAAGUCAACUUUGUGAUUAAGGUACAGAUCACCAUGGCGCCAUCCGCAGCUUUGAUUACAAUAUAGGGUACAUACUAUCACCGUCCUGGUUUAUAAGUCCCUUUUGUAUUUUGUGUCAAAUUUUGACUAAAGAUUUUAACUAACAAAAUAUUAAUGCAUGUCAUUCGUUGUAUUCGUAUUUGAACAUAGUUUUCAAUUAUAUUAUUUUUUUAUGACAUGCAUUAACAAUUUUUUAGUUAAAUUUAAGGUUAAAAUUUGGCACAGAAUACAAAGCGGACUAAUAAACCAGGACAGAGGUAGUACAUAUUUAAUCUCUGAUAAAAGAUUGAAAUAUAAAUUCAUUUCAAAUUUCCAGGCGGUAAAUGACCUAAAUUUCGAGAAUUUUUCCAAGGAACAAAAAAUGAUAUCAAGAAAAGAAAUCCUUGGUUGUAUGUGGUUCUUUGCUUUACCAUGACAUUUUUGUGGCCUGUUUUUCCCUUUCUUUUCUUUUUAAUAAAUCGGAAUGCAUUCUUCCUUAAUGUAUAUAACUCUUGACACCUUGACACCGUCAUGCUGCAAACACCAUGUGACUUGGUGUCACAACUGUAGUAACAAUUAUAAGUGAAAAUUUUACCAAUGUGGUGCACCUACAGGCUAGAGUGGUAUCCAUCACCGGUAACUAGAAAAAAAAUACCAGUGAAGGAUUUUCUGUAGGCCGAAGAGGCCUUUUCGGUUUUCUUUGAGCCAAAGACCAGCCGGGCUGGCCACUCUUUGGCCUUCACGCGGCCCCGAAGAGGUCGGGGACAGAGGCAAAAAUUACUUCGCUAUUGUGAACCAUGCAUAUGUUAAAAGGACUCUCUCGACCUAAUUAGGCAUAGUCCUAAUUAGAUCGAGAGUGAAUCUGACAAAUGGGUUCAACAGUUGCUCCCGUGGCAGCUUUCAAGUGUGUAUAUCGUAGGUUUUAUCACCGACGGUUCUCGUCAUUAAUAAGUCGAGCAUUCGUUUUGACCAAUCAAUUCUGCCGACAUAUGGGUCCCGAAGAUGCUGACGUGGCUGCUUACUUGUGGGACUACAGAAGGGUAACGACAUGCAUUUCCGUCACUAUUACCAUCACACGUACAAAAAAAAGUUAUAGCUCAUAUAUUGUUAAUUUUCCCAUCCAAAUCUGUAUUUAAUUUUAAAUUUCCAAAAAAUAGAUUCAAAAUUUGAAACGUUGGAAUAUGAGAAUUCAAACAUUGGCAAUAGAUCUUUCAUUUAAAGUGAAACAUGACAAUUUACAAUGAGAACCAUGGGACAUAGUCUCGGACAGUAAACAAACAAAAAUUAUGUUGACUAAGCAUCAGGCGGUUGGUGUUUCUCAGACGCUGUCUAGUGAUGACUACGUGGACUUCCUUAACAUGUGAUUAGGCAUUGCUUCCAUAUGUAUGUGCUUUUUUUUCAAAGACAAUGGUUUUCUUCUGCUGUCCACCUUUAAAUUUGCAAUCGCUAGCAGCUACUUCUUUUUUAGGUCUUUAAUUUCUUCUAUCUAGGGAAAAAGUACGGCAUUCAGGUCUUGCUAAAACAUAUCACUUGCCUUUUUUCUGCAUCUGCCUCUAAGUUACAAUGAUGUGUUUUAGCUCAUGGAUGUGUUCACGGGAGGAUGAAUUCUUCCUGGACGAGAUGCCCAUGAUCGAAAGUAACAUGCUUGAUGAUGCAUUCACGAGAGGAUGAAUUCUUCCUGGAUGAGACGCCCAUGAUCGAAAGUAACGUGCUGGAUGAGCUUUUUUCCUCAAUAAUUUCUACAUCGGGUAUUCCUUCUGUAUCAAGUUGUUUUGAUGUUGUUUGUUUAAUCAUCGACUCAUUCUGCAAUAUGAUUGAUAGCACUCUUAGAGCAGUGUUUGAUAGUUUGGGUAAUUAUGGUCAGAUUGUACAUUUUUUGUGAGAAAUUUCCAAUCUAUUUAUCCUCAACCAUGGCAGUACAACGAACAUCAGAACUAAAGAAAAAUACAUUCAGAUUCAUAUACCACCUAGCGACGCCUACAAGCACUGAAGGAAGCCGAAGGCGCGCCACCGUCAUCACCCCUCCCUCGCAAGAGCCGGACACAAUUUUUUGUAGUAGACAGUCAGGAAGCCGUCGUGCUAAGCCCCCAUAGGACCAACAUACACUAGUAGAUAAAGGGCCUUUAGUCCUGGUUCAUAAGGGCCUUUAGUCCCGGUUCUGGAACCGGGACUAAAAGGUCGUUACUAAUACCCUAGCCCUUUAGUCCCGGUUCUUACACGAACCGGGACUAAAGGCCGUCCACGUGGCCGGUGCGUGGAGCCCAGGCAGGAGGGCCUUUGGUCCCGGUUGGUGGCACCAACCGGGACCAAUAGGCAUCCACUUGUCAGCAUUUCAGUGGCUGGGGUUUUUGUUUUUUUUUUCUAAAAGGGGGGUGGAUUUGGGGGUUUAUUAAGGUGUUUCAUAUAUUGUAUUAGGUAGCUAAUUAAUUAAUAGAGAGAAAAGUGUCCUCUCUUAUCUCCGUGCUUGAUCGACGCUACGUACUAUACGUAUAGAGAGGCCCUCGACACGCUAGCUAGUAAGAAAAUGAAGGAAACCAUUAAGUACAGAAGUUCGUCGUGCAUACCGAGAGAAGUGAUUGACCUCUCCUUCUCCGAGAGAUUGGUCGAACAACAAGUUUUCGUAUUAUCUAUCCGACUACUGGCUACAUACAUAUACAAUAUGUAAGAUCUAUACAAUCCCCUAGCAUUUGAAGUCAACUUCCAUAUGGUAUUCUCCGGCUUUAUUGAUGACGUGGUCAAGAAAGAAUCCCGCCAAUUCCUCUUGAAUUGCUUUAUGCGAUCUUGUGGUAGGAGUUCAUUCCGCAUCUCCCACGUCUAAUUUGAAGAAGGGGGUUAAUACAUAUAUAUAUGAAUGAAACUCAAUAGAAAUGAUGGUGUAAUAAAAUGAAAUUGUGAAUAUUAUUGCUUACGCACUUCAUAUUGUCUUUUAGAGUAGCCCCGCUUAUCUUUGCAAGUCGCGUUGUAGAUGAACUCGCACACAUAGUAUCCACAGUAAUCAUUCCCUUGUUCCUGCCACAAGCACUUUACGAGAAAUAGAGGUCAAUCAAACUGAUAAUGAAGCAUUAUAAAUGGCAUUGAUGAAACUAGCUAGAAUCAACGGGAGAUGCGCCCAACUAGCUAGCUAGUAGUACUUACUUUCGGGUAUGUAUAUCGCAGCUCCUUCGGCAGUCCCGGAGCUUCUGCGGUGAACUGUUUCCAAACCCUGCAAGACAAAGAAAAUAAUUAUUACUUGAGAUAUCAGAAAAUGAACAAAAAGUUGCCGAGUGCGAUAAUGAUCGAUUGAACUUACUUGUUGAGAAUUUUAGUCAUGUCCGCAUAGGUCUCGGGAUCUUUUCGUCUCGAGUCUAAGACGGUUACUAAUCCCCACUCAAGCUUAAUCUCCAGGAGAAUAUAGUGGAAGCUGCGCACGCAUGCAUAACUCAUCAAUUACAUUACUAUAACCUCGCUCGAGUAAUAAAGGAAACCGAAUAUGCACAUGACAGUAACACUCACUUGGAGUUGUAAGGAAAGAGUAUUAAAUCUUUGUUUUGAUUUAUUACUAAUGAUUUGAGCAAGUUGGCCUCGGCCUCGGCGGCGUCCUUUUUAACCUGAAAAUAAUCUAUGAGAUUGGUGUUAAUGAACCCAAUAUCAUACAUUUCUGCUUUUCUGCACUCGACGAUCUUCAAUCUGCAUAAUAUAGUGAGGAUAAUUAUAAAUACAUGCAAUGAAAGAGCUGAGCUAUAUAUAGAGACUUAAUGACAAAAGUAGUACUUACAGACAGUAGCAAGUGACCGUUAAUUUAUCGAGGGCCUUCUGAUUGAAAAACGCGAAGAACUCCUCAAUGGAACAGGCAACAGAUCACCGCUGACGAGGUCGUGCUCCUCUUUAAUUCUCAGAUACAAAGUAUUCGUCCCCCCAGACUCUCUGCAGGUUUUCAUGUACCAAUUAUGAAAUCUUCGCAUCAUCGUUGUUAGAGAUUUUUUAUCUUUGACGAGAGGCUUCCCGUACUCGUAUCUGUGUUCCUCCACCUCCAACAAAUCAUAAUGUACAUCAUCGGACAGGUAAUCUUCAGGAUUGCUAUAACCGGGCACCAUCCCCGGAGCAUUAGCGACGAUGUCGCUAGACACAUUGAGCGGGGGGAACGAUUGGUUCGCUUGUUCUCCGAGCUGGGCAAUUUCUUUCCCAGCUCGUCGGUCUUUUAAUCUUUGAUCACUGACAGUACUUCCUGACCGCUCCGCUUCGAGAUAUGCCUUUUCAGUAUGCGCUCAUAGUUGGUUUUCGGCGGAGACUUUGGUGGUUUCCUCAGGGCAUCGAUAGUGCACUUUGCUUUCACCGGAUCUACCUUCUCCUCCGGAGGUGGAUGUCUCUUUGCUUUCAACCCUUGAAAGAAGUCCUUCACCUCGGUCCGCACGAUCUUCGCGGUUUUCUCCGGGGUCCUCUCGUACGGUAACUUCUCUAGAGGCUUGAGAGGUGGACCGUAUCUGUAUUGCCUCCUGCCUCUGCCUGUACUGCUAGACGCCGGAGCAGACGGGGCGGCUGCGGCUGUCUUGUUUUGUGCUUGCUUACGAGGCGGAGGAGAAGGAGUACGACGCGCCGGAGCAGCCGUGGCGGCGGGUCUCUUCCGCCCUUGCUGGCGAGGCGGAGAAGGAGGAGGCUGGUGGCUGCUUGGGCUCGCCGGCGCAGGCGGAGAAGGAGGCGGAGUGCCGCCACGCGCCGGAGAAGGAGGCUGAGUGCCCUGAUCGUCACUCGCCGGAGGAGGAGGCGGUGGAGGAGGCCAAGUGCCCUAACUCGCCGGAGGAGGAGGAGGAGGCGGAGGCAUCCAGUUCGAAAGGUUGAUGAGCUCCUUCCGCCAUAGGCAUGGAGUCCUCAGACAAGAACCCAGUCGAGUCUCCCCUUCACCCGUAGGGUGGUCAAGCUGGAGGUCCUCAAAUCCUUCUGUGAUUUCAUCCACCAUCACCCUAGCAUAUCCUUCUGGAAUCGGCCGGCAGUGAAAAGUUGCGCCAGGUUCAGGAGGUGCAACAGAGCCAACAGCCGCCUUGACUUUCAAUUGCAUCCACUGCGUCAUAAGGUGGCAAUGCUGAGACUCCAUGAUAGCAUCUACGGGGUAGCUAGCAGGAGCCGUGAAGACAGGCUGAACCAGCUCGGUGGAAGCCUGGCUGCUUCUCCGCUGAGAUGGCGGGGUAGCUUCGGGGGUAGUUUCGGCAGGUCGCUUGCUGCGAUUUGCUUCUCGUUCCUCAAUCGCUUGUACCCGUGCGUGCAGCGCCUGAAUUUGGAUCUGCUCCACUUUUUUCCUCCUCUCCUGGCAUUUGUAACCGCCUGCGUCCGGAAAACCAGCCUUCGACGGAACGGAGCCUGGCGUGCCUCGUGUCCGUCCAGGGUGCUCAGGAUUCCCGAGGGCCAUUGUGAGCUCGUCGUUCUCUCUGUCUGGAACGAACGUCCCUUCCUGCGCUGCAUUGAUAUAGUACUUAAGCUUCUUGACGGGUAUUGCAAGUUGCUCAUCCGUCCAACGGCACUUCCCUGAUACAGGGUCCAAGGUUCCGCCAGCCCCGAAGAACCAAGUCUGGCAAUGGUCUGGCCAGUUCAUUGUCUCUGGUUCGAUCCCUUUAUCAAGCAGAUCCCUCUCAGCCUUGGCCCACUUAGGCCGGGCUUUGAGGUAGCCACCUGACCCCGUGCGAUGGUGAAGCUUCUUCUUCGCAGCAUUUUGCUUGUUUGUCGCCGACAUCUUCUUACUCUUUUCCGAUGUCUUGUGGGCCACAAAUGCGUGCCAUUGAUCUCUGAUCUUCUCAUAUUUGCCGAUGAAUUCUGGUGUCUCUUCUUUGUCAAUAAACCUUUUCAGCUCAUUCUUCCACCUCCUGAAUAGGUCUGCCAUCUUCUUAAGAGCAUGAGACUUGAUUAAUUGCUCUAUAACUGGCUUCUCCGGAUCCUCCUCUGGCGGUAGGGUGAAAUUUGCCUUCAGCUCAGUCCAAAGAUCAUCUUUCUGCAUAUCAUUCACAUAAGACACCUCAGGGUCUUCUUUCUUAGGCUUAUACCAUUGGUGGAUGCUGAUCGGGAUCUUGUCCCUAACAAGAACCCCGCACUGAGCAGAAAAGGCUUCCUUUGUCCGGAUGGGUUCAAUCGCAAACCGCGCACCCCACACCCCGCGCGCGAUUGAUGUGAUCUCAAACCUUUCAUCCGCGCGCAACUUUUUCUUCGGGCUCGUCUCUUUACCGAAGUUGUGCUCGAUCCGGAGGGCUAGAAAAAAGAAGAAAGACGAGAGUUAAUUAAUAUGUGUACAUACCAAAACAAUGAAUGCAUCAAUUAGCUAGUCAGCACAGGCCUAACUAAUAUAUUUACCUGGCCGGACUCUGUUCGGUCACCGGAGCUGUCAACACGGGCCCCUUCUUGCACCAGCAUUGGGUCACCGGAGCCAUCAUAAUCAUGACUUUCCUCCUCCAUUCUUCGAUCACCGUAGCUUGCUUCUUCACCCUGUUCUUCCAGACCAUCCUUGUCGUUAAGAUAUGACAUGACAUCACCUCCGGCUAAGAUUAUGUCCCCCAACACCUCUUCUGCUUCCUCGUCUCGUCCAUGCUCCAUUGUUUCUGCAAAUAUUACAACAUGGCAAUUAUUACACAAACAUGACAGCAUGUGGAUAUAUUAGUGGCAAACGUAGACCUUAUUCCGGGUUUGGGGUGGCCUCGGCAGCGCUUCAAGGGUAGGGGCGCGGUGGGAGGGGGUAGGAGACCGACAUCGUUUUUUCUAGGGUUUGNNNNNNNNNNNNNNNNNNNNNNNNNNNNNNNNNNNNNNNNNNNNNNNNNNNNNNNNNNNNNNNNNNNNNNNNNNNNNNNNNNNNNNNNNNNNNNNNNNNNNNNNNNNNNNNNNNNNNNNNNNNNNNNNNNNNNNNNNNNNNNNNNNNNNNNNNNNNNNNNNNNNNNNNNNNNNNNNNNNNNNNNNNNNNNNNNNNNNNNNNNNNNNNNNNNNNNNNNNNNNNNNNNNNNNNNNNNNNNNNNNNNNNNNNNNNNNNNNNNNNNNNNNNNNNNNNNNNNNNNNNNNNNNNNNNNNNNNNNNNNNNNNNNNNNNNNNNNNNNNNNNNNNNNNNNNNNNNNNNNNNNNNNNNNNNNNNNNNNNNNNNNNNNNNNNNNNNNNNNNNNNNNNNNNNNNNNNNNNNNNNNNNNNNNNNNNNNNNNNNNNNNAUCGACGACGACAGACCUGAUAAAACAUAAGAAAACAAAGAAGAAAUAAAAAGAGGAGAAGAAGAAAGGAAUAGAGGAGAGUAUCGAAGAAAAAAAAAGAAGAAAAAAAAAGAGGAGAAGAAGAAAGGAAUAGAGGAGAAGAAGAAAAAAUAGAAAUUUUCUUCUUCUUUUUUCCUCUUCUUAUUUAUUUCUCCUCUUCUUCCUCUCCUCUUCUUCUUUCUUUCCUCUUCUUAUUUUCUUCUUUCCUAUCUUUCUUUUUCUUCUUCUUCCCUUCCUAGCUAGAUAUAUAAAACUUUUCUAAAAUUGUAACUUUUGCAUAUGUAAAACUUUUUCAUGGAUCAUCAUUUCUCAUAUAUAUCGAAUAUAUAUCCAUUGUCAUAUAUAAAAACUUUCUAUAUAUGAACAAACAACUUUCUAUGAACAAAAAAACAUUUUUGACAUAUAUAUUCAUACAUUUUGAACAUCUACAUACAUACAAAUUUUUUUUGUUCACAUAUACAUUAUAGCCACAUACACAUAUACAUCACAUAUGAACAAAAAAAUUAAACUGAUAAAAAUAAAAAAACACAUAUACACAUAUACAUUAUAGCCACAUACACAUAUACACCACAUACNNNNNNNNNNNNNNNNNNNNNNNNNNNNNNNNNNNNNNNNNNNNNNNNNNNNNNNNNNNNNNNNNNNNNNNNNNNNNNNNNNNNNNNNNNNNNNNNNNNNNNNNNNNNNNNNNNNNNNNNNNNNNNNNNNNNNNNNNNNNNNNNNNNNNNNNNNNNNNNNNNNNNNNNNNNNNNNNNNNNNNNNNNNNNNNNNNNNNNNNNNNNNNNNNNNNNNNNNNNNNNNNNNNNNNNNNNNNNNNNNNNNNNNNNNNNNNNNNNNNNNNNNNNNNNNNNNNNNNNNNNNNNNNNNNNNNNNNNNNNNNNNNNNNNNNNNNNNNNNNNNNNNNNNNNNNNNNNNNNNNNNNNNNNNNNNNNNNNNNNNNNNNNNNNNNNNNNNNNNNNNNNNNNNNNNNNNNNNNNNNNNNNNNNNNNNNNNNNNNNNNNNNNNNNNNNNNNNNNNNNNNNNNNNNNNNNNNNNNNNNNNNNNNNNNNNNNNNNNNNNNNNNNNNNNNNNNNNNNNNNNNNNNNNNNNNNNNNNNNNNNNNNNNNNNNNNNNNNNNNNNNNNNNNNNNNNNNNNNNNNNNNNNNNNNNNNNNNNNNNNNNNNNNNNNNNNNNNNNNNNNNNNNNNNNNNNNNNNNNNNNNNNNNNNNNNNNNNNNNNNNNNNNNNNNNNNNNNNNNNNNNNNNNNNNNNNNNNNNNNNNNNNNNNNNNNNNNNNNNNNNNNNNNNNNNNNNNNNNNCCGGUUCAUGGCACCAAUCGGGACCAAUGCCACCUUUAGUCCCGGUUGGUCCCUUUUCAGCAGCCCAAAGGGCGGGAAGCGGCGACCUUUGGUCCCGGUUCGUGGAACCAACCGGGACCAAAGGGUGGGCAUUGGUCCCGGUUGGUGCCACGAACCGGUACCAAUGCCCCCUUUGGUCCCGGUUGGUGCCACGAACCGGGACCAAAGGCCUUGCGCUGCCAGCGGCCAAAAGUUUAGUCCCACCUCGCUAGUUGAGAGGGGCUCGGAGUGGUUUAUAAGCCCCAGUGCGGCUGCCCUCUCGAGCUCCUCUCAAAUGCAGGCUUACGGGCCUAAACUUGCACUAUGCUGUCUGUGGGCCUAUUGGGCCUUCUGCGGGCCUGAAUCCUGGCCCAGGUUGGGUUUCUAGUCGUAUUCAGGCCGUGGUGGCCCAAUAGGUGGCAGCUUUUUUAUUUUUAUCCAAUUUUUUGGUUUUGUUUUCUGCAUUAUUUAUUUUCUUUUGUUUUUUGCUUUAUUUUUUAAUUCUUUUUGCUUUUAGGUCAGAAAAAUUAUAGACUUUCUGUUAGUGCCAUUAGUUUUCAAAUUUGAAUUCUAUGAAAUUUGUGUGAAUCAUAAUUUUGUGAUUAACUUUACUAUAAAAAUAGUUUUUUUUUCAGUUUUUUGUUUUGUUUUUUGCAUUAUUUAUUUUCUUUUUUUUUGCUUUAUUUUUUAAUUCUUUUUUCUUUUAGGUCAACAAAAUUAUAAACUUUCUAUUAGUGCCAUUAGUUUUAGAAAAAAUAUAAACUUUCUAUUAGUGCCAUUAGUUUUCAAAUUUGAAUAGUGAAAAUUUGAAUUCUUUGAAAUUUGUGUGAACCACAAGUUUGUGAUUAACUUUACUAAAAAAAUGAGCAUAGCUGCGCCUAUAGAGAAAAUUCAACCUAAAUUCAUAAUAAAUUUCUAUGAAUUUCAGAGAAAUUCACUAUGAAUUUAGGUCAAAUAACGGGACCAAAAGGUCCAGACGAACCGGGACCAAGGGCCCACAUGGCUGCCCUCUUUGAGUGUUCUUGGUGAGAACAUAGUUGACAAGGAGCGAACCGGGAUUAAUGGUAUUACGAGGGCCGAACCAUAAGACAUUAAAGCAUUUCAAAUGAACUCUGAAAAAGUUGAAAGUUUGCAUGAUAUCAUAAUUUCACCCACAUACCAUGUGCAUCUACAAAACGGACAAUGGUAUCAUACUCGUCUGUUACAAAGUUGGCAUGGUAUCAUCAUAAUAGUUGCGGGAGAAAGUCUUCACUUUUUCAUCGCUUGUGUCAUUUCCUUAUUGCGUCGUAACCAUGGAUAAUCUUCAUCGUUUAUCAGGAUGCUUGGGUCAGCCUUGACUUUGAAGGGAGGAAUUUCAUGAAACUUUUCAUAAUCUUCAGACAUGUCUGUCUUGCCCUCCACUCCCAGAUGUCGUUUUUUCCUGAAAGAACUAUGUGGCGCUUUGGCUCAUCGUAUGAUGUAUUCGCUUCCUUAUAUUUUAUUUUUCUCGGUUUGAUAGACAUGUCCUUCACAUAGAUAACCUGUGCCACAUCAUUGGCUAGGACGAACGGUUCGUCGGUGUACCCAAGAUUUUUCAGAUCCACUGUUGUCAUUCCGUACUGUGGGUCUACCUGUACCCCGCCUCCUGACAGAUUGACCCAUUUGCACUUAAACAAAGGGACCUUAAAAUCAUGUCCGUACACUAUGUAACCAUAAUAUGUGUCCUUUCCCCUCUCGGUUGCUGCAUCAAAGCGGACACCGCUGUUUUGGUUGGUGCUCUUUUGAUCUUGGGCGAUCGUGUAAAAUGUAUUCCCAUUUAUCUUGUAUCCUUUGUAAGUCAAUACAGUCGAAGAUGGUCCCCUGGACAACGAGUACAGCUCAUCACAAACAGUGUUGUCACCUCUGAGACGUGUUUCCAACCAACUGCCAAAAGUCCUGAUGUGUUCACAUGUAAUCCAGUCGUCACACUGCUCCGGGUGUUUGGAGCGCAGAUUGUUCUUGUGUUCAUCGACAUAUGGGGUCACCAAGGUAGAGUUCUGUAGAACUGUGUAGUGUGCUUGAGACAAAGAAUGCCCGUCCCUGCAUAUUAUUGAGUCCGCUCCUAGCGUGCCUUUUCCAGUCAGUCUCCCCUCAUACCGCGAUUUAGGGAGACCUAUCUUCUUAAGGCCAGGAAUGAAGUCAACACAAAACCCAAUGACAUCCUCUGUUUGAUGGCCCAUGGAGAUGCUUCCUUCUGGCCUAGCGCGGUUACGGACAUAUUUCUUUAGGACUCCCAUGAACCUCUCAAACGGGAACAUAUUGUGUAGAAAUAUGGGUCCCAGAAUGACAAUCUCGUCGACUAGAUGAACUAGGACGUGCGUCAUGAUAUUGAAGAAGGAUGGUGGGAACACCAACUCGAAACUGACAAGACAUUGCGCCACAUCACUCCUUAGCCUUGGUAUGAUUUCUGGAUCGAUCACCUUCUGAGAGAUUGCAUUGAGGAAUGCACAUAGCUUCACAAUGGCUAAUCAGACGUUUUCCGGUAGAAGCCCCCUCAAUGCAACCGGAAGCAGUUGCGUCAUAAUCACGUGGCAGUCAUGAGACUUUAGGUUCUGGAACUUUUUCUCUGGCAUAUUUAUUAUUCCCUUUAUAUUCGACGAGAAGCCAGUCGGGACCUUCAUACUGAGGAGGCAUUCAAAGAAAAUUUCUUUCUCUUCUUUCGUAAGAGCGUAGAUGGCAGGACCUUCAUACUGCUUCGGAGGCAUGCCAUCUUUUUCGUGCAAACGUUGCAGGUCCUCCCGUGCCUUAGGUGUAUCUUUUGUGUUCCCAUACACGCCCAAGAAGCCUAGCAGGUUCACGCAAAGGUUCUUUGUCACGUGCAUCACGUCGAUUGAAGAUCGGACCUCUAGGUCUUUCCAGUAGGGUAGGUCGAAGAAUAUAGAUUUCUUCUUCCACAUGGGUGCGCGUCCCUCAGCGUCAUUCGGAACAGCUAGUCCGCCGGGACCCUUUCCAAAGAUUACGUGUAAAUCAUUGACCAUAGCAAGUACGUGGUCACCGAUACGCAUGGUGGGCUUCUUCCGGUGAUCUGCCUCGCCUUUGAAAUGCUUGCCUUUCUUUCGACAUUGAUGGUUGGUCGGGAGAAAUCAACGAUGGCCCAGGUACACAUUCUUCCUGCAUCUGUCCAGGUAUAUACUUUCGGUGUCAUCUAAACAGUGCGUGCAUGCGUGGUAUCCCUUGUUUGUCUGUCCUGAAAGGUUACUGAGAGCGGGCCAAUCGUUGAUGGUUACAAACAGCAACGCAUGCAGGUUAAAUUCUUCCUGUUUGUGCUCAUCCCACACACGUACACUGUUUCCAUUCCACAGCUGUAAAAGUUCUUCAACUAAUGGCCUUAGGUACACAUCAAUGUCAUUGCCGGUUUGCUUAGGGCCUUGGAUGAGAAUUGGCAUCAUAAUGAAUUUCCGCUUCAUGCACAUCCAAGGAGGAAGGUUAUACAUACAUAGAGUCACGGGCCAGGUGCUGUGAUUGCUGCUCUGCUCCCCGAAAGGAUUAAUGCCAUUCGCGCUUAAAGCAAACCACACGUUUCUUGGGUCACUUGCAAACUCAGCCCAAUACUUUCUCUCGAUUUUUCUCCACUGCGACCCGUCAGCGGGUGCUCUCAACUUCCCGUCUUUCUUACGGUCCUCACUGUGCCAUCGCAUCAACUUGGCAUGCUCUUUGUUUCUGAACAGUCGUUUCAACCGUGGUAUUAUAGGAGCAUACCACAUCACCUUAGCAGGAACCCUCUUCCUAGGGGGCUGGCCGUCAACAUCACCAGGGUCAUCUCGUCUGAUCUUAUACCGCAAUGCACCGCAUACCGGGCAUGCGUUCAAAUCCUUGUACGCACCGCGGUAGAGGAUCCAGUCAUUAGGGCAUGCAUGUAUCUUCUGCACCUCCAAUCCUAGAGGGCAUACGGCCUUCUUUGCUGCGUAUGUACUGUCGGGGAAUUCGUUAUCCGUUGGAAGCUUCUUCUUCAAUAUUUUCAGUAGCUUCUCAAAUCCUUUGUCAGGCACAACAUUCUCUGCGUUCCACUGCAGCAAUUCCAGUAGGUACCGAGUUUUGUGUUGCCAUCUUCGCAAUUGGGGUACAACCCUUUUUUGUGAUCCUCUAACAUGCGAUCGAACUUCAGCUUCUCCUUUUGACUUUCGCAUUGCGUCCUUGCAUCGACAAUGACCCGGCGGAGAUCAUCAUCAUCGGGCACAUCGUCUGGUUCCUCCUGAUCUUCAGCAGCUUCCCCCAUUGCAGCAUCACCUUAUUCAGGGGGCACAUUGUUGUCAUCGUCCUCUUCUUCUUCGCCGUCUUCCAUCAUAACCCCUAUUUCUCCGUGCCUCGUCCAAACAUUAUAGUGUGGCAUGAAACCCUUGUAAAGCAGGUGGGUGUGAAGGAUUUUCCGGUCAGAGUAAGACUUCGUAUUCCCACAUUUAGGGCAUGGACAACACAUAAAACCAUUCUGCUUGUUUGCCUCAGCCACUUCGAGAAAAUCAUGCACGCCCUUAAUGUACUCGGAGGUGUGUCUGUCAUCGUACAUCCAUUGCCGGUUCAUCUGCGUGCAUUAUAUAUAAUUAAGUGUGUCAAAAACCAUUACAGAACAUCAUGAAUAGAUAAUUAAGUGACCAAAUUAAUAGAAUUUCAUCAUCACAUUAAAACCAAAGUACAUACAUAGUGCUCAUCUAACAACAUAUAGCUCUCCAGAGCAUCUAAUUAAUUAAACCAUACAUUGAAACUAUGUAAAACAUUUCAAUGCGAAAACAAAUGCGAUCAUAAUCGCAACCAAGGUAACAAUUGAUCCAACGGCAUAAUGAUACCAAGCAUCGGUAUGAAUGGCAUAUUUUCUAAUCUUUCUAAUCUUCAAGCGCAUUGCAUCCAUCUUGAUCUUGUGAUCAUCGACGACAUCCGCAACAUGCAACUCCAAUACCAUCUUCUCCUCCUCAAUUUUUUUUUUAUUUUUUCCUUCAAGAAAUUGUUUUCUUCUUCAACUAAAUUUAACCUCUCGACAAUAGGGUCGGUUGGAAUUUCCGGUUCACAUACCUCCUAGAUAAAUAAAAUCUAUGUCACGUUGGUCGGCAUAAUUUUCAUAAACAAUAAAUGAACCAAUUGUUAUAAAGAUAAUAUAUACCACAUCCGAAUCAUAGACAGGACGAGGGCCGACGGGGGCGGAUACCAAAACCAUCGCACUAUAUAAUAACAAGCAAUAAAAUAGUAAGAAAAUUAGACAAGUAUCUAUCUAAAGUAAGAAUUUUUUUUCUUUCAGAAAGAAGAUAAGAACAAGAGGCUCACCACGGUGGUGCCGGCGACGAGAUCGGCGCGGGCAAUCGACAACAGUGAAGACGGGAAUGGGACGUGACGGGCCGCUAAACCUAAACAAAUCUCGAGGAAAAUGGAGCUUCGAGGUUGAGCUUCGAGAGGAGAAAGCUUAACUAGUGUGGCUCGGGCAUUUCAUCGAACACCUCAUGUGCAUAGGAGGUGAGCUAGAGCACCACAAAGCCCUCCACUCGCCGGCCAGAGAAAAACAAAGCACUGGAGUGCUCUGCUCGGGGGCGAGGGGUAUAUAUAGGCACACCAUUGGUCCCGGUUCGAGACAUGAACCAGGACUAAAGGGCAGCCAUUGGUCCCGGCUCAAGCCACCAACCGGGACCAAUGGUGGUGGGCCAGGAGCCAGACCCAUUGGUCCCGGUUCGUCCCACCAACCGGGACCAAAAGGUCCAGACGAACCGGGACCAAUGGCCCACGUGGCCCGGCCGGCCCCCUGGGCUCACGAACCGGGACCAAUGCCCCCAUGGGUCCCGGUUCUGGACUGAACCGGGACUAAAGGGCUGAGUUGGCCGAACCAAAGGCCCCUUUUCUACUAGUGAUACCAGAACAACAAUUGCCGCCAAUGAAGAGAAGCUUAAAUCGAAGGAUCCAAACUGAAGACACAUGAACAAAGACGAACAAACACAGGAUCCCAUUAGAUCCACCAAAGAGAACCAUCGACCGAAUCUCGCGAGAUCCGUUAUGCAUAUUUUACUUGUCUACUCCCUCCGUUCCUAAAUAUAAGUUCUUUUAGGGAUUUAAAUAUGGACUACAUUCGGAGCAAAAUGAGUGAAUCUACACUCUAAAAUAUGUCUACAUGCAUCCGUAUAUAGUCUAUAGUGGAAUUCCUAAAAAGACUUAUAUUUAGGAACAGAGGGAAUAUGUUACUAUGUGGAUGGUUGGGAGUAACAUAUAUGUGGUGUCAUUCAACACUUCAUUUAUUAGCUUAUAGACUCAUCUGGUCUUGAUAUGUGUGAUGUUACUCAUAACGUGAGUAACUAGCUAUGUUACUCAAAUCAUCUCUCCUCAUUAAAUCAUUGCCACAUAAACAAAUUUGUUGAGUUGGACCUGAUGUCUAGUGAAGUUACUCCCACUAUAGACAGUCGUAGUACUAGUCUGCCAUGAUAAUCUUCGCCCAUUAACUACCAUCGUUCUAUGCCCGGUGCCCUAUAUCCACGACACUGAAGCCACACCUCCGCUGUACACAAAUCCGUGUGCCACCAGUAGAAAGGCAUCGUGGAGACGAGCAACGUUGUUGCCACGUCAAUCGCCGGCACCUAUGAGGAAGGACCGUGGUGGACAUGAGGUUUAGGAUUCAAGGAUUAACUUGGGUCGCCGUAGGAGAGAGGAGUCUUUGGUAAACUCAUGUAAGUUUGGCCCUGAUCGUCUCAAAAGGGAGUAAAACAACAACACAAAAAUGUUUCAAGAUCACCAAAAUCGUAGAGCAUAAAGUACGGGUUUGAUGUUCGUCUGUUUGUUUUAGUCGUGGGACCCACGGCAAUCCUAUGGAGUGUUAUUCUGCUGACUUUCAAUUUCAAAUUUGUCAUGUUUCUUUUCUACCUUUGUAUACUAGAUUAUAUUCCGUUUGAGGAGGGUUACACUUCCUUUUGUAUCUUUUUGAAUUGUUUGGAUUGCUUAUUACAUGUGUCAUGUGGUAUCCUUCCUUUUGUGUCUAAUAAAACACAUCAAUGGCAUCUACUAUAAUAAAGUUUGUCGGGCUCCAAUGAGGGUGUGGCGAUGACGGUGACGCGUCUUCGACUCGCUACAGCGAUUGUACCCGUCGUUAGGUGGUCUAUGGAUCUAGAUGUAAUUUUUUUACUUUGAAUGUUCUUUGUACUAUGAUAACAGUUGACGAAUAGAUUGAAAGUUUCUUGUAAAAACAAAGUUAAAUGUGAGGUUAUUUGAAAACAUGAUGAAUGAGAAGAAUGAAUAGCCUCCUUCCCUAAGAAAAGCUUAGGGUUCCUCUGUCUCCCGCCGGCGCCGGCGCCGGUCCGCCUCGUCUCCGGCGGCCUUAGGGCCAUGGCGGCGCGGUGGAUCCCGGUCCUUGCCGCCGGGAGGGCUCUCUUUUUAGAUGUUUCUUCGAGUUUUGUUAGGGUUUGUGUCCUGUUCAGGAAGACAAGACGGCGGCCGCUCUCUGAAGAUGGAAUAAGGUCCUCCCCGCUUAACCCCCGUCCCAGUGGUGUGUCUAGCAUUGUCGGUGGGCGUGUGGAGGUGUGUCUCCGUCGGAUCUGUCCUUGAUGGAUUUGCUCUGAUCUAGUCGUAGCUUGUCUAUGUUUGUGUUUCUUCAGGUUGGACCCUUCAGAUCUACGCUACUCUUUAUCGAAGGUGGUUGCUGUU